AGAAACUCUCUAGUGGGGAGCUCGUAAGUGUGCGCCAUGAGGUUGAGAAGGUUUUCUCACCCAAUGUUACGGAACAAUUGGGUGACCCCUUCAAGAACCCCUAACGAUAUGAGCGUGGGCUUGUACACGAACUUGGUGGAUGCAACCUUUCUAGGCAAGCUCUUUGUGUAGUUUUCGGCUGCAUUGGCAUCCCGAAAUCUUGGGAUAUCGGGAACAUCGCUUUGAUUUCUAGCCGGGGCCUUGCCUUGGGCAGCAGCUGAGCGCUUCCUAGAUGUGGACAUGGACUUCCUGCACGAAAAAUAACCACUACACAAACCACAAUUUCAACAAACAAUAUGUCAAUCCAAAUCACCAACUAACUCCCUAUGGACUUCUAAAGCAAUUCAACAAUCAAAGCAAGAAAUAAUUCCUAAAUUCAUUUGAUGCAAUAGCAUAUGAACGGACAUGCAUCUUGAUCAAUUAAAACAAAGGAAAGAAAGUACCCGUUUUUGUUGAAAGUUCAAAAUUUGCGCACGAAAAUUCAGGAUUUGAAAAUCUUGCAACUCUCCACCCCAAGCUUUAAGCUUUGUUCAAUAUCCCGGGAGAAGCAAUUUACCGCGAAAACCCGACGAAUCCGGCAAUGGCUUGAAAUUCCGGCAAAAUUUUCCGACGAACUUUGGGAAAUAUUUUUGGUGGGUUUUGUAGCCUUGUCCAAGAGGAGUACAGUGGUGGUGUCGGAAUCGCGAGAGGUGGUCGGAGUUAGCCAGAAAUCGGCCGGAAAGUGGCGAUGGGGUGGUGGUGGCGCCCCGAGAUACAACAACAGAUCGGACCAUUGUUUUAGUGGGGUUUGUAGAGCUCUGAAUUUGGAGAAGAAUGGUGGUGGUCUCGCGAAAUUCCGACCGGUGGUUUAACGGGAAACUGAGUUUUAGUGGAGGAAAAGGAGUGCUCUAAUGGAGGUUAAGGGAGAAGAAUGGAGAAGAAUAAGGGAGGGAAAAGGGCCCGCUGUUGAGUUUAUUGGCUAAAAAUCGCGGUCAACACUGGUCAAAAAGAGUCAACGUUGGUCAACAGCUCACGCGGACGCGAACGCGAGUACACGCGGUCCGCGUGAAUUCACCUGAUGCCCUACUGUUCUACGAUAUUGGACGCGGACAGCUUAGGAGAUAACACGUUCUCCGUUUUAAUAAAAACGCAGACGGGACUUGGAGUACACGCGGUCCGCGUGAGUUGUACUGAACUUGUUCUGUUUGCUUUCGUUGGACGCGGACACUUUGAAGGAUGGCACGUGGUCCGUGUUAAUAAACACACGGACGGGACCUUGAGUACAUGCGAUCUGCGUGAGUUGCCCUGAAACGCUUCUGUUUGCUGAUAAUGGACGCGGGCACUUGAGGGAUAAUACGCGGUCCGUGUUAAUAAACACGCGGACGGGACUUUGAGUACAAGCGGUCCACGUGAAUUCUUUUGCCAAUUUUCUCAAUUUUAGCUCUUUGACCAAUACGAACACCGAGUCUUCAUUUCCAACAUUCUUUUACCUCAAAAGGAAAAAGAAGAGAUGUUAAAUGCAAAAAUGAACCAUCUACGACAUUUAUUCGGAACUAGAAAAGACAAAAACGUUUAGUUUUCCAAAAAUGCCCCUCUUUAACGUCUUUGGCGAGACGUGCUUCCCUCUUGAUUUCAGUACACUGGGGCAUCCAAUUGGAUGACGUCUAACACAUUUGCAUUAAAACCUUCAUAGAAAGGUUUCAAUCGAUGCCCAUUGACUUUAAAGAUUUGCCCCGUUUCUUCACUUUGAAUUUCAACCGCUCAAUGUUCAAAGACUUUUAGCACAACAAACGGACCUAUCCAUCUUGACCUCAACUUUCCAAGAAAUAAUUUCAAUCAUGAAUGAUAAAGCAAUACCCUAUGUCUCGGCUCGAAAUGUUUGCGGAUAAUGGACUUGUCAUGGAAAAGCUUUGUCCCUUCCUUGUAAAUUCUUGUGUUUUUAUAGGAAUCGUUUCUCAAUUCUUCUAGCUCUUGAAGUUGAAGCUUCCUAUGCCUUCCCGCCUCGUCAAUGUUGAAGUUGCAUUGCUUGACGGCCCAAAAUGCACGGUGCUCUAAUUCGACGGGAAGAUGACUUGGUUUACCAAAAACCAACCUGAAGGGCGACAUUCCUAUCAGGGUCUUAUAAGCGGUCCGAUAGGCCCAUAAGGCAUCGUCAAGCCUCAAAAUCCAAUCUUUCCUUGUCGGAUUCACUGUUUUCUCUAGAAUAGACUUCACUUCAUGAUUCAAAACCUCCGCUUGACCAUUCGUUUGAGGGUGGUAGGAGGUAGAGACACGAUGGGUCACGUUGUACUUUUUUUGCAAGGCCUCCAUCAUCUUGUUACAAAAAUGCGUCCCUCAAUCACUAAUCAAAUCCCUAGGCACACCAAAUCUCACAAAAACAUUAGACUUUAAAAACUCAAUAACCGUUUUGGCAUCGUCUGAUCUUGUGACUUUGGCCUCAACCCAUUUAAAAACAUAGUCAACCGCGAGCAAAAUAUAAAUGUUGCCAAAUGAGACGGGAAAUGGGCCCAUGAAAUCAAUCCCCCAUACGUCAAAAAUUUCACAAACGAGGAUUGGAUUUUGGGGCAUUUGGUUCUUUUGCAAAAUGUUUCCCGUCCUUUGGCACCGCUCACAACUUUUGCAAAACAAGUAACAAUCGCGUGACAUGAUUGGCCAAAAUAAUCCACACUCAAGGACCUUUCUCAAAGUCCGGGUAGGUCUGAAGUGUCCCCCACAAGCAAAUUCAUGACAGAAUUGCAAAAUGGAUUGGUGCUCUUGUUGGGGCACACAUCGCCUAAUGAUUUGAUCAGGACAAUGUUUCCACAAAUAAGGUUCAUCCCACACAUAGUAUUUUGCAUCACUUUUCAGCUUGUCUUUUUGAGCACGUGUGAAUGUGUCGGGAUACCUCUUCGUGACCAAAAAGUUAACGAUAUCGGCAUACCAAGGAGUAGAUUGAGUGAGGGAACAGAGAUGCUCAUCCGGAAACUCGUCCCGAUGGGAAAGGAGUUUCAUUUGAAGUGAUCCGACUUAAAUGAUCGGCAACAAGGUUCUCGCAUCCACUCUUGUCCCGGAUUUCCAAAUCAAAUUCUUGUAACAAUAAAAUCCACCAGAUGAGUCUAGGCUUUGCAUCUUUCUUCGUCAUUAAGUACUUAAAUGCUAUGUGAUCCGAAUACAUUAUGACCUUGGUACCAAGUAGGUAUUGUUUAAAUUUCUCCAAGGCGAACACUAUGACCAAUAGCUCCUUCUCCGUAGUAGAGUAGUUGCUUUGAGCAUUGUCUAGUGUCCUUGAUGCAUAGUAGAUCACAUGGGAGGCCCUCCCAAUCUUUUGACCCAAAACGGCGCCUAUUGCAUAGUUGCUUGUAUCACACAUAACCUCAAAUGGGAGAUCCCAAUUUGGUGCUUGCAUGAUGGGUGCAGAUGUGAGCAACUCUUUGAGCUUGUCGAAAGCUUCUUUGCACGCCUCGUUGAACUCGAAAUCAACAUCCUUUUGCAAGAGUUGGCACAUUGUUCAUGUUAUCUUCGAAAAGUCCUUGAUGAAUCGUCGGUAGAAACCUGCAUGGCCCAAAAAAGAACGAACUUCGCUAACACAAGUCGGGUAAGAUAAGCUUUGAAUAACAUCGAUUUUUGCCUUAUCUACCUCAAUUCCUUUCUUUGACACAAUGUGACCCAAAAUGAGACAUUGAAUCACCAUGAAAUGACAUUUCUCAAAAUUUAAAACCAAAUUUGUUUCAAUGCAUCUUUUUAAAAUUUUGGUGAGAUUGGUCAAACACUCUUGAAAGGAGUUGCCAUAUACCGUGAAAUCGUCCAUAAAAACUUCAAUUAUGUUCUCGACAUAUUUUGAAAAGAUACUAACCCUGCAAUGUUGGAAAGUGGCAGGGGCAUUACACAAUCCGAAUGGCAUUCUACGGUAUGCGAAAGUGCCAAAUGGUCAUGUAAAAGUUGUCUUUUCUUGGUCUUCCGGUGCCACUGGGAUUUGGUGAAAACCGGAAUACCCGUCGAGACAACAAUAGUGGGAUUUCCCGUCCAACCUUUCUAACAUUUGAUCAAUGAAAGGUAGUGGAAAAUGAUCUUUUCGUGUGCUUGCAUUGAGUUUGCGGUAGUCAAUACAUACUCUCCACCUGUUUUGCACAUGGGUGGGGACCAUCAUACCUUUGUUGUUCUCGACCACCGUGAUUCCCGUCUUCUUUGGCAUGACUUGAACCGGGGCUCACCCAUUUGCUAUCCGAGAUUGGAUAGAUCAUUCUCGCAUCUAGGAGCUUCAAAAUCUCUUUCUUGACCACUUCCAUUAUUGGCGGAUUCAACCUUCUUUGCGCAUCUCUACUCGGCUUACAUUCAUCCUCCAUUAAGAUUUUGUGCAUACAAGUGGAGGGACUCAAACCCUUGAUAUUCACAAUUGUCCAACCCAUUGCUUCUUUAUGUUCCCUCAACACCUUGAGGAGUUGUUCUUCUUCACACUUGGUUAGGUGAGUUGAAAUGAUGACCGGAAGAGUCUCGUUGUCUCCCAAGUACGCAUACUUCAAAUGUUGAGGAAGGACCUUUAAUUCUAAUUCUGGCGGUUGGAAAAGGGAGGGUGGCAAUCUCGUGUGAGUUUGAGGUAAUUCAAUUUGCUUCACACUAAAUUGGGUGGUCUUCUUGAUCUCCAAAUUGUUGACUAAUCUUUCAAUUUCGGGGUCUAGCGAGUAGAGCUUCAACUUCUUGGCUAAUUUUGCACAAUCAAACCCCAUGCUCAAAACCAUCUCUAACAUGUCAUCAUCACACAAAUCGAACAAUUCUUGAGUUAAUGGUCCGAAAACAUCUAUAAAGCACAAAGAUGAAACAUCACUAGGAUACCUUAUAGCAUCAUAAAUGUUAAAACUUAUUGUUUCACCAUCAAAUUCCAUUGUUAAGCUUCCCGCAUACACAUCAAUCUUUGUUCUAGCCGUCUUCAAGAAUAGUCUCCCAAGUAAGAUUAUACCUGUAACGCCUGUGUUUCCGGGCUUGCCACUUUUAGCAAUGUAAUAGUCUAGGUUAACCUUUGUAACCCGUUUUGAAAUAAUAAUAAUGUAUUAUUUGAGUAUUAUGUGUUUUGUGCUUAAUUGCUUAAUUAUGUGGUUUGAUUAAUUAAGAAUAAAAAUAAGCGUCAAAAUUUAAGUGUAAAAUAAACUUAAUAUCUUUGGUUAAUGUUGUAGUAAUUGAAACGAGGUUUCCGAAUAUAUAUAGAACGCCCAAAUCUGACUUCGUAUGAGGAAGUUAUGAUUUAUCGAAGUUCCGGCUUAGCGGUAUACAGCCUGAAAUACUCGAAUUGAGAUCGAGCGGUUGUUAGCCGAAGCAAUCUAAAUGAGAAUCGAAGAUCUCAUUGUUGGUAUCGAAGCGAUAAAAAGUUAGGCGAGAACGGACGUCAAACGAAGAACUUAUGAAUUUAUAACGAAAGUUUCUGUCCCGACCUAUUAAAAAUAAUUAAUAAAAAAUAAAGUCAAAAUUAGCCGACGGAGUCUAAACGAAAGUCGUAGAGCGUAGUCUCACCUUCGCGUGGAUAUAAAGAACGUCAAAAACGGAGUUCGUAUGAAGAAGUUAUGAAUUUCCGAAGUUUAUUAAUCAUUUUAUAUUUUUAUUUAAUUCAAAAUGGAGGUAUUAUCCGAAGCCGAGUCACCGGUGUAAUCCGGAGUACGCCCCGCGUACGAGGUUACGCUAUCGCGUAACUCCGAUAGUGUCGACACUUCGGAUGACGCAUGCAAUGACGAUUUCGGACGCGUACGCGCUGCGUACGCCUGUACGCCCCGCGUACUCCGAGGUUCCAGCCUCUAUAUAAAGGAUCCGAAGACAGCCUUCUUUGUUGUUCAAUUUCUUCUCUUCUCUCUAGUCUUUUGCAUCGUUUUUCGUGCCGAAGCUAUCCCGAAGUCCCGGUAUCAUACUCUAGCCCCGAGGCAAGUCCCGAGAUCCCGAAGAUCCCGAAAAGUGCGGUUCCCGAGUCGAAGCUCUGCCCGCGAGAAGUUCGAUUUUCGAGGAGAUCUUCCAGAUCUGCUGAGGAAUACUACUUCUAUAAGCCGUAGUGCUGUCGGAUCGUCUUCUGAUCAAGUGAGUGUGUAGUUAUUUCUUCUAAUACAAUAAUACGAAGUAUUUUAUAUAAAAAUACGUGCUAUGUGUAUAUAUUUGGUUGUGUUAUGUGUGAAUGAGUAUUCACUCUCUUCUAUCUUAUAGAUCUGCUUAUUUCUUUAUGAGAUAUGUGUUAUGUGUGUGUGUGCCUCAUCUGUUAUGUGAUAUAUGUGUUGAUUAAAGCAUGCUAUACAGGUUUUCUUUAAACUAUGUAUACAAAUGUAUAUUUUUAUCUACUAAUAUGUUGGGUAGAACAUGGGUAGACAGUUGGUGUGUAAUAAACAGAUGAGAGGCCUCGUUGUUGUUUGAUUGAGUCAUCUAGCGGAGUUUAGAUGACGACCACUGGCUAUUCUAGACAGUCUUGUGGAAACAUUAGCAGGUUCGCCACCUGUAGGUGUUAAUGAACUUGGGUGUUCAUUCGCUGUACUCCAUCCCCCUCAUGGUUGCCUUAUUUGACUUAUAUUGCUGAGGUACCCCCGAAGCAUGUGUUGUCGCCCCGAUGAAAUAUUCUUAGACUAGGUCCCUUAUGUUAGUUGUUUUAGGGACAUUAAAGUGAGAAUAACGGGAAUGGGUAAUUGGGUUAUUGUUGGUUGGUGAAAAUUAAAUAUGAUAUUUAUUGUGGGUUGAAAACCCUAUAUGCUCACCAGGCUCCCAAGCCUGACCCACUCAGUUUUAAAUUGUAUUACAGGUAGUGGCGGAAGGGCAUGAGAUGGAUGAACCAUCAAGUUGUUUUGUUUACAAGUCUGCAUAUGUUUAUAUUUGUUAUAUGACUUGUAAUGUAUUCGUUUAUGCUUAUUGGUCUGUAUCGGAACAUGACACCCCGAGUUUUGAUUAUAAUGAAAAUACAUUUCUUUUAUGAAAUGCUUCGGUAAACAAUGUUUUAUCAUGUUUUGUUUUUGGGAACAAAUUCCGCAACUCUUUCAAAUCAAAAGGAUUUACUCUGAAAAUAUUUAAAAGCAUAAAUGAAAAUCGGUCUUUUCUGGCCGAGAUUUUGGGGAUGUCACAGUUGGUAUCAGAGCAUUAGUUUAAGCGAACUAGGAAUUUGUAGGAUUUCUAGACUUAAACUUAGAAUGCUAAGUGAAGUUUUGAGAUGUGUGUCUGUUGUGAUUUAGACACGAGCACUAGUUUAUUUUAGGAAAGUUGCCUAAAAUGCUUUAUGUGCUAAAUGUUAUAUGUUGCCAUAUAUGAUAUUAUUUGUUCGGAUCUAUGGUCUGUUGCCGACCGGAUCUAGAAACCUUAUGUGUGUAGGAUUCUAAGCGUACGUCUACGAUAUUAGAACUAGCAUGUAAACGUUUCGGAGUGAUAAGGAUGAUUUGAAUAUCUAUCAUGAUUGAGGAUCUAAUUUCACCUUAUUCGGUGUAGAUCAAAAUGGUGAGAACAAGAAGUGGAGUUGGAAAUGCUGACGAAAACAGGAAUCAACCACCAGUGAUUGAGCCAAUACCUGUCGUAGCAGCAGCACCUGAGCCAAUAACCAUGGCUGGUGUGCAAUUGAUGAUUCAGACGAUGUUGGAUCGUCAGAUGGAUGAAACUAGACGGUUGCUUCAACAAAAUCGUGAAGAACUGUCGAUUCGUGUGGAAGAGCCUGAACUGAAUGAAGGGCACUCGGAAGGUGGAAACUUCAGUGGGUCUGUUGGUCCAGCCAACCCACCGAUAGUUAGGCAAGAUAACCAUGAUGGAAGGAAUGAUGGAAUGGGAUGCAAGUACAAGGACUUUUUGACUUGUAAACCAUCGACCUUCAAUGGAAAGGAGGAUCCGAUUGGGGUUAUGGAUUGGAUCUCCGAAAUGGAGUUAGCCUUUAUGACAUGUGGCUGUAGAGGCAAGUUGCAGACUAUCUAUGCCGUGCGACAAUUCCGAGGUGGAGCCGUUCGUUGGUGGAACACUCUAGGGAAGACCUUAAGCCCUAAUGAGCCACUGCAAUUGUCAUGGGCAGAGUUCUUGGUGCAGUUCAAGCGCAAGUUCUGCUCGGCUCAAAAUCUGUUGGAGUUGGAGAACAAGUUUUUGACAUUGACGAAGGGUAGCAUGUCAGUGGAUGAGUACACCAAUAACUUCACCGAUAAGAUGGAGUUUGCCUUGCGUAUCGUUCCAGACGAGCUGACAAAGGUGGAUCGGUAUGCGAAGGGACUUCCAUGGGAGUACGAGGUGCCGGUACGUCAGGCACUUACUCUAGAGGCAGCUAUCUGGGCUGCCAAGUCUGUGGAGAACAUGAUCAAGGGGAGAACCACCGUCAAGGUUGAGGUUGGUGAGAAAAGGAAGUUUGAAGGAACAUCUGGUUCCAGUAAGAAGAGCAAAUUUUCGAAAUCUGAUUCGAAAAAGUUUGGAGGAAAAGGAGGCGAAGCAAAGUGGUGUGAUAAGUGUAAGAAAAAGCACUUUGGGAAAUGUAGCGAGGAUGUGACCUGCUACAAGUGUGGAAAGGUUGGACAUUUUGCCAAUGAAUGUCCGAACAACAAAAGGAUGUGUUUUGGGUGUAAUGAAGAGGGGCAUAUUUUGAAAGACUGUCCGAAGAAGAAGGAGGCAGCUAGGCCCAACAUUCCACCAAAGCCGAAGGCGAGAGCCUUCCAGAUGACACUUGAGGCUGCGAAAGAUGAAGCUGAUGUCGCUUCAGGUACCUUUCUCGUAAACGAAUUACCUGCUCAUAUAUUGUUUGAUUCUGGAGCCAACUACUCCUUUAUUUCGCAUGAGUUUGGUAGAAAGCUAGCUUUGCCUGUUGAUAGACUAGAUAAUGCUUUAUUAGUCGAAGUAGCUAGUGGCAAGUUUGUACCUGUUAGCCAUCGUAUGAAAAACGUCUUGAUCGACCUUAAUGGGAAUAAGUUUCUCGAGGAAUUAUUGCCUAUCGAACUAAAUGGUUUCGACAUCGUCUUGGGAAUGGAUUGGCUUAGCGCCAAUGAUGCCGAAAUUUUGUGCAAGAAGAAGAUAGUUAAAGUAAACCCGCCUGGGAAAGAUUCGUUUAUGGUGUAUGGGGACAAACGCAGAGUGAAUUCUGGAAUCAUUUCUCUAAUGAAAGCCAGAAAGUGUUUGACCAAGGGAUGUACAUCAUAUUUAGCAUUCGUGAUUGAUGCUAAGAAAGAAAAGAAGGUGAUGCAGAGCAUUCCAGUGGUGUGUGAUUAUCCGGAAGUAUUUCCCGAGGAUCUUCCUGGAUUACCACCUGAUAGACAAGUGGAGUUCAGAAUAGACUUGUUACCAGGAACCACGCCAAUAGCAAAAGCACCUUAUCGAUUAGCACCGACGGAGAUGAAGGAGCUGAUGAUGCAACUUCAGGAGUUAUUGGACAAAGGUUUCAUUAGACCUAGUUCAUCGCCCUGGGGAGCUCCGGUGUUAUUUGUAAAGAAGAAAGAUGGAAGUAUGAGAAUGUGCAUCGAUUACAGAGAGCUGAACAAGGCAACAAUAAAGAAUAGAUAUCCGUUGCCGAGGAUUGAUGACCUGUUUGAUCAAUUGCAAGGUUCGAGCUAUUUCUCGAAGAUCGAUCUUAGGUCAGGAUAUCAUCAGCUGAAAGUAAGAGAGCAAGAUAUCGAGAAGACUGCAUUCAGAACUAGAUAUGGACACUACGAGUUCUUGGUUAUGUCGUUUGGACUAACCAAUGCUCCAGCAGCGUUCAUGGAUUUGAUGAAUAGGGUUUGUAAUCCUUUCCUUGAUAAAUCCGUGAUAGUGUUCAUAGACGACAUUCUGAUCUACUCGAAAAGCCAGGAGGAGCAUGGCAGACACUUGCGAGAAGUGUUAGAAGUUUUGAAGAAGGAGAAGCUUUAUGCGAAGUUCUCCAAAUGUGAUUUUUGGAUUCGUGAGGUCCAAUUCUUGGGUCACGUGGUCAACCAAGAAGGGAUAAUGGUUGAUCCAGCGAAGAUCGAAGCUGUGACGAAGUGGGAACAACCGAAAAGUCCCACGGAGAUUCGAAGCUUUUUAGGAUUAGCCGGAUAUUACCGAAGGUUUAUCCAAGGCUUUUCUUCGAUUGCUACUCCAUUAACAGCUUUGACCCACAAAGGAGCUACUUAUGCUUGGAGUGAGAAGCAUAAAGAAGCAUUCGAGAAGUUAAAGAAGAAGCUAUGCGAGGCACCGAUACUUUCUCUACCCGAUGGAGUUGAAGACUUCGCUGUUUAUAGCGAUGCGUCUGGUGUUGGAUUGGGUUGUGUUUUGACCCAAAGAGAAAAGGUGAUAGCAUAUGCGUCUCGACAGCUGAAAGAGCAUGAAAAGAAUUACCCGACUCAUGAUUUGGAGUUGGCAGCGGUAGUUUUCGCUCUGAAAAUAUGGAGGCAUUACCUCUAUGGCACGAAGUGCAAACUUUUCACUGAUCAUAAGAGUCUCCAAUACCUCUUUAAUCAGAAAGAAUUGAAUAUGAGGCAACGACGCUGGCUAGAAUUACUUAAAGACUACGACUGCGAGAUACUUUACCACCCCGGUAAAGCUAAUGUUGUUGCUGAUGCUCUCAGUCGGAAAGUCAAUCUUGAAAGGAAGAGGCCAAGAGCGUUGAGAAUUGAAGUUGUCUCGACUAUUGUGGAAAGUAUAAAGAAAGCUCAAGAGGAAGCUUCUGAGAAAAAUGACCGAAAGGAGGAACGUUUGGGUAAAACGUUGGUGUUUGGUACUAACGGUCAUGGACUGAAGGUAUUCCAAGAUCGUAUUUGGGUACCUAAGUCAGGAGGAAUUAGGGAUCUUCUGAUGGAAGAAGCUCACAAAACCAUGUACUCAAUUCAUCCGGGUAGCACUAAAAUGUAUAGGGACCUGAAACCCUACUACUGGUGGCCGACGAUGAAGCUUGAUGUUGCAAAGUAUGUGGCCGAGUGUGUGACUUGUGCGAGAGUCAAGACACAACAUCAGAAACCUUACGGGAGUUUAGAACCAUUGCCUGUGCCUAUGGGUAAGUGGGAAGACAUUGCUAUGGAUUUUGUCACUAAACUGCCCAGAACAAAGAAUGGUCACGACAUGAUUUGGGUGGUCGUUGAUCGAUUCACUAAGAGUGCGCAUUUCAUAGCGGCCAGGGAGAAAUGGUCUAUGGAAAAGCUUGCGAAUUCUUACGUGAAGGAAAUUGUGAGGCUUCACGGUGUUCCGUUAACGAUUGUAUCGGAUCGUGAUAGCCGUUUCACCUCAAGGUUUUGGAAAAGUCUACAAGAGGAAAUGGGUACCAAGUUAUGUUUAAGCACAGCUUACCAUCCGCAGACUGAUGGUCAGAGUGAAAGAACAAUACAAACACUUGAAGAUAUGCUGAGAGCAUGUACCUUGGAAUUCCUAGGUAAUUGGGAUGAACAUUUACCGUUGGUAGAAUUUUCCUAUAAUAAUAGUUUUCACUCGAGCAUUAAGAUGGCACCUUAUCAAGCUUUGUAUGGACAGAAGUGUCGUACGCCGUCUUGUUGGCUUGAGGCUGGGGAAAAGCAGUUUAUGGGACCGGAGAUGGUUCAUCAAACUGCUGAAAAGUUGAAAAUAAUUAGGGAAAGAAUGUUAGCAGCUCAAGAUCGUCAAAAGAGCUAUGCUGACAAGAAGCGAAGACCGAUGACUUUUGAGGUUGGAGAUUCGGUUUUGCUUAAAGUCUCGCCGUGGAAGGGACUUAUAAGAUUUGGUAAAAGGGGAAAGUUGAGUCCAAGGUUUAUUGGACCGUUUAAAGUCCUUCAGAGGAUUGGGAAUCAAGCUUACAAGCUCGAAUUACCCGAAGAACUGAAUGGAAUUCACAACACCUUUCAUGUGUGUUAUUUGAGGAAGUUCACGGGAGAAGUUCCCGAUAUAAUUCCAAUUUCUGAAUUGAGAAUUGAUGAGAACAAAAGGUUGAUUGAAGAACCAGAGGCAAUUGUUGACCGAAAGACUAAGAAGUUGCGACGCAAAAUGGUUGGGUUAGUGCUUGUCCGAUGGAAACACACGAAUGGGCCGAAUCUCACCUGGGAGACGGAGAGUGACAUGUUGAGUCGCUAUCCGCAUUUGUUUGUUGAUGUGUGAUUCCGGGGACGGAAUCAUUCUAAGGUGGAGAGAAUUGUAACGCCUGUGUUUCCGGGCUUGCCAUUUUUAGCAAUGUAAUAGUCUAGGUUAACCUUUGUAACCCGUUUUGAAAUAAUAAGAUUGUAUUAUUUGAGUAUUAUGUGUUUUGUGCUUAAUUGCUUAAUUAUGUGGUUUGAUUAAUUAAGAAUAAAAAUAAGCGUCAAAAUUUAAGUGUAAAAUAAACUUAAUAUCUUUGGUUAAUGUUGUAGUAGUUGAAACGAGGUUUCCGAAUAUAUAUAGAACGCCCAAAUCUGACUUCGUAUGAGGAAGUUAUGAUUUAUCGAAGUUCCGGCUUAGCGAUAUACAGCCUGUUUUACUCGAUUUGAGAUCGAGCGGUUGUUAGCCGAAGCAAUCUAAAUGAGAAUCGAAGAUCUCAUUGUUGGUAUUGAAACGAUAAAAAGUUAGGCGAGAACGGACGUCAAACGAAGAAGUUAUGAAUUUAUAACGAAAGUUUCUGUCCCGGCCUAUUAAAAAUAAUUAAUAAAAAUAAAGUCAAAAUUAGCCGACGGAGUCUAAACGAAAGUCGUAGAGCGUGGUCUCACCUUCGCGUGGAUAUAAAGAACGUCGAAAACGGAGUUCGUAUGAAGAAGUUAUGAAUUUCCGAAGUUUAUUAAUCAUUUUGUAUUUAUUUUUAAUUCAAAAUUCGGAAGCAUUAUCCGAAGGAGUCACCGAUCUGAUCCGAGGUACGCCCCGCGUACUCGAGUACGCCCCGCGUACUCCGAGGGAUGUCGACACUCGCACUCGAGCACUUCGGAUACGUAAGCAAUGACGUUUUGGGCAGUACGCCCCGCGUAACGCAGUACGCCCCGCGUACUCCGAGGCUCCAGCCUCCUAUAAAUAGGAUGCGAGGGUUCCGGGUAUUUUUGCCAAUUCCCUCUCGUUUUCGUGUCGAAGCUCUGUGCAAAAACCCCCGAAGCUACCCCGAAGUCCCGGUAUCAUACUCUAGCCCCGAGGCAAGUCCCGAGAUCCUGAAGAUCCCGAAAAGUGCGGUUCCCGAGUCGAAGCUCUGCCCGCGAGAAGUUCGAUUUUCGAGAAGAUCUUCCAGAUCUGCUGUGGAUUACUACUUCUAUAAGCCGUAGUGCUGUCCGAUCAUCUUCUGAUCAAGUGAGUGUGUAGUUAUUUCUUCUAAUACAAUAAUACGAAGUAUUUUAUAUAAAAAUACGUGCUAUGUGUAUAUAUUUGGUUGUGUUAUGUGUGAAUGAGUAUUCACUCUCUUCUAUCUUAUAGAUCUGCUUAUUUCUUUAUGAGAUAUGUGUUAUGUGUGUGUGUGCCUCAUCUGUUAUGUGAUAUAUGUGUUGAUUAAAGCAUGCUAUACAGGUUUUCUUUAAACUAUGUAUACAAAUGUAUAUUUUUAUCUACUAAUAUGUUGGGUAGAACAUGGGUAGACAGUUGGUGUGUAAUAAACAGAUGAGAGGCCUCGUUGUUGUUUGAUUGAGUCAUCUAGCGGAGUUUAGAUGACGACCACUGGCUAUUCUAGACAGUCUUGUGGAAACAUUAGCAGGUUCGCCACCUGUAGGUGUUAAUGAACUUGGGUGUUCAUUCGCUGUACUCCAUCCCCCUCAUGGUUGCCUUAUUUGACUUAUAUUGCUGAGGUACCCCCGAAGCAUGUGUUGUCGCCCCGAUGAAAUAUUCUUAGACUAGGUCCCUUAUGUUAGUUGUUUUAGGGACAUUAAAGUGAGAAUAACGGGAAUGGGUAAUUGGGUUAUUGUUGGUUGGUGAAAAUUAAAUAUGAUAUUUAUUGUGGGUUGAAAACCCUAUAUGCUCACCAGGCUUCCAAGCCUGACCCACUCAGUUUUAAAUUGUAUUACAGGUAGUGGCGGAAGGGCAUGAGAUGGAUGAACCAUCAAGUUGUUUUGUUUACAAGUCUGCAUAUGUUGAUAUUUGUUAUAUGACUUGUAAUGUAUUCGUUUAUGCUUAUUGGUCUUUAUCGGAACAUGACACCCCGAGUUUUGAUUAUAAUGAAAAUACAUUUCUUUUAUGAAAUGCUUCGGUAAACAAUGUUUUAUCAUGUUUUGUUUUUGGGAACAAAUUCCGCAACUCUUUCAAAUCAAAAGGAUUUACUCUGAAAAUAUUUAAAAGCAUAAAUGAAAAUCGGUCUUUUCUGGCCGAGAUUUUGGGGAUGUCACAAUACCCGAUUUUGAGGAUACUUGUUCAUCUAGGUCAAUCACAUAGAAAUCCACCGGGAAGACCAAUUGGUUUACUUGCACUAGGACAUCUUCCAAAUCACCUCUAGGAAAGACACUUGAUUUAUCCGCAAGAGAUAUUAUGACACUGGUUUCACUUAAGGGUCCGACAUUCAAUGAUUCAUACACCGAGUAGGGCAUGACAUUGAUAGAGGCACCAAGAUCAAGCAUAGCACUACUAAAAGUGACAUCUCCAAUCUUGCAAGGAACCGUGAACAUUCCAGGAUCUUUACACUUGGGUGGAAGAUUCCUUUGUAAAACCGCGUAUGCAUUUUCAUUUAUCGAGAUUUUCUCAUUUCAUUUCAACUUUCUCUUGUUGGUGCAAAGUUCCUUCAAUAAUUUUGCAUAUCUCGGAAUUUGCUUGAUUGCAUCAAGUAAAGGAAUGUUUACUUCCACCUUUCGGAAGGUGUCCAAGAUCUCUUUCUCCUCCAUAUUCUUCUUUGAAGUUGCAAAUCGGGAAAGGAAUGGUGGUUGAAUGGCUAUUGGUGUCACUAGAGGAGCAGUCUUCUUUGGGGCUCCGACUUGUGCAUCGUUCUUGAUUAUAGGUUCUUCAACGGGAAUGAUCUCUAUUUCUUCCUCUUCUUCCCUUGGCUUCUUCUUCGAACUAUUUUCUCCGGUUUGUUUGCCACUUCUUAAGGUCACCACAUUGACAUUUGGGUUCUUUUCGGUUUGAGAAGGGAGUUUACCACGAGAUUCCAACUUGCUUAUGGAUGUAACUAUAUCUCCAAUUUGUGCUUCAAGGUUGGAGAUACUAGUCCUUGUCUCUUUUUGGAAUUGUUGGGUACUAGUGGCUAGGGAUUUGACAAUGCCUUCAAGAGACAUUCUGGAGCUACUUGGUUGAGAUUAAGGAGGUUGUUGAUGAUGAUGUGGAGUGUGCGGUUUGGGUUGAUAGUGUGGUUAUUGAUGUUGGUAAUGAGGUUGUGGUGGUGGAUAGGACGGUCUAACCAAUGCAUUUUGAGGCAAUGGUCUUGGGUUGUAGCUCAUGUUGGGAUUUGGCUUCCAACUUGAAUUAUAUGCAUUUUGGUGACCGGAUGGCUUGUUGUGAUAGUUUUGGAACUCCCCUGUGGCAUUUACAUGUUCCACAUCUUCUUGAAGAAUGGGGCACAUAUCCGUAGGAUGUCCCAUUGUUGCACAUAUUCCACAAACCAUCACUUGUGGAGUUUGUCCCAUGGCUAGCUUUUGGACAACGGAGGUUAGAUCUUUGAUUUGAGACUCGAGAUUUGAUGUUCCCACCUCGUUGACUUUUUGUUGAGUUUCUCUCUUCAUAUCUUGACGAGGGCCAAAAUGUUGUGAAUUUGCGGCUAUGGUGUUGAAGAGUUGUCUUGUUUGUUGUGGAGUUUUACUAAAGACAUCUCCACCACUUGAGGCAUCCACUAGUCUUCUCUCCAUUGGUAGCAAUCCCUCAUAGAAGUGUUGAAUGAGGAGUUGUUACGGGAUUUGGUGUUGUGGGCAACUAUGGCACAAGUUGUUGAACCUCUCCUAAUAAUCAUGAAAAGUCUCAUUUUGACCUUGGCAGAUUCCACAAAUCUCAUUUCUAAGACUUGAGACUCUUGAAGCGGGAUAUAACUUAUCAAGGAAAGCUCUUGCCAUGUCGGUCCAUGAGUUGAUCGACCCCGAUGGAAAAUAGAAUAAUCAAUCUUUUUCUCUAUCGGCCAAUGAAAAGGGGAAUGCCCUUAGCUUGAUUUGGUCAUCGGUUGACCCUUGUGGCUUCAUACUAGUGCAAAUAAUGUGGAACAUCUUCAAAUGCUUAUGCGGGUCUUCGUUCUCCAAUCCAUGAAAAGUUGGGAGGUGAUGGACUAAACUUGACUUCAAUUCCGAACCUCCUUCCAAAACCGAGUAAUUGAUACCGGUUGGAGUUUGUGUAACAUCGGUCUCCAUCAUUUGCCUCAAAGUUCUCUCGGGAACUUCUCAUCUGUCCGCCAUUGCAAUUGGUUCAAUAAUGGGUGGAUUUUGUUGUAGGGGUGGUGUUUCGGGAAUUUCUUGGCGAGGGUCGGGACUAGAAUCGGGUUCCGUAUCACUUGAUGAAGUGGGUUCAACCUCCGGACCCCCGUGAGGAUUAGAGAAACAAAUUGAUUAAAAACAAACCAAUCCCCGGCAACGACGCCAAAAUUUGGUGGUUAUCGAGGCCAAUAAAAUUAAUAACCCUAAAUCUUUUACACUAACAUAGUGUAUAGUGGUAAAGGGAUCAUAUCCACGGAGAUUGGUUCAAUUUAAAUCUCUAUGUAAAUUUCUUUGUAAAAUACUUGCAAAAUAAAGCUAAAAGUAAAAAAAGGGGGGGGGGGGUUAAUUCUUUCGAUUGUUUGACAAAAUUUAAAACUAGCUAGAAUGAAAAUAUUACAAGUAAACAAGUAAAAGAUUUGAUUAAAUUCAAAGAAGUGGAAUUGGUUGAUUUUGGGGUACACCUCAUGGAUGCUAUGAUUGAUUUAUCAUUAGACUUAAUGGAAUAACACUUGUGAAUUGGUUUAACUUGGCUAUAGCAAUUCAUAAGCACAAAUUGCCUCAACUCUUCUUAUAAAUUAAAAUGGUUAGAGGAGCUCUUAACACAUUUCCUUAAUUGAAGUCACAAAAUCAAUGAAGCAUAAAACCUUGUGAAAAUCAAUUAGCUUUAAGUUGUAAGAGUUACCAAGUCCACAAGAUAUCAAAUGCUUACAUUAUCAUUAUGGAGGAAAUAUUUCCAUGGUCUAAUUUGAAGGUCCAUUACUUAACCAAGAAAUUAGUCAGCAAAUACAAGCAUUCAUUCAUCCAAGCUCAUGAUCAAAGAUAAAUAUACACAACAAGAUGUUUAACUAGAAAAUAUUCCCAUAAACUUCAAACACAAUGUAAUGAUAAGUCUUAAAAGCAAAUAAUCAUCCAUGGGUUAAAUCCUAAUCAACCAAAUGAAAGCUUAGCCAAGCAUGGCCAAAGUAAAAGAAAAACAAUAUAGUUUAGUGGUACCAAACAUUGUCUUUGAUGCAAGAUGAAAGGAAAUUACACUAUUAUUCCAAAAAUUCUUCAAAUCUUCCAAGGCUUUUGAGAGAGAAUAUGGUGUUUGUUCUUCAAGUCAUCCCCCUCAAUAACGGCUCCACUCUCCAGCAAAAGGGGGCUGAUUUCCGGAUUCAAAAAAGUGCCAAAAGCCACCCACCAAACUUCCACAAUUAGAGUCAACAAGUCAAACCCGAAAUCAGCUCAGAACAAUUCACACGGACCGCGUAAGAGUCCACGCGGACCGCAUGGGUCACGCUGAAUGUGAAACUUGGGCCAUUAAUCAUGCAUUCUAGCCCAAUCUUCAAUUCUUCAACUUCAGCCCACAAUCAUAACUCUUUAGGGCCCAUUUGUGGCAUUCCAAAGCCUUCUAAUGAUUGACCCAAUACUCCUUAAAUUUUCUUGUAGCUCGAUUCCCAUCGUCUCAUCAUCAUCCUUGCUCACAAAUUAGGUCCAAACUGAUUUCUUCUUUAUGCAAGCACCAAGCCCAAUCGCACCACUCCAAAUCCACAAGCAAACCGCAAGCUCUAUAGGUCUCGCACCCUUCUAAGCCACCAAUAACAAAAAGUCUUCGAUAAAUCCUACAAAUAAGCUCAAAAGACUGGAAAGUACCCGGUAAAGGAGAAAAAUAAGCUCCCAAAACCGUNAAGGAGAAAAAUAAGAAAAAGAGAAAAUAUGCAUGAUGAUUAACUAAAAUGGGAUGGUUUUGACUAAAAAUAAACUACGGAAAGAAGUAAUAAAAUGAAGCUAUCAUAAACUAAUGCCAAAUAAUGGUGUUCCCAUUUCACAAUUGGAAUGCUCUGAGACUAUUGGUAGUUUGAUGUAUGUCAUGACAAGUACCAGACCUGAUAUUGCUUUUGUUGUGGGUAAAUUGAGCAGGUACACUAGUAAUCCCAUUGCUUAACAUUGGAAAGCAGUAAAUAUAGUGUUUAAGUAUCUUAAGGGAAUCAUGAAUUAUGGUUUGAGUUAUUUGGGAAGUCCUUUGGUUUUAGAAGGUCAUUCGGAUGCAAGUUGGAUAACCAACAUGGAGGACCAUUCCUCAACUUAUGGUUGGGUAUUCUUGCUUGGGGGAUGUGUCAUCUCUUGAGCUUCCAAUAAGCAAUCUUGCAUUACAAACUCAACAACGAAAUUUGAUUUUGUUGCGUUACCAACUGCUGGUAAAGAAGCAGAGUGGCUAAGGAUUUUAGUCUAUGAGAUUCCUUUGUGGUCUAAACCGAUAGCACCUAUUUCUAUCCUUUGUGAUAGUGCAACCACUUUGGCUAAGGCAUAUAGUCAGGUUUAUAAUGGCAAGUCUAGACACCUAGGUGUUAGACAUAGUAUGAUUAGAGAACUAAUCACGAAUAGUGUGAUUUCGGUUGAGUUUGUGAAAUCGCAACAAAAAUUGGCAGAUCACUUGACUAAAGGUCUGACAAGAGACUUAGUGCACAAGUCUGUAAUCAGGAUGAGAUUAAAGUCCAUUUAAUUCUAUAAUGACGAGACACUCAAUUCCUUCCUAAUAUAAUGUUGGGAGUUGAAUUCAAUGUGGAAAACUAAUACUUAUGGAUUGAAACACAUGAAGUAUUCAUCCCAGGUAUGUGUUCGCUUCUGCAAGUUAGCCAGGUUGAAGUUUAACUUAUUAAUAAAUCCUUUGAUAAAUGUAUGUACAGAUACAUGGAAAGGAGUUACCUACAUGAUUGUGAAGUGUAGCCGCAUUUCAAGAGGUUGUGGACUUGACCUUGAUACGAUCAUGAGAGGAUUGGGUCACACGACUUUAUAAUAUUGUCAAGUUGUAUUUUGCUAGAAAUUCAAUAAACUAGUUUGUAUUUUACUUUUUGGUAUUCAAAUGGGUUGAUGGGUUCAAUUCUUAAAACACCCUGAUUCUUGAGUAUUUGCAAAUGUAUAAUACUAAGUGGAAAUUCAAUCGUUUCGAUAUUUUCAUUAUGUACUAUUUUGAUUUCUUUGAUAAGGUUAUGUUUGUUCAAGGGUUACACUAAAAUGGGGGAGGAUUGUUGAUGAUUUUAGUGUCACCACAAACCCUAAAUUUUUUAACAACUCUAAUGAUGAUAAGUGAAGAGUGUGUAUGGUAGGUUGUAUGGUAGGAAACACUUGUUUUUCCGGUGUGGUACGAUGAGCUAGAACCAUGUUGGAGUUGCACUUACAUGCACAAUUUAGAUGCUUCUUGUAGAGCAAAUGGAAGUAAAACCUUAAAGAUUCAAUUGGUUCGAUGGAAAGCAACUUCAAAGUGGGGAGAAAAGUAAGUUAAACCGUCAAUUGGUUCUCAUUGCUUUCUUUUCGGUGAGACUAUUAGAUUAAGGGCAUGGGUUAUAACGAAUGAAGGAAAAUGAAAUUAACAAUUUUAUGUAUUCUUGGGGCAUGAAUUUCUAAAGGCACACCAUAUUAGAUAUACAGUAAAGAGUAAGUAACAUGCGACGAUGAUGGUGCUAUAGAUUUUGGUUGCUGGUUUUAGAAAGAGACCCUAAUCCUUUUUAAUGAUAACAACAGUCAAUUACAUGAAUCGUCUCUCGUGUUGGUGUCAAAACAUGUUUGAUUCUUGUUUUCAAAAAUUGACUCGUACUGUCCCUCGUUUGUUUUCAGUUUGCAUGUUUCGUCCCUCAUUAGUUUAAAUUUGCACAAUUCAUCCUUUGCCUGAUGAGUUCAGUGAUGGUGGAGAUGGGAUCGUCGGAAAAGCUUAAGGGGGUCGUUGAUAAUGUUUCACCGGUAGAAAAUAAAGAAUGGUUAAGAAUUGAAUGGGUAGGUGGGAUGAGAGUAGACGGUGAAAUGAGCCUUUUUUUCAAUAAAAUAAUAAAAAGGGGCAAUAUAUUCAUUUUAUAUAUAGCAAAGACGAAACAUGUAAGUUUUAACGAUAUAAGGAUGAUCCAAAUUAAUUUUUUAAAAUAAUGAUUGAACGUGUCUUUUAACACAUGCAAAAGGGACAAUUUGUUUAAUUUACCUUUUAACUCUAUUAAUAAAAACAUAAAGAAUAUUAAAAGAUAAUUAUUUACGUGCAUAGUAGUAUCUUAAGUUUGGUAUGGAUCAAAUUAAAAAAAAAAAAAAAUCAAGUUUGAGAAGGGACAGAAACGGAACAAAAAUCAUAAAAAAUAUAUGAUUUUGGACCAAUGCAAAUUAAUUAUUUUGGACUAAAUCCAAAGAAAAUCAAAUAGAAAAUCAAAUAUCACAAGGAUCAUUAUUGCUCUCGUCUUAUUUAUUAUUCAUUAAAUAUGUUUUUCUAAUUAGCGGGGUAUUUGAGAAGGUAGCACUUAAAAGGAAAAAUAGAUAUGCUAUUACUAGAUUAAUUAUUAUGAUUGAAGAGCAUAAAAAUCAAGUUCUUAAAAUCAAUAGCAAAGCAUUAUAGCCUAGGGAAAUCUGCUUAAUGAAAUAAACUUUUGGAAAGUAGAAAAAUAAAGAGUUGGGACAAACAAAUUAUUGCGUCAACGAUGAUAUUAAUUGCCAAAAAUGGAAUUUGAACAACGUGAAGAAUGGGCAACAAAAAUAUAGAAAGAAUAUAUUUAUAACUACCUUUUUAUUUAUUUCACAAUAAAUACAAUACUAUUUGAACUCCUUUUUUUAACAAAUUUUAUUCCUUUAUAUGUUAAUAAUCAUAUCAAUAAUAGUAUUUCACAAAUUUCUAUAUCUUGUUUUAUCUGUGAUCAAUAAUAACCAAACAUUCUCUUAAAUAAGAAUUUACGAAGUGUAGAAUUUGUCCGGGAAGUAAUGUCUAUCGAAGGAAAAGACGAAGAAUAAAAAAUUUGGAGCAGCACUACUACUUGGGAGCCGCAACUGAAAUACAGCUAACAUCCUCUCUCUCCUCUCUCAUGUAAAAGGGGUUUUUCAAUCUAAAUCAGGAUCAAAUAAUUAUUAAGGACUCAAGAGUAUCAGAAUGAAGGAGAUGAUGAAGCAGAAGAUGAUGAAUAGGUUUCACAAGCGGAAUUCCUCCUCCGCUUCAUCUGUUGAUUUUAAAUCAGGCGAAAAACUCGAUUUCAAGUUCUCUAGUCUUCAAGCUCUUCAGGUCUAUCUCUUUCGUUUUUAAUACACACAACUGGUAUCUGUUUCUCUUAGUUACUUUAGAUGGAUUGUCUAAGCUUCAGGAAGAUAUGUAAGGUUUAGCAAGUUCCGUAAAGUUAGUAGUGAAGAUUUUGAUGUAUAUCUCUGCGGUCUAUUUAUUUGUUGUGUUUCAGCUUUCAAAGUGGAGAGAUAUUUGAAACGAUAAGUGCUUGAUUAGGAAACAUGUCGACGUAUGUAGAUAAAUUUGUUAUAUCAAUUACUCAAACCUAUUUCCAGAUAAAAUGAUAUGAUGACUGAAGUGAGUAUGUAAUGACAUGAUGGCUCAUGCUAGAUAUCAAGUAGCUGUCAGUUUUAGUUGUAACCAAUAUUUCUUGUUUGCGAAGGAUUCAUGUUCAUUGUUGUUUUGUAUAUUCAGGUACCCUCAGGAUGGGAUAAGCUUUCAAUCUCUCUCAUCUCCAUAGAAACAGAUAAAACCGUUGCCAAAACAGGUAAAGCAUCUGUAUGCAAUGGAAAUUGUCGAUGGACAGAGACCUUGUCAGAAUCCAUUUGGCUCUCUCAUGAUGAUGCUUCAAAAGAGCUUCAGCAAUGCCUUUAUAAGCUUCUUAUUUUAAAGGUAUGAUGCCUAUCUUCACUCAUUUCGUUCAUGUUUACACAUGAGCCAUUUAUUUGCUAUGGUCUAGUUAUUUCACUACUAAUCACUUGUUAUUUCCUUCUGAUAGGGGUCAACUAGAUCUGGCAUCCUUGGAGAGGCUACUGUUAAUUUGUCAAGUUACAUGAGUUCUGAAACUUCUCUUCCUGUUGCACUACCUCUAAAGAAGUGUGAUCAUGGGACAAUUUUACAGGUCAGUCAAGCAGAUGCUACAAAGCUUUACUUUUGAAAGUUAUGGAGUAACGCUUUUUCUGGAUUUCAAUUGUGUAUAGUUACUACUUUUAUGUGCUUUUGUGACAUUGUGCUCUCUCAGAAGGAAGAAUUUGGAUUCUCUGUUUGCAGGUCGCUAUUCAGUGCUUAACUCCUCGACCUAAUUCAAGGUUUGAUCCUGAACAAGAGAAUCAAUCUUCAUGUUUUUUCUUCCAGUCCUUACAGAGGGUGUAACUUGUUACUUGCUGCAUGUUUCAUGAACACAGAUGGAGUGACACCAACUCUUUUGCAGACAGCAGUGAUCUAGAUAACAUAUCUGAUGCACCAAAUGGUUUUGACACCAAACCUAUAGGAACUUCAACAAGCAAUAGCAUUCGGGAUACAUCUAAUUCACUUGGUAGCAGGGUAUUUCUCACCUAACUCUACUAAAAGGUUUUUUGCUCUUAAACUAUAGCUAGAAUCAUAAUUUGUCCUUGACAUCCUUGUGCAUCUAAGGAUACCUUUUGUUUGUUCAACAGGAGACAAGCUUUGCAACAGUGAGAUCACAUAACAGCUUUGAUUCAAUGGAGGAUUCUUUUGGCUCUCAUAGUAAUCUAAGUGAUGCUGCAAUCGAUUUGAUUGGAAAACCAGGGUCAACUACCAAUACCAUGGUCAAUGUUUAUAAUUCUCCUAGUUCUGGAAAGAAUCUUCUGAAUCGAAGACAAGAUUCUGGGAAAGUUUCACAUAAUAUCCCCGCAUCACCAUUAAGAACUUUUAGAUCCUCUGAAUAUGCUCUGGAUGAUGAUGUGGCAACAGAAGAACUUCGUGCAGAAGCAAGAACAUGGGAAAGAAAUGCUAGAAAGUUAAUGGUUGAUCUUGAAUUAUCAAGGAAGGUGACUAGUGAUCAAACAAGGAACCUGGAAAAUGUGACUAUGGAGCUUUCUGCAUUACAAACAGAAUGUAAUGAUCUGAAAAACGAAAUCAAACACCUGAAAAUUCUCCUAGGUGAAUCAGAAGUGAAAGAUAGGGAUGCUGAUAAUCUAAAAGCUCAGGUUCAAGAUAAAAACGGUAUCCAAGCAGAACUUGAAGAAGAAAUAAAAUUUCAGAAAGAUUUGAAUAAUAAUUUGAGUAUACAACUGAAUAAAACUCAAGAAUCAAAUCUUGAGCUAGUUUCUAUCCUCCAGGAACUGGAAGAACAAAUAGAAAAACAGAAAUUGGAGAUAAAUAGUCUCGAGGCAUCAGAACAAUCAGCAGUUGAUGAAGACAAUGGAGAAGAGCAUACAGGGGUAGAAGUGUCAAGAAUCACAACAGAAGACAACUGUAGACUUGAGCUUGAACUACAGAAAUUUCAGGAAUCCCAAGAAAAGUUGGAAAGUAGAAUCCUUCAUUUGGAGGAGACCCUUGAGGAAAAAAACAGAGAAAUAGAACUCGAAAGAGACCUCAAGACUCAAACUUUAUUGGACAUUGACUCAGAAUGGACAAAGAAAUUAAGUUUGAAAGACAAACAAAUCUUGAAUUUGGAAGAAAAAUUAUCAGAAGCUCUUGCUGCAAAAUUACCAGUUCUGAAGGAAACCGAGUCACAGACAAUAGAAACUCCUGAUCUCAUUGAAGAAGUUAAAGCUUUAAAGGAUAAGAUUCUUGAGCUUGAAAGAGAUUGUAAUGAGCUUACUGAUGAAAAUCUUGAACUCCUCUUUAAACUUAAAGAAUCAAGCAAAGAUUUCUCAACAAAUGGUGCUUCUGAAGUGGAAUACAGUGUAAAAGACAUCAAUGGUAAACUUGACAAUUUGAUAAUAGAGUUAAAAUCCAAAGUUGAGGAUCUGAAUAAAGAAUUAUUCACCAAAACCUCUGAGAUUGAAGAGCUUAAAUCAGACUGUUUGCUUAAGGAAGAGGAGAUUCAGUCUCAAUGUAAUCGUCUACAAGACUUCGAGGCUCAAUUGUCUGAUUUGCAAAUAGUCAACAGUCAGUUGGAGAAAAGUUUGACCGACGCUAAAGAGUCAACUCGUGUAGAAACAGAGCAUUCAGAGUCUCAAGUUAUUGAAAUCAAAAGACUGGAAAAUGAAGUGGAGGAUAUGAAAAAACGGUGGUUGGAAGCUCAAGAAGAAUGUGAGAAUCUUAAAAAAGAAAAUCCCAAAUUACAAGCUACUACAGAGAACCUUCUGGAAGAGUGUAGUUUACUUCAAAAGUCUAAUAGUGAGUUAAGACAGCAAAAAUUAGAGCUGCAUAAUCACUGCACAAAUGUGGAAGAAAAAUUGAGAGAGUCGGAAGAUAAUUUCUUGAAGUUAUCAAAGAAUUUGGAUGACUUAGAAGAAAAUUUAUCAACAAUGCUCCAUGAGAUCAUGUCAAAAGAGAAAAUGUUUGAUUCAAAACUUGAAAGUUUACAUGUGCAAUUUACAGAAGAAAAUUCAAAUGUUGAGGUCCAAUUGCAGAAAGUUACAGAGUUGCAGGAUGAGAUUGUGGCCCUUAAGAACUCGCUUAAUGAUGUGAAACAUGAGAAUGAGAGACUUGAAGCUUCAUUAGAAAUGAUGUCUGGAGAUUAUGAGGAAUUAAAGGAAGAGAAAACUUUGUUACUUGAGAAAUCCCUUAGCAUGCAGAAGUCAGUGAUUGAGUUGGAGGAGCUUAAACGUAAAAAGUUUGCCAUGGAAGAAAAACUCUUGCGUUUUGAAAGAAAUCUAACUGCUGAGGUCCAUAUCUCAGAUUCUUUCUUCUUUUUAGUGAUCAUAAGUCAUGUCAAAAAGUUGACUUUUUGACUUUUUUUCCCCUUGACAGGAUGUGGAAGGUGGUACAGUUGAUGAUGAGUCAUCAUCUAGAAUCCAAUCACUGGAGCUUGCACUUGAUGAGGCUUUGGAAGCCAAUAAAAUGUAUAAAAUACAGCUUAAGAGGUAUGUUACUAUAAUCAUGAAAAUUGUUUUUUGUGAUUGAUUUUUGUCAAUGAUGCUUAUGUGAUGAAAUUUCAGUUUGUUGUCUGAGAAAGAAGCGCGUGAAUCGGAUAUUCUGAUGGAGUUGAAGGUUAAAGAUGAAGGAAUGAAGGAGGAACAUAAACAUAAUGAUUCACUUAAGGCCGAGUUAAAUGAACUUCAAGAACGUUACCUCAACAUGAGCCUCAAAUAUGCAGAAGUAGAAGCUCAACGUGAAGACCUUGUCUUGAAGUUAAAGAACAUUGGUCCCACAAGGAGCUGGUUUUCCUAAAAUCUUCCUUUUUUUUAAUUCUCUACUUAUUAUUAUUUUCAUGAAAUUGCAUCAACAAUUCAUGGUCAUCUGUUCUAUUCUAUACGAGGAAGAAAACUGAUUUUGUUAUAUGUCAUUGAUGGAGAGAACAUGAGUAAAUAGAAAAUUGGUGAGGUAAGCAAUAUCAUGUUUCUUUUCUUUUUUUGUUUUUGUUUUUGAGAGAAGAGGACCAUGUGCCAGUUCAACUUAAGGUAUAUCUUAUUGAACAUUUGUUGAUCUUUACUUAGAUUGUUACAGACCAAUCUCAACCUUCCUUCAACAUUGUAUGCCAUGUAAAAUGUAAGUAAGAUACACAUGUUUCGAGUGUUUUUUAGUUUGGAUUUCUGUUUUGGACUAGACUUUUUUCUGACACAGGAAUAUAAGUAUUUGUAACAUGUUAACUAAUGUUGGUAGGUUAAAAUGAAUAAAUUAUUAAUAAUCAAUGGUUUUUCCUCACAGAAUAUCUUUGUAAUAGUUUUUAUGGAAUUUUCAUUUGAAAAGUAGUUAGGACUUGGGGGUAGAGUAUUGAUUUUUUAAAAUAAGCAUUGGGUUUCAAUCUUAUUCAUUUGUGUGAAGUUAGACGUCAUUUGAUUGAAGUUUUCAUUUUGUAAACUCUUGUUGAGAUUGAAUAAACGUACAACGGUACAAAACAAAUAUUUAAUUUCAAGUGGCCCAAACAAUAAACAAAUGUGUUUUGACCAUUAUACCAUUUUAUUGGUCAAAGUUAAGACGCUUGUAGUAAUUUGAUAAUUGUUGUUAAUGGAAGAGGCUUAAAUGGUCAAAUAAAACAAUAAGAUAAAAAAAGAUAAGAAGAUAUAAAUGACCUUGAGUAUAACUUGACAAGUCUUGCAAUACAAGUAAUUGAUAUUUUGAUGCCACAAUCAAAUUGUGUGAUGUAUGAUUGCUAUAUCUCAACCACUACGAUAGCGACAUCAAACACCAAAUGCAUAAGAAAACAGAACUGGAAACAUACUAAAAAACAGAAAAAAUAUUCCUGUUGAAUUUUAUUUACGUGACACCGACGAAUCAAAACACGCCAACUGUCCUUGAGUUUUUUACAAAUGCAUAGCAUCCAACAUGUAAUAAAUUACAAAGAAAAAAAAAAUCAACACUUUACAUACGAGAGAGAACACGAAGAAGAACAUGAAAAAACCUACUUCAAUUCAAGUAGAGUAGAUGAUCCAAAUCUUCUUCUUCUUUCUUCUUCUUGGGUCAGUUUUAUAAAUGUUUUUUAGAGUAUGGAGUAAGCUCGGAUUACCUCAACAAUGGGUGCCCGGCACAAGGGACAUUUCCCUCCUCCUCUUACCAACUCAUUUGCACACUUGGAACACGUGCACAUAUGUCCACAUCUGCACAUCACAUCAUCACUUGCUUAAUCCACACACCUAUAUAUAUAAUAUAAUAUAUCUAUAUAUAAAAGUAUCAACUGUUUCUUUUUUUACUUAAUAAUGUAACACUACCUGUACAACAGUGAAUCAAUUUGGCUAUCGCAACAAACACAGCAAGUUCCCUUUUUCACAUGGACCCACUUCGACCCAUCUUCAGAACUCCCUCCAUCAACACCUACAAAAAAACAUUUUCCUUAUUUUCCUUUAUCCUUCACUUUUCAUUACAUAACAAUAACAAUAAUAUAAUAAUAAAAAAGUUUGUGUACCUUGCUGCCCGCCCGCUGACCGAUUCAAAGCAGCAGACACUUCCUGCCUGACCGAACGUUGCAACUCAAGUUGCAUAUCCAUGCAAGCCUCCAGCAUCCUCUGCAUGUGACUCAUACCUUGUUGCAAUCUCGCCAUGUCAGCUCUCAAAUCAUUAAUCAUCUCCCAUUCCUAUAUACGUAACAAAAUAUAUUAAAAACUGAAAUGAAAGAUAUAAAUCACAAUUCACAAAAAUGCUUACGAGUUCAGAUCGGUGGAUGCUGUGGCGGGACCAAUUAGAAUGAUUCAAAUCAUGGUGGUGCCAAACCGGUACUGGCGGUGGUACUGGCGGUGAUGGUGAUGGUCUGCUACCAAUGGUGGCGGUGGUGGCUUCAUUUUGGUUUUCAUUGUCUUCAUCUCUAAGACCAAGACCACCCUGUUGUUGUUGUUGAUCACCUACUUCUGGUGACAUGUUUCUGUGAAGAUCCCAAUCGAUUGGUGCUCUGCUUUGCCUUUCCACAUAUGAUUGAAUCAAAUGGUCUAAACUUUCCCGAAAACCACUUCGAAGAAGAUUAGAAACACUUCUCCUAUAAUAUAAUUUAAAAAAAAAAAAAAAAAAACAAUUUGUUAUUUAAAUUGUUGAAAUGUUGAAAAGAAGGUUUAUAGUUUAUAUUAAUUACCUGCUUAAAAGUUCUCUUAAUUCCAUACUGUACACGUUAUCAUCUUCAGGUGCGUGAAAUCUGUUGGAUCUUCUAACAGGAACUGUACGUCGUGUUCUUGGAAUAAUAUCAGAAACCGUUUCUUGAUUACCUGAAUUGUUUUCUUGAAAAAUUUGAUCAUUGUCAUUACUGACACCUUGGUUAUCCCAAUCUUGACCUUCAUUUUCAUUGAUGUUUGUUUGUUGAUUUGUGGUUUGGAGUAGAGCUGCUGCAACACUUAUACUUUCCAGAUUCUGAUUUGAAACUUGAUGAAUGUUGGUUUCUUGAAUUUGAGUCUGUUGUUCGUGUUCAAUCUCCUGUUGAGUGGUGUUUGUAAUUGCAUCACUACUUAUAAAAUCAAUGGUGUUACUGUUAGUGUUAUCGUUAGAUGAAUUUUCAGAUUGGCUGCUUACUUGCCCUCGAACAAUGUGUUCUAGUCUUGAUCGAAACCCUUCCCUAAUUAUAUUAAAAAAAAAAAAAAUAUUAUAUAUUGUAUAUAUAUGAUAUCAAAUAAUCACAAUUCAAAAGAUUUCUUUAAAAUGUAUACCUAAGACCAGAGACAGUGUGGCGUUGUCUGAGCUGGACUAACUCACUUGCUGCCAUUGAUGGAAGCCUCUCCUCCUCCACAGGCCUCUCGUUUCUCAAAAAUCUCCCUCUUAGUAGUGACUGAUAUCAUCAACACAAUCUCAAUUUUCAAUACAACAAAAAGUAAAAAGUAUUAAAAAAAAAAAAAAGUGCACUAAAAAAACUGUCAUAAAGUGACCUGAAUUCGGUUGCGAUGAGCAAAAUCAGAAACAGCACGAUACUCUGUUAAACCCUCAAGUUCUCUCUGUCUUUCCCUUUCUACCCUCACAAGUAAAUCAAGUAAAGCUUGUCUUCCACGCAACCUCAACAUGUCCCUUCUGAUAUGCUCCGGUUGACCUUCAUCAUGGUCAACAACAGUCUCACGACUAGCUACGUGUUGUUGUAGUGGUUGUUGUUCUUCCCUAUGACUGCCACGUGGACGUGGGCCCCUCUGUUGACUAGUCAUCUGGACCCACUCACGCACGAUCCUCACCCUUUCACGCUCAGUUUCACCAAGCCAUUCUGCUCUUACACCAUUAGAUGCAUUAUGAUCAGUGACACCUGUCUCCCUCCAUCCCUGAACUAUAUGCCUAACUCUUUCUCUUUCUCUCUCUCUUUCGUUGUCUCCUAAAUCAGGAGACUGUUCACGGCUUGAAGUUUCAGUUUCUUGGAGUUCGUUUUGAGCUUCCAUUUGAUCAUUAGACCAAGCUCUGUAAUCAUUCUCACUUUCUGUAACAUCUUCUUCCAAACUGCCUUGAUGUUCACUUGCUUCUUGACCUUCUGACAUGUUGGUAAUGGUAUUGGAAUCCACACUUGCAUGUUGUCUGAGUCUUUCUCUUACUCUUUCACGAGCACGAUUUAGAACAUGUUCAUCUUCCAAUUCUCUCCACAUUUGGAGGAUAGAGGAAGCUUGGGUGCUUGGUCUUUCAAUGUUGCCUUGUCUCCUUGAGGUAGGGGAUUGAGACUCGCUUAAGAAGGAGGAAUCAAGCAUGGAAACUGUAUGCAAACCUGCAAGUGCCAUUAAUUCAGACUCACGGUUUCUCCUUUCUAUUGUGGUGAUCAUCUCUUGUGCUUGUCUUGCAGCCCAUCUGCUUAAGAUCCGUGAUUGUCGUCUUCUAGCAGCAGAAGUUUCAGCCAGAUCAUCGCCUUCAAGAUCUGACCUUCUUCUUCUUCUCACUAGCUGAUCACCACCUUCGCUUUCAUCAUCGUCCCCAUGAGGAGAGCUGCAUGAUGCGAAUGACAUACAAUCAUCCAAAUGCCCUCUCAUCAGUUCUUCCAAUCCCCUCUCGAAAUCAGAACCGUCGUUCUCAAAAUCUGAACAGGCAUCGGUGGUGCUUUCAGGCUUCUGUAGCAGUUGUGGUCGAACAUCAGUCAUCUUCUCACUAACCCUACCCACCUCAAUUCACCAACAAACACCCACUAGGACAAAAUUCACCAAUCGUUUGUAAACACAAUCAAACCCUAUCCUCUCCUCGAGAUCAACGAAUGAUCCGAUUUACGGAACGCAAUUCAGUCAGAUUAAUAACACCAGAUCAAAAUUGUGGUUUUCAUCGUAAACGAGACGACUCAAUAGGAAAUUCAAAGAAAUGAAAUCGAGAUCCACCAUAAUUCAAAGAAGGUAAAAAGAAAACGAACUAUGAAACAAUAACCUAUGAAUCAAUCAAUAAACUUACAGCAAAAUCCAAACUACAGAUUGGGAAAGAGGGAAAGACGUACCUCUGAAGCUAUGAGUGCGCUUUUUUUUCAAUAUAUUAGUUAGUGUGUGCGGGAAAAAACACAACCCUAAAAUUCUGUUGGACCAGAGAAAAGGAAUUUCGACUCGAUUAAGAGGAACCCCACGACAGAUUCAGAGCAAAAAAGUAAUAGUUUUUGUAAAGAUUAAAUAAAGAAAUAACAGGGAGAGAAUUUUGGGUUUACAUAAUCAAUCUUGUUUUGUUUCCAAGUGAGUGAUUGUUUUUGGUUUUGAGAUGAACUAAAAACCUAAACCCGAUCUUUGUGCAUCAGAAUUGCUGAAUUGACAACCUAAUCCGGGUGACCCACUAUUACUUGUAAUUUAUGCAUAAUUCAUGACACAUUCAGUAGGAUGAUUAGCAAAAACAUUUGGGGGAUAUUUUUUCACACAACAACCAUAUAAAUUUUGCCACCUCAAUAGAUUUUUUAGACUAUAAUCCAACAAAAUAUAUAUAUNNNNNNNNNNNNNNNNNNNNNNNNNNNNNNNNNNNNNNNNNNNNNNNNNNNNNNNNNNNNNNNNNNNNNNNNNNNNNNNNNNNNNNNNNNUAUAUAUAUUAAUUUUUAAUAAAAGUUUGAUUUUGAAAACAUUUUAUUAUACAUAUUAAUUGUUCAGGCUUAUGAACAAUGUCAAGGAUUGAGUUGUCAUUUAGUGGUUUAGCUGCAGCUUCAAUACCAGAUGGUUUGGAGUCGGCUUGAAUUUAGAGUACCACCAUCAUCUUUAAAUGGAAAUUCUGAUAUCUUUCUCUAAUCGAGUGCUUUGUAGUGGAUUGUGUCUUCCAUCCAUGUGUUUUUGCAUUGUCGUCUUCGUCAAUAUGUUUCUUCCAAAUCCUGCUUUAUGUCUUUACUCCAUCUAUGUCCUACUUGUGGGGAAAAAUUGUUUUUAGUCGGUUGUCGUACCCACCGCCUCUGCCUAGAUUAAAAGUGUUAUUCACUUCCACAAAGUUGCCACUUAUCCGUCUUUUCCAUUGUUGGCUUGGUUGUCUUUCCCCGGUUGAAGUUGCUUGUAGUCGUUGUCUCCGGCCCACAACCUUCGAAGCAUUUUUAAAGCUUCAACAGCCCAAUAGCGUUGUGUUAUUCCACGACCUAUGCACUUGUUUUUUUUUUCAACUACGAUUACAAAGAUAUGAACACACAAAAAAAAAUAACAUAAAGAAAUGUCUCCGAUUGGUGCUUCUGCUACUCACAACGAGUAAGUUUCUAGUGGCUUUGUGACUGUUGAUUAGUUCAAUUUAAUCGCCACAAAUGCAUCAUUGAUGAUAUAUAUGUUGGGUUAUGAGCAAAAUAUCAAUCGUAUGAUGCACACGCAAACCCUAAAGCUUUGGAUCUAGGUUUUUCUAAAGUACAUGCAAUAAUCAUCCAAAGCUUGCAAACCCUAAAUCUAUCAUAUAGAAAUCAAAAUCAACAUAAAUAAUACAAAUAGGAAUGUUGCCUUUCAAUUGUAGCUUAAAGAUCCUUGCCUUGAGAGCUUAGUAUCACGAAUGUAAUACCUCUGAUCGAUCACAAACACCACAAGCAAUUGGAGAAUGUUAGAAAGAGGAGGAGGAGGCUAAUUUCGGCUCUAGGGAUCCUUUUAGGGUUUCUGGUAGCCGAAAAAUAGAUGCCAACGGGUCUUUAUAUAGCUGAAGAAUUAGGGUUUCAGCUAAAGACCUAAUCUGAUUGCUUAGGCUCUAAGCAGCCCAUAUGAUCUUUCUAGAAUACCCUAUGGACGAAAUCUAGUAGGCUUCCACAAGGAUUUCGUCCAUCCCUUAACCUAUGGAUCCACAUCCCAUUUAGCAAUUAUCACAUAAUUACAAUAUCAGUCCCCUUAAUUCAAUUAGCAUCUUUUGACCACAAAACUAAUUCUAAAUUAAUUAUUGACCAAUGUUAAUUAAAUAAUAUAAUUUCUCUUUUAAUAUAUUAUUCACAUAAUAUAUUAAUAAAUCACAUUUAUCAUCUUUCUCCAUUAUUCUUCCAGUCAAGUUGCUUUGGUGAAGGCAACCCAAAAGGACAUGCUACUAUUGGGUCAAAUAUAUAUCAAAUAUAGUUAUGGGCUUAGACACUUAAUCCAACGGUCUCCCACUUGGAUAAGUCUAAUAACUAUAAAUGUAAGUACAACUUCAAAAUCCGAUUAGCAAUCGUAGCUCUCUAAAGCCGUUGUUGAACUCUGACAUGUCCUUUAGAUAAGGGAUCGUAUAGUCCUCCGUUCUCAAGAUAUCGUGUGGAAAAUCACAUGGAACAUAGUCAUACUUAUUGUCCAGCAGUUUGUUUCUCAAUCUCUGAUUUGUCUGACAUAGAACUUAAGUCAAAACAAAAUCAUUAAGGGGCCCAAUAUAUCGCUUUUAACCUCAUAGGAUAAAAGGAACAGAUAAACUUCGACGUAUAUGCUUAUAUUAUUUACUCAUUAAAUCACACACAACAAUAUGUUUUAUAACAUCAAGUUACUGAUGCAUUUACGUAUUAUCAAUGCACAACCAACUCAUAAACAGCAACUCAUAUAUCUAGGUUUAAAGACUAUAUGAUAUUAUCGUCUCACAAUCACUCGUGAUUAAAUUCCAUGAAGUGAUUCAUGUGAGCGUGAGUUUAAUCCAAUACUCAAAUCAUAUUUCAGAAGCACUCAUGAACGUUGCAACAAACUUUUGUUAUGCCUAAACACUUAGACAAUCUACAAGCCAAUUCAUGACAAUCUUGAUUCAUACUUACUUCCAACGUAUGAUCGACUGUGGAUAGUUUAAAUAAUCUUAUUAUUUAGGAAGUCAAAACAUGCAAAGGGAAACAAUAGUAAAUAAUUAACACAAGAUUGUAACUUUACUUAUAAAUAAAACUCCUUUAUUUAAUCAUCAAAUGUUAAUUACAAUUUAUCUAUUACAAGAUUCUAAAAGCUAUCUAAUCACUAAAACUAAUAUCGUCCUUCAGCCCAAUGCUCAUAACGUGCUGCAAGUGAUUAGCCCUACUCAGUCCCUUCGUAAGGGGAUCUGAUGGGUUCUCUUCUGACGAUACCAUCUUUACUACGAGGAGUCCCUCUUCUACCCGAUGUCUAAUGAAAUGAUAUUUCCUGUCAAUAUGCCUGGAUUUGCCAUGAUCCCUCGGUUCCUUGGUCAAGGCAACCGCACCUUCUUUAUCGUAGAAAAUAUCCAUAGGCUCCUUUAUGGUCAGUAUAACUCCAAGGUCUAUGAUGAAGUUCUUUAGCCAUAUUACCUCCUUUGACGUUGCGCUCGCUGCUAUGUACUCUGAUUCGCACGUUGAAUCAGCUACGGUCUCCUGCUUGGAACUUUUCCAAGUCACUACUCCUCCAUUCAGGGUAAAGACCCAGCCUGACUGAGAGCGAAAAUUAUCUCGGUCGAUCUGAAAAAUGGCAUCACUAUACCCUCGCACUCUCAAAUCAUCACUCCCACCGAGGAUAAGGAACCAUUCCUUAGUCCUUCGUAGGUACUUGAGAAUGUUCUUUACUGCGGUCCAAUGUGCUAUAACAGGGUUCCCUUGAUAUCUACUGACCAUGCUCAAAGCGAAUGCCACAUCAAGGCGAGUACACGUCAUAGAAUACAUGAUUGAGCCAAUUGCGGAAGCAUAAGGUACUCGGCUCAUCUCUGCUAUCUCGGCUUCGGUACUCGGACUUUGAGUACUACUCAACUUGGUAUUGCUUUGGAUUGAUAACUCCCUCUUAUUGGAAUUCUCCGUGCUAAAACGUUUCAACACUUUAUCCAAGUAAGUACUUUGACUAAGUCAUAUUAGUCUUUUACUCUUAUUUCUCAAUAUCCUUAUCCCAAUAAUAUAAGCAGCUUCUCCGAGGUCCUUCAUAACGAAGCACUUCCCAAGCAAGGAUUUAACCUCCUGCAGGGUUGUGACGUCGUUUCCUAUGAGCAGUAUGUCGUUUACAUACAAUACGAGAAAGGUAACUGUACUCCCACUAGCUUUGAUAUAUACGCAGGACUCAUCAUCGCUUCUCGAAAAAACAAACUCUUUGACUUUCACAUCGAAACAAAUAUUCCAUCUGUGAGAUGCUUGUUUCAAUCCAUAAAUGGAUUUCUCAAACUUACACACUCUAUUAUGGUGUUGUGCAUUGACAAAACCUUAUGGCUGACUCAUGUAAACAUCUUCAGCCAACUUUCCAUUAAAAAAAAGCAGUUUUGACAUCCAUCUUCCAUAUUUCGUAAUCAUGAAACGCAGCUAUGGCUAGCAUAACCCUUAUAGAUUUAAUCUUUGCUACUAGUGAGAAGGUAUUAUCACAAUCAACUCCGGGAGUUUGAGUAAAUCCCUUCGCAACCAAUUGCGCCUUAUACGUGUGUACUUUCCCAUCCAUGUCGGUAUAUAUUCUUCUUGAAGAUCCAAUUGCACCCGACCGUCUUACGACCUGGCACAUUGUCAACCAAGUUCCAAACUUGAUUGCCAUACAUGGGCUGAAUCUCGUUGUCCAUUGCCUCUUUCCAUUUCGUAGACUCUGGGCCUGCCAUGACUUCCUUGCAGGUGUUAGGUUCAUCUAAAUUUAUUAGUGUGCUAUCACUAAUAAACGUAUCACCUUCACUUGUUAUAUGGAAAGCAUAUAACAUAGGUGGAACACUAACUCUACUAGAACGUCUAAGAGGUAAGGACUCAUCAAUCGGUUCAACAGGAGUUUCCUCCUCGGUUUGAUCGCUAGUGUUAGAGGUUCCUUCAUCACUUGAUUCUUAAAGCUCUUCAAGAUCAAUUUGCCUCCCACUGUCCUCUUGGCAUAUGAGUUCUUACUCUCAGAAAACCUAUAAGGUCAAACCUUGAAAUAUGAUAAUGUUUAAAACAGACUCAGCAUCAGCGCAUAGCUCAGUAUCAGCACCAGCGUGUCAGCAGCUCAGUUUGUAAUAGUUUAGUUUAUUCAGUGCAUUGUAACAAAUCUUGUAUUUAUCCUGUUUCCAUAGUUAGCUUAAUUAGUUAGCUAGCGUAUCCCUGAUUUGUAGGGAUUGUCUAUAAUAACAGUAUAUAAUCUUUUGUAAGGUUUGUGAAUGGCUACGCCUUUCACAAACCCUAAUCGCUGCUUUGUGCACACGAUAAUCUCUUUGUGAGAUUAUCUUUCUUAGUGAAAGUUUUUCUUCGUGAAUUCCUCUUGUUCUUGUUUACUGUCAUUGUUUGAUAUAUUGAUUGAUCUAAAGGCCUCUUCAAUUGGUAUCAGAGCAGGUUUCUCUUAUCAAACAAAUGGCUUCAUCUUCUUCUUCGUCGAACUCAUCAAAUCAUCCUUCCGCUAAAAUUCCUCCUUUUGAUGAAACAAACUUCGCUAUGUGGAAAAUAAAGGCUCUAUAUGCCUUAGAGUCAGUAGAUGAAGACAUGUUGGAAAUCGUCGAAAAUGGUCCAUAUGUCCCGAUGUAUCAACCUCUAAAAAAUAAUGUUCCUGAUGGUACUAUGAAGAAAACUCCUAAAGAAAAUUGGACGGCAGAUGAUAAAAGAAAACAUGGUCUAGAUGUUCGUGCUCGUGCCGCAAUCAGCUACGUUCUGCCAUACAACAUUUUUGGGCUAGUUCAAAAUUGCAUCUCAGCAAAAGAGAUGAUGGAUACUCUGACUGUAUCCUUUGAAGGCACUGAAUAAGUCAAGGCUACUCAAAUAAAUGAUCUUAAUCGAAGGUAUGAACAUUUUUUUGCUAAGAAAGGUGAAACCUUGACUCAAACCUUUAACAGAUUCAAUACUCUUGUUAAUGAUCUUCGGAGAUUAGAUCAGUUGAAGCAUAGAACUGUUCUAGUGCAGAAGUUUUUGGAUUCUCUGGGUGCAGGUUGGGAGAACCAUGUUGAUGUGCUGAAAAAUAGUGAGAAGAUCAACUCUAUGGAAUUACAAAGUCUGUAUGGAAAUCUUCGAUACUAUGAGGAAUCCAAGCUUCAAAGAAAGGAGCUGAUGAAAGACUCUCAGCGUAAAUCAUCUGUAGCCUUGUCCUCAAACAAAAGGCUAGUGUCAGAUUCAGACACUGAUAGCCAUUCAGACACUGAUUCCUCUAAAACUGACACUGAUGAUCUCGAAAAGGUUGUGGCGAGUGCAGCUUUGAUUGUAAAGACCUUUGAGAAAUCUGGCCGAAACUUCUCAAAGUUUCAAAAGAAGAUGGGUGGAAAGUUUUCAAAAAGAUCAGAAGCUGAUAAAAAGCAUGGUACUGAUAAGAAAGAGAAGGCUCAGUGCUUUAACUGUGGGAGCAUUGAUCAUUUUGCAAAAGAGUGUAAACAAAAGAAACAAGGCUCGGAUGAAUACUGGAAGCAGAAGUACAACAAGCUGAUUGAGAAGCUGAAAGCAGAGAACUUGGAACAUAAAGUUCUUGUUGCCGAAGAAGAAAAAUGGAAGACUGAUGAGGAGUUAUCAGAUGAUGAAGUGAAGUGUCUAAUGGUAAAGAUGGAAGACACGAAUGUUUCUGAAAAAGGCAAAAGUACAUUUGAUGCUGAUAUGUCUGAUGCUGUUGAAAAUUCCAGGAAGCACAACACUGACUCUUCUUCAAUGUACCAGGUUAAAAACUUUGUUUCCUAUUCAAUGAAUGAAAAAAUCAAAAUGUUUGAGUAUUUGGGCGUCAUUAAUUCUAAGAAGAAUCAAACAAUAAGAAAUUUGCAAAAUCAAAUUGAUCUUCUUGAAACUGAUAUAUCCAUGAAAAAUAACAUUAUUGAGUCCACUCAGGAAAAUCUUAGAAUCACUAGUUUGUCAAAUUCAUCUUUGUCUGCUGAAAUUGACAAUGUUAAAAAUCUUUUGAUCAAAGAACAAACUGUGCUUCAUACUUGGGCAAAAUCUCAUAAGAAUGCAAAUUAUAUUAUUUCAGCUCAAAUUCCACAUUCAUGUGAGAAAAUUCUUGGGGGUAAUUUUGCAGAAGCUGAAAAAGUUUUUAAAUCACAAGAAAAGGAAUCUGAGUUUUAUUCCAUGAAUGAGAUGAAAAACAAUUUCAAAAAUAAGUUUGUCAGUAACUCUUUUAUUAAUCAGAGUUUAAUUGAUGAAUACUGUAUUACUAAUUCUGAUGGUAUUACUGAGUGUAAUGUUGAAAUUACCGGAAUUGAUCCAACCUCUUACCCUGCACAUCUUGUAAGACCAACUCCACUCACUGAGAAUAUUAUUGCCUUUCCUAUCUCAAAUGGAGUGUUUCAUGCUGUUCAUGAACAACUUAAGCAUUUUCCUGAUUGCAAUUCAUCUGUGAAUAAGUCCAAAUCAGACACUGAUAGCUCAUCAUCUAACACUGAUCAAACUCUUUCUGACACUGAAUUCAGUUGUGACUCAAUGAUAAACAAAAGGACUCAAAGCUCUCUUGGUGAAUCUUACAUGUCGAAACGUGUUAAAUCUAAAAAUUUGCUCACCAAGAAGAACUUUGGUACUAGAGUUUGUUACAGAUGUGGUGAUACCUCUCACAAGAUCAGUGAAUGUUCAUUUGAUAAAUCAUCCUCAAGAGCUGAUAAUAUUAAAGUUAGAAAUGAAAAAUGGACUCUUAAGUCAAAUUCUUUAAACUGUCUUCCUAAGGAGUGUUAUAAUCUAUUAUCAAAUAACUUUGUGAAUGACCCAUCCUCGAAUGGGUCAGUGUGUUCUAACUAGUUUCUCAGCACUGCAGGGUCAGGAGCAUCUUUGGUACUUAGAUAGUGGUUGCUCAAGGCAUAUGACAGGAUCAAAGUCUCUCCUGGAAGAUUAUGUCAAGAAAACUGGUCCUGCAGUUACUUAUGGAGACAAUGGAAAGGGGUUCACUAAAGGAUAUGGAAAUAUCAAAUGCAAUAACGUGGUUUUUCAAAAUGUUUCAUAUGUAAAGGGUCUCAAACACAACCUUAUCUCCAUCAGUCAAUUGUGUGAUGCUGACUAUGAAGUUCACUUUACAAAGAAGGAAGGUAGAGUUGUCAACACUGACAAGAACAUCGUACUUUCAGCAAGUAGAAAAGAUGAUAUAUAUGUUCUUGACAUGUUCUCAAGUGACAAGGCACUGAUGCAAUGCUUCUUUACAAAGUCUCAGACGAAUCUUAGCUGGAUUUGGCACAAAAGGUUUUCUCAUCUGAACUUCAAGAAUCUAUCCAAAAUAUCCAAUCAAGAUCUAGUUAGAGGGCUCCCAAAAUUCAGCGUUGUGAAAGACAAGAUGUGCUCAGCUUGUGAACAAGGAAAACAAACCAAGUCCUCUUUCAAACCCAAGUCAUGUUCCAGUAUAUCAGUCCCUCUUCAUUUACUCCACAUGGACUUGUUUGGACCUAUUCCUGUCCGUUCUCUAGGUGGAAAUAAGUAUACUCUAGUGGUUGUGGAUGAGUUCACUCGAUUUACAUGGGUGGUUUUCCUGAAGAAGAAAAGUCAUGCUGCACAGGAAAUUAUUUCACUGAUUCGUAAAAAUGAGACACUGACAGGUCUCAAAGUUAAGCAACUAAGAAGUGAUCAUGGUACUGAGUUCCGAAAUUCAACUCUUGAAGAAUUUUGUGAUCAUAAAGGCAUUGGGCAAAACUUCUCAGCUCCUCGUACUCCUCAACAAAAUGGAGUUGCUGAACGAAGAAAUAGAACACUGAUUGAGGCAGGAAGGACCUUGAUGAUCCAUGCUGGUCUUCCUAUGUCGUUUUGGGCUGAAGCUGUCAAUACAGCAUGUUUUACUCAGAAUCGAUCUCUAAUUCACAGGAUUCACAAGAAGACUCCAUAUGAAAUGCUGAAAGAUCGAAAACCAGAUGUAUCCUUUUUUCAUGUGUUCGGAUGCAUUUGUUAUAUUCUAAAUCAGCGUGACCCAAGAUCCAAGUUUGAACCUAAGGCUGAUAAAGGUAUUUUUGUUGGGUACUCAUCUAUUUCAAAGGCUUUUCGUGUUUUUCAUGUGAACAGGCAAUGUGUUGAAGAAUCCAUUCAUGUGAAGUUUGAUGAGGAAUCAUACACUGAUGAAAAAGUCACUCAUUCUUCUUCUAUUUUUCAAGAGCUUCUCUCUUGUCCAUUCGACGAAGUCCCUCCUGCUGGAGAUGAAGCUGAUUCUUCUGAUUCUAUCGUUCCAGUUGCAUGUUCCUUGAAUCAAGAUACUGCAGCCAGAUCAGCAGAUAAUUCAUUAGGUGCUGAUGAAAUCCUUGAAGCUGAAGACUCUCCUGAAACUGAUAACUUGUCAGUGUCAAACUCUCCGGAAUCAGCAUCAGUCACUGAACAUCGAGAUCAUCCUGUUGAUCAAAUUAUAGGGAAUAUUCAUGAUGGUGUCCGAACCAGAUCUCGUGUAUCUAAUAACUUUUGCAUGUAUGUUAAUUUCGUUUCAAUGAUCUUACCUGACAAGAUACACACAGCUCUUCAAGAUGCUGAUUGGAUCAAAGCCAUGCAAGAAGAACUGAAUGAGUUUGAAAGGCACAAAGUUUGGACUCUUGUCCCAAGACCAUCCGGAAAGACUAUCACUGGAACUCGCUGGGUCUAUCGUAACAAGGUUGAUAAAGAUGGAAUCAUUACUCGCAACAAGGCAAGGCUUGUAGCUCAAGGGUUUACUCAAAUUGAAUCCAUCGACUACGGGGAAACUUUUGCUCCAGUUGCUCGCAUUGAAGCUAUCAGACUGUUUCUCGCAUACGCAUCCUACAUGAAUUUCAUUGUCUAUCAGAUGGAUGUAAAAACAGCAUUCCUCCAUGGUGUGUUAGAAGAAGAAGUAUUCCUCAAUCAGCCCCCAGGCUUUGUGGACAAAGAUCAUCCUGAUUACGUGUACCGAUUAGACAAAGCUGUUUAUGGACUGAAGCAAGCACCCAGGGCUUGGUAUGAGACGCUGACAUCGUAUCUACUUGAAAAUGGAUACAGACGAGGAGCAAUCGACAAUACUCUCUUCAUCAAAAACAAAGGCUCAGAUAUGGUUCUUGUUCAAAUUUAUGUCGAUGACAUCAUUUUUGGCUCUCCAAAUGAGACACUGAGCAAGGAAUUUGCAGAGAUCAUGUCUCAAAGGUUCGAAAUGAGCAUGAUGGGGAAGAUGACCUUUUUCUUAGGUCUUGAAGUUCAGCAACAAAAGUCAGGUAUUUCCAUUUGCCAGAGUAAAUAUAUUUCUGACUUGCUUGUUAAGUAUUCUCUCAGUGACUGCAAACCAGCCUCUACCCCAGUGUCUAAGACUGAUAAGAUACACGCUGAUCCAACUGGAACUGAUGUCAAUCACUCUCUGUAUCGAGGAAUGAUUGGAUCUCUCUUAUAUCUCACAACAAGUCGUCCUGAUAUCAUGUUUGGAACCAUUCUCUGUGCUCGAUUCCAAGCUAAUCCCAAAGAAUCUCACCUCAUGGCUGUCAAACGUAUUUUUCGAUACUUGAAAGGGACUCAAAACCUUGCACUGUGGUAUCCUCGCGACUCAGCAUUUGAACUUUAUGGAUACACUGACUCAGAUUAUGCAGGAUGCAAUUUAGACAAAAAGAGUACAUCUGGUGGAUGUCACUUCCUUGGCAAUCGUCUCAUCAGCUGGUCUAGCAAGAAGCAAACAUCAGUAGCCAUCUCAACUGCAGAAGCUGAGUAUGUUGCCGCUGGGAGAUGUUGUGCUCAGCUCUUAUGGAUUCAAAAUCAGCUUCUCGACUAUGGGAUCAAGUUCUCAAAGACUCCCAUAUAUUGUGACAACACCAGUGCCAUUCAGAUCACACAAAAUCCUGUUCAGCACUCNNNNNNNNNNNNNNNNNNNNNNNNNNNNNNNNNNNNNNNNNNNNNNNNNNNNNNNNNNNNNNNNNNNNNNNNNNNNNNNNNNNNNNNNNNNNNNNNNNNNNNNNNNNNNNNNNNNNNNNNNNNNNNNNNNNNNNNNNNNNNNNNNNNNNNNNNNNNNNNNNNNNNNNNNNNNNNNNNNNNNNNNNNNNNNNNNNNNNNNNNNNNNNNNNNNNNNNNNNNNNNNNNNNNNNNNNNNNNNNNNNNNNNNNNNNNNNNNNNNNNNNNNNNNNNNNNNNNNNNNNNNNNNNNNNNNNNNNNNNNNNNNNNNNNNNNNNNNNNNNNNNNNNNNNNNNNNNNNNNNNNNNNNNNNNNNNNNNNNNNNNNNNNNNNNNNNNNNNNNNNNNNNNNNNNNNNNNNNNNNNNNNNNNNNNNNNNNNNNNNNNNNNNNNNNNNNNNNNNNNNNNNNNNNNNNNNNNNNNNNNNNNNNNNNNNNNNNNNNNNNNNNNNNNNNNNNNNNNNNNNNNNNNNNNNNNNNNNNNNNNNNNNNNNNNNNNNNNNNNNNNNNNNNNNNNNNNNNNNNNNNNNNNNNNNNNNNNNNNNNNNNNNNNNNNNNNNNNNNNNNNNNNNNNNNNNNNNNNNNNNNNNNNNNNNNNNNNNNNNNNNNNNNNNNNNNNNNNNNNNNNNNNNNNNNNNNNNNNNNNNNNNNNNNNNNNNNNNNNNNNNNNNNNNNNNNNNNNNNNNNNNNNNNNNNNNNNNNNNNNNNNNNNNNNNNNNNNNNNNNNNNNNNNNNNNNNNNNNNNNNNNNNNNNNNNNNNNNNNNNNNNNNUCUUACCAAUCUUACUCUGAUUCAAUGAUUCAGUGUGACAAAACACACGCUGAUGAGAAUCUAAAAAUCUUUGUCGAUGGUUAGAUCAAAACACCAAGAUCUAUCACACGCAACUAUCCCUUCUUACCAAUCUUACACUGAUUCUGUGAUUCAGUGUGCCAAAACACACGCUGAUGAGAGUCUAAAAAUCUUUACCGAUGGUUAGACCAAAACACCAAGGUUUAUCACACGCAACAAACCUUUCUCUACCUUCUUCUUAUUCAGUGUCUAAUGAUUCAAUAAGAUAAACCACUCACUGAUAAAGUCACAACACUCUGUGUCGAUGGUUAGAUAAUGUAACUAGUAUCUAUCACACGCACCAAUCUCUUUGCUAGCCCCGAUUAAGCAAGCUGUACCUUGAAUUGANCUGACAGGUUGUUACGAUACGCCGUUAUUUUUAAUGAAGAUAAUCAUCACCUUUUAAUGAAGAUAAUCAUUACCUUUUUAAACCCCCUUUUCAUUCCAUAUUUAAAACUCUCUCACCCUUGAUUUAAACUUUCCUUCCACGAUUUUAAACUUCCCUCAAAACCCUAGAACUCUAAAAACUCUCUAAUGGCGGCAUCUCUGUUCACUUACUCCUCCACCUCACGAAGGGUAGUUCCUGCCCCAAACUCUCCUCCUCUUCCAAUUCACAUCAAGGCUACAAACGUUGUUUUCAANCACUUACUCCUCCACCUCACGAAGAGUAGUUCCUGCCCCAAACUCUCCUCCUCUUCCAAUUCACAUCAAGGCUACAAACGUUAUUUUCAACCGUGAUAUUCCAGAGGUUCAUCGAGGUCUUGGACUCGAUAAUUUUUUCAAUUUCUUAGCUUCCUGCCGCCUACGAUACGCAAUCAGUGAUGUUCCAUCCGAGUUCUUCCCUGAACAAGUAUGUGAGUUCUACUACACUUCAACUGUCAAUGACGACAACAAUGCCAUCACCGGAACCAUUGGCCAUGGAAGACACAUUGUCUUCAUCACCGCAGAACUUCUCAGUGCUGCCUUAAGGUUACCUAUCUUUGAACCUUUCUCUGAACCUCCCACUAUUGAACGGUGUAGACGUAUGUUUGAUCAACUGGGUUAUGAUCACUCAAAGGCUGGUACUCGAUCAACUCUUAUUUUGCGCCAAUGUAUGACCCCAGGUUGGAAAUUUUUUACCGGUGCUCUAUGCAAGUGUGUGGGUCACAAGUCUCGAAGUGGUGAUCAGUUGAGUAAUUAUGAGCAACAAGUCAUCUGCUCACUUCUUCUCAACAAAAGACUGGAUUAUGGGGCUCUAUUCUUUGAUCAGCUUGUUCAGCUUCUUCGUGCAAAUGUACGUGUUGAUCAUGUUCUGUUUCCACGCUGGAUUGCUCUUGUGUUCGACAAAUUCUUUGCUGCAUACUACUUCUCGCAUUCUGGAAAUCCCAUCCAAUGCCCUCGCAUGUCUGUUCGCAUGUAUCAAGAUGAUCCUCUGGAUACUGACAUUGGAAUCUCUGAUAGGAUGAGAGAAUGGAUUGCAAGUCCAUACACUGUUCCUUUUCUCACCGCUGACACUGAUGGAGGUGCUGAUGGUAAUCAUGUAGAUCAAGCCGGUCAAGAGGAUGAACCACAUGAUGGUGGUCAUUUCUCUCCUCAACUUUCUCAUCAUAUCGACUCAGUUGCUAAUGUUCCCUCAGCUCAAAAGGAUUCACUGAGUCAGGGGGAGCAACAAUUUCAGGAGGAGCAACUAUCCCAGUGGGAGCAUCCCUCUCAGGGGGAGAAUCCACCUCAUGGGGACCAAUAUUCUCCGGUAAUGCCUCCUAGCUCUCCAGCAGCUCCAGUUACUUUAGUUGUUCAGAUUCCGGCCUCAGCAUUUACUGAACUUCUGACGCUGACUCGGGACAUGAAUCAGCGUCUUCUACGCAUUGAGGCUGAUGUUCACCAGUUAAAGGAAGUUCUCCUGCAAACUCCCCCCUCUAGUCCCCAAUCUGAUGAUGCUCAAAAAGGGGAAGAUACUGAUUAUGAUGCUGAUGCUGAUGAUAAUGCUGACCGUGAACCGAAUGAGAGAGACACCGAACCUGUUGACAACACUCCUGUUCAGCCUGAAUCACCAACGCCAAUGCAUGAGUCUGACUCUGCGGGGCAUAAUAGUCCAGCAGCUACUGAAAAGCUGAUUGAAGAUAGUGAGCAUGAUGAAGAGCAUGAUGAACCAGAUGAUGAAUGUCAAAUACUGGAUAUGAACUUCAUUAAUCCUCUUAUUCCAGUUCAGCAAGAAAGUUCAGAUGACCUUGAAGAAUCUCAUCCGCUAUCAGUCGAUCCUGUUGCUGAUCCCAUUAUUCCAGUCCAAGGAGAAGAUUCGGACGUUGCCAGUGAAGAAUCUCAUCCGCUAUCUCGGAAGCGUAAGGUAGCAGAUACUGACUUGGCUCAUUCUCAAACUGAUACUUCUCUGCCUGGGAAGAAACCCAAGUCCAUAGUCAGUAUUUCAAAUCUUGCCGCUGAAUGGAACAUGUCUCUUGAUCAAGUUAAGCAAAUUCUUGAUGAAGCUAAUCAAGCUCAGCUUCUAAAGAACAUUGCUCAAGCUGAUGAAUCUCUUAUUCAGCACAAACUUCAGGCCAAAGGAUCUUUUGAAGCUCAGAUGCAGAAAUUCCUGGAGUUUCAGUCCAAAUCUCAAUCUUCUCAACCUUCUCAUAGUAGUAGCAAGCCUAAGACUGACAGUGUUCUUGACCGGAUCGAUCGAAAGAGGUUUGAAGACGUUCUUAAUCGACGAAUGUGUGGUGAUAAGAUCAUCAAAGUCAAAGCUUCCAAACCACGAAAUGAAAAAAUCCUUACGUUGCUGAUCACUCGUCAAGGUCCUCAGCAUUCAUACACUGAAGUUGUCAAGAGGGAUGAGCUGAUCAGGUAUGGAUAUUCUGAAUGGAUGGAACUACUUGAACUAGCAUCCAAGCAAACCUCAGCUCACUCUUCGGAACUGACUUGUGCUCUUCAUUUGCUGAUCAAGAAAGUUCAGCGUUUGGAUCUUGUUCCCAAAGAACGACCUCAGCAUCAAGGCCAAAGGUUAUCUGUUCCUAGAACUCGAAGAACCAAGUUCCAAGUUGAUGGUGAAGAUAUAUUGGUUCUAGACUUUGGUGCUGGUGGAAUAAACAAUUCUCUUCCUAUCAGUGUUGAUCCGGUUCAGCAUAAGUUUAUCUCAGCUCCUGAACACGGGAUGUUCUAUCUUGAUAAAAACAGAAAGAUGUGUUUUCAGCGAACUGCUGAGAUCCCAAAGGCUCCAACCACUCAUCUCGUUGGCUUAAGGCAAAUGUGCAUGAGUCAUCAAGAUCUCUCCGGAGAGUUUCACAUCCUUAUUGCCAUGGAGCUGCUGAAUAGAAGACAGGAGUUGCUGGAUAGUCCUUACUGGCCAGUAAAAAUAGAAGCUGAAGCUGAGUAUGAAGAGUUCCUGUCCAGAGGUGUUUUAAUUUAGUUUGUUUUGAACAUCAUCAUAUUGGGGGAGAUUGUAAGGUCAAACCUUGAAAUAUGAUAAUGUUUAAAACAGACUCAGCAUCAGCGCAUAACUCAGUAUCAGCACCAGCGUGUCAGCAGCUCAGUUUGUAAUAGUUUAGUUUAUUCAGUGCAUUGUAACAAAUCUUGUAUUUAUCCUGUUUCCAUAGUUAGCUUAAUUAGUUAGCUAGCGUAUCCCUGAUUUGUAGGGAUUGUCUAGAAUAGCAGUAUAUAAUCUUUUGUAUAGGUUUGUGAAUGGUUACGCCUUUCACAAACCCUAAUCGCUGCUUUGUGCACACGAUAAUCUCUUUGUGAGAUUAUCUUUCUUAGUGAAAGUUUUUCUUCGUGAAUUCCUCUUGUUCUUGUUUACUGUCAUUGUUUGAUAUAUUGAUUGAUCUAAAGGCCUCUUCAAAACCCUUAUCCUCGCAACGAAGACAACAUUAUCACUCGGUCUAUAUAAGAGAUAUCCAAAGGACUUCUGUGGGUAGCCGAUGAAAAUACUUCGCUUGCUACGAGAUUCAAGCUUGUUGUGAGUUAUCGUCUUACGAAAGCCUCGCAACCCCAAACCUUGAAAUGUGCCAAUGAGGGAGCUUUCCCUGUCCACAUCUCGUGAGGUGUUUUGGCAACCUUCUUAGUCGGGACUAGAUUAAGGAUAUAGACGGCAGUCUCUAAGGCAUACCCCCAAAAUGAGAUACGUAACAAAGCUCGACUCAUCAUGGAGCGAACCAUGUUCGACAAGGUUCAAUUGCGCCUCUCAUCCACACCAUUCAACUGCGGUGCCUAGGCGGCGUCAAUUGCGAAACAAUUAUGCAUUCCUUGAGGUAGUCGUGGAAUUCAAUACUAAGGUACUCACAUCCUCGAUCGGAUCGGAGCAUCUUAAUUUUCCUGCCCAGCUGAUUAUCCAUUUCUUGCUUAAACUCUUUGAACUUUUCAAUGGUUUCUGACUUAUGCUUGAUUAAGUAGAUAUACCCAUAUCUGCUAUAAUCCUCGGUGAAAGUCACAUAAAAGCGGCUCGCAUCCCUUGUGGUGGGUCUAAAGGGCCCACAUACAUCGGUAUGUAUGAGAUCCAAUAAACCCUCAACCCUUUCACAAGUACCAGUGAAGGGUGACUUGGCCAUCUUUCCAAGUAAUCAGGACUCGCACGUGUCAUCGUCCCUAAGGCCAAAUAACUCCAAAACUCGAUCCUUUUGGAUUUGGGCUAUGCAUUUAUUGUUGACAUGUCCAAGACGACAAUGCCACAAGCAUGAUUUGUUCAAACCAUUGGAAAAAUCGAUAUGCAACGCAUCAUUUUCUAAGUUGUCUAUAACCAUCACAAUUUCAUAUAUUCUAUUACAAGGCAAUGCUUCAAAAUAGAAAGUGCUAUUAAAGAAAGCAUUAAUAGAUCCAGUUUCAUUAUUAGUUGAAAAUCUAAAACCUUGUUUAUACAAACCAUGAAAAGAAAUAAUGUUCCGUGCCAUUUCUGACGACUAGCAACAAUUAUUCAAAUCUAAACCUUGUUGGCUAUUGUCUAAGUCCAUAACUAUAAUUGGUAUGUACUUGACCUGACUCGGCAUGGUCCAUUUGGGUUGCAUGGCAUCGGAACAUUUGGAUAGACUGUUUGUGAGAAGAGGACAUGUGUAACAUAUUAAUAUAUUAUAAGUUCUAAUUUAUUAAUAUGAAAUCAUGUUAUUUAAUUAGUAUUGAUCAAGAAUAAAUUUGGACUUAAUUUAGUGAUCAAAAAGAGACUAAUUAAAUAUACGGGGAUUGAUUGUGUAAAUCAUUCGUUCUUAUAUAUGUGGGCUUAUGAUCCAAGAUUCCUUAUGUUGGGCUUAACCCAUGUGGUGAUCCAUGGAUACUCCAUGGAGGUUAAAACCCAUGGAGCAUAAGGAAUGGGUAAAGUCAUGAGUUACAUGGUGUAACCCUAAUGACCACACUAUAUAAAGACCCCUUUAGCUCAAGAAAUUGGCACCGGUGAUACAUAUGUGAGGGCUAGCCGAUUUGAGCAUGGAGUGUCUUCUCCUCAUGGUUAUUUCAUGAGUUUGUGAUGUUUUGUGAACCAUUUAAGGUGUCACACUUGGGGCACUAGGCUCUCGAGCUUCAUGGAGUCAAGCUACAUUAACAAGGUAUGUAUUAUAUCCAUUUUAUUACCCCAAGUAUCAAGGGAUUGUAUGCUAGUUAGGGUAAUACCUUGGAAUAUUCAUAUUUGCAUGUAUAAUAGAGAAAACAUAGAUCCAAGGUAUUUAGGGUUGUAUAUACACUUAGGAGUGUUAGAAUGCUCAUAACCCAACAGUGGUAUCACAACCUAGGCUUGUUUUCUUGUUAUACAUGCAAAACCUGCUUAAAGUUCAAAGUUUUUUGUUGUCUGGACAACGGACUCGGCGAGUCCAUGCCUUAAAAGUGUUAAAAACGAUCCAACUCGUCGAGUUGGACCCCCAGACAACAUAUCUUUGACUGUUUUGGCUGGAAUUGGACUAGAAACAUUACCCUAAGCUGUUUUUCAACUUAUAAACCUGUUUUUGAUGUGGUAAUGUUCAUGCUAAUCUAAUUUAAAAGAUAAUUAUCAAUAGAUUCAUGUUUUGUAUUAGUUUAAGGAUUAGGCUAAUUACAUGAAAAAGUUUGAUUUGAAUUAUCUUGUUCUUAUGAGUUGCUUAGAUUAAUAGGAAAGUUAUGUGAAAUUGUUGUUCUCGAUCCAAAUUAAUCUAAGAGUUGGUUCUAAAAUAUGUUUUUGUAACUUGUCCUCAAGUUAUAUGAAAAGUCACAUUUAAGAUCCAUAAAACUCAUAAAGAUUUCCAUAACUUAUGAAUAAGGAAGAGUCACAUUCUUUUAAUAGUUUAAAGUCUUCCAUAACUUGUCCUCAAGUUAUGGAACUUGAAGAGUUUUUAGAAUUAAAACUACUUUAAACACAUAAGUUAUGGAAUUGAAUAAUCUUGAAUAGUUUCAAAACUUGCCCUCAAGUUUUGGAAUUUGAAAAGUUUUCCCUUAUGAAUACUUUAAUUCCAAGUUAAACCCUUAGAAUUUUAAAAGUUAAAAUUCAACCCUUAUACUUUAUAAUAUUAUAAGUUAAUAAUAUAUAUAUAUAUANUUAAGUGUAAUGGGGUUAAUUUGUUGAUCAAUGUCACUUUGACAAUUAUCGAACAAAUUAGUAUGGUGCGGAGUGCACAUUUGUUUGAUUUUGUCAUUGUUGAAAGUAUAAUGCUAUUUAGAGGUGAAGCCCCUGAACUGACGGGGGUCCGGGGGCGGCAGCCCCUGGCUGGGGUCGUGCUGAUCCGUAUUUUGUUAAAAACACCCGGUUUUGUGAUCCUUUUAAUAGACCUGGUUUUAUGGUAGUUUAUGACAGGUAAUAUGACCGUUUUUGGACAGGAAGUUAUUUAGAUAUAUAACUACCAUAUGGCAGUUUUAAGACAGAAAGUUAGUUUUCUGUUAUAUAUGAUCAAUUUCGGAUUCUCUUUUGGGUACAGAUUCAUAACAUCUUCUUCAUUCUAUAUUCUAGAAAAUUAGUGAGUUUCAUCCGAUUAGAGAUUUUGAGUGUACCCUCGAAAUGCUUUAAUCUGAAAGUGUUUCACAACUCUCACUGAUCCAAGUAUAUCUAUACCCCGAAAAUCUAACAAAGAUUAAAGCAUUCUGUGAUCAUGACAAGUGGUGAUUCUGUGAAGGAAAUGACUAGUAAGUUUGAAAAACUGAACAAGUUUGAAGGGCAAGAUUUUCGUAGAUGGCAGAAGAAGAUGAAGUUUCUCCUUACCACUCUGAAAGUGGUGUAUGUUCUGAGUACACCCAUGCCAGUCUUACCAGAAUCUGUUGAAGAUGAACCUUUGGAGGCAACAAGAAGGAGAUCAAAGUGGGAAAAUGAUGAUUACAUAUGUCGUGGUCAUAUUCUCAAUGGUAUGUCUGACUCUCUUUUUGAUAUCUAUCAAAAUUUCGAAUCUGCAAAAGAACUGUGGGAUUCUCUUGAAUCCAAAUACAUGGCUGAAGAUGCUUCUAGCAAGAAGUUUCUUGUCAGUAACUUUAUGGGUUACAAAAUGAUUGACUCUAGGCCUGUUAUGGAACAAUUCCAUGAAAUGUUAAGGAUCCUGGGACAGUUUGCUCAACACAAUCUGAAAAUGGAUGAAGCCAUUUCUGUGGCUGUGAUUAUUGACAAACUGCCCCCUUCCUGGAAGGAUUUUAAACACAAUCUGAAACAUAACAAAGAGGAAUUGACUUUGACUCAACUUGGAAGCCAUUUACGGAUUGAAGAGUCCUUAAGGACUCAAGAACUUGAUAACAAUCCCAAAGGCAAGAACCAAGUUGGUUCCUCUUCUGUGAACAUGGUGGAUGGAGAAGGAUCAAAGAAUCAAAAGAAGUCUAAUGGAAAAAGGAAGUUUAAAGGAAAGGAUGACAAGUCUUCCAACAAGAAGGCUAAAGUGGUGUGUUGGAAUUGUAACAAACCGGGUCACUUCAAGAAAGAUUGUCGUUUGCGUAAAGUGAACAAGGAUGGUGCAGGACCAAGUGGAUCCAAGGAUCCAGAGAAGCAACAAGGUCAGAUUUCUGUAUUCAUGCAGAAUUCUAAAUAUAUUCAUAAUUAUAAUUUAGUGAUUUCUGAAGCAUUUUAUGUGCAGGAUGAUAAUGUUGCACGGUGGGUUGAUUCUGGAGCAACAAGUCAUGUUUGCAAAGAUCUAUAUUGGUUCAAGGACUUUCAACCAAUUAAUGAUGGAUCUGUUGUGAAGAUGGGAAAUGUUGCAACUGGACCAAUCAAGGGCAUAGGAUCUGUUUUACUUACUUUUACUUCUGGGAAAUGUUUGUGUUUGAACAAUGUUUUAUAUGUUCCAGGGAUUCGUAAGAAUCUCGUGUCUGAAAUUGUAUUAAAUAAUUGUGGUUACAAACAAGUAUUAGAAAGUGACAAGUAUAUCUUGUCAAGACAUGGUUCUUUUAUAGGAUUUGGAUAUGUAUGUAAUGGAAUGAUUAGGCUAAAUAUUAAUUAUCUUUUUAUUGAUAAUUCUGUUUGCAUGGCUUCUACUAGUACUAGCAAUAAUUUUAAUAAAUAUGAAUUAUGGCAUGCUAGACUAGGACACAUUCAUUACAAAAGAUUAAAAGACAUGUCUAAAAUGAGUUUAAUUCCUUCCUUUGAUAUGCAAAAUAAUGAAAAAUGUAAAACAUGCAUGCUAACUAAAAUCACUAGACAACCUUUCAAAGAUGUUGUUAGGGAAAGCAAGGUGUUGGAUCUAAUACAUAGUGAUUUAUGUGAUUUCCAUGCAACACCUUCCCUUGGAAACAAAAAGUAUGUUGUUACUUUUAUUGAUGAUGCAUCUAGAUAUUGUUAUGUCUAUUUGCUACAUUCUAAGGAUGAAGCACUUGAUAAAUUUAAAAUUUAUAAACAACAAGUUGAGCUUCAUAAAAAUGAAUUAAUAAAAGUCUUGCGUACUGAUAGAGGUAGUGAGUAUUAUGAUCCAAUUUAUUUUGAAUCAACUGGAAUAAUACAUCAAACCACAGCUCCUUAUACACCACAACAAAAUGGUGUAGCUGAAAGAAAGAAUAGGACUUUGAAAGAAAUGGUUAAUUCCAUGUUGUCUUAUUUUGGAUUAAGUGAAGGGUUUUGGGGUGAGGCAAUGUUGACUACAUGUUACAUCUUGAACAGAACUCCAAAUAAAAGGAGUAAGAAUACUCCUUAUGAACUUUGGUGUAAAAAGGUACCAAAUUUGAGUUAUCUCAAAAUUUGGGGUUGCAGAGCAGUUGUAAGGCUCACUAAACCCAAAAGGAAAACAUUGGGUGAGAGAGGUAUAGAUUGUAUCUUUAUUGGAUAUGCUGAGCAUUCCAAAGCUUAUAGAUUCUAUGUUUUAGAAUCUAAUGACUCUGUGUCUGUUAACACUGUUAUAGAGUCAAGAGAUGCUAUCUUUGAUGAAGAAAGAUUUACAUCUAUACCUAGACCAAGGGACAUGAUUCAACAAUCUUUCAACAAAAACAAAACUCAAGCUGGAGAUGAUUCUGGUGGUACAAGUUCUGUGCCUGAACUUAGAAAGAGUACUAGAGCUAGAAAAGCUAAGUCGUUUGGAUCUAAUUUUCAACUUUAUCUAGUUGAAGGAACAAGGUGUGCAAAUUGAAGAAAUCAUUAUAUGGUUUGAAACAAGCACCAAAACAAUGGUAUCAAAAGUUUGAUGAUGUUGUCUUGUCUAAUGGUUUUGCAUUAAACCAAGCUGACAAGUGUGUAUAUAGCAAAUUUGAUACUUCUGGUAAAGGAGUCAUGAUUUGUUUAUAUGUAGAUGAUAUGUUGAUUUUUGGUACUGAUUUAGAAGAAGUUGAUAAAACCAAGAAAUUCUUAUCAUCUAGUUUUGAUAUGAAAGACAUGGGGGAGGCUGAGGUAAUUCUUGGUAUAAGAAUUAGAAAAGGAAACAAUGGGAUUUCAAUUUCUCAAUCUCAUUAUAUUGAGAAGAUAUUGAAAAAGUUUAACUUUGAGAAUUGUUCUCCUGUUAGCACUCCUAUAGAUCCUAGUCUUAAGCUUCUACCUAAUAAAGGAUCUCCAGUGUCUCAACUUGAAUACUCAAGGGCUAUUGGUUGUCUAAUGUAUGCCAUGAUUAGUACUAGACCUGAUAUAGCUUAUGUUGUGGGAAGACUUAGUAGAUAUACUAGUAAUCCUAGUUCACAUCAUUGGCAAGCUGUGAGUAGAGUAUUCAAGUAUUUGAAAGGGACCAUAAAUUAUGGUUUAACUUAUAGUGGAUAUCCUUCUGUUUUGGAAGGUUAUUCAGAUGCCAGCUGGAUUAACAACUUAGAGGAUCACUCCUCUACAAGUGGUUGGGUGUUUCUUCUUGGAGGAGGUGCCAUUUCUUGGGCAUCUAAGAAACAGACUUGUAUUACUAACUCAACCAUGGAGUCUGAGUUUGUUGCAUUGUCUGCUGCUGGUAAAGAAGCUGAGUGGCUAAGGAAUUUGAUUUAUGAAAUUCCAUUAUGGCCCAAACCGAUAUCUACCAUUUCUAUCAGAUGUGAUAGUGCUGCAACCUUGGCUAAGGCUUAUAGUCAAGUNNNNNNNNNNNNNNNNNNNNNNNNNNNNNNNNNNNNNNNNNNNNNNNNNNNNNNNNNNNNNNNNNNNNNNNNNNNNNNNNNNNNNNNNNNNNNNNNNNNNNNNNNNNNNNNNNNNNNNNNNNNNNNNNNNNNNNNNNNNNNNNNNNNNNNNNNNNNNNNNNNNNNNNNNNNNNNNNNNNNNNNNNNNNNNNNNNNNNNNNNNNNNNNNNNNNNNNNNNNNNNNNNNNNNNNNNNNNNNNNNNNNNNNNNNNNNNNNNNNNNNNNNNNNNNNNNNNNNNNNNNNNNNNNNNNNNNNNNNNNNNNNNNNNNNNNNNNNNNNNNNNNNNNNNNNNNNNNNNNNNNNNNNNNNNNNNNNNNNNNNNNNNNNNNNNNNNNNNNNNNNNNNNNNNNNNNNNNNNNNNNNNNNNNNNNNNNNNNNNNNNNNNNNNNNNNNNNNNNNNNNNNNNNNNNNNNNNNNNNNNNNNNNNNNNNNNNNNNNNNNNNNNNNNNNNNNNNNNNNNNNNNNNNNNNNNNNNNNNNNNNNNNNNNNNNNNNNNNNNNNNNNNNNNNNNNNNNNNNNNNNNNNNNNNNNNNNNNNNNNNNNNNNNNNNNNNNNNNNNNNNNNNNNNNNNNNNNNNNNNNNNNNNNNNNNNNNNNNNNNNNNNNNNNNNNNNNNNNNNNNNNNNNNNNNNNNNNNNNNNNNNNNNNNNNNNNNNNNNNNNNNNNNNNNNNNNNNNNNNNNNNNNNNNNNNNNNNNNNNNNNNNNNNNNNNNNNNNNNNNNNNNNNNNNNNNNNNNNNNNNNNNNNNNNNNNNNNNNNNNNNNNNNNNNNNNNNNNNNNNNNNNNNNNNNNNNNNNNNNNNNNNNNNNNNNNNNNNNNNNNNNNNNNNNNNNNNNNNNNNNNNNNNNNNNNNNNNNNNNNNNNNNNNNNNNNNNNNNNNNNNNNNNNNNNNNNNNNNNNNNNNNNNNNNNNNNNNNNNNNNNNNNNNNNNNNNNNNNNNNNNNNNNNNNNNNNNNNNNNNNNNNNNNNNNNNNNNNNNNNNNNNNNNNNNNNNNNNNNNNNNNNNNNNNNNNNNNNNNNNNNNNNNNNNNNNNNNNNNNNNNNNNNNNNNNNNNNNNNNNNNNNNNNNNNNNNNNNNNNNNNNNNNNNNNNNNNNNNNNNNNNNNNNNNNNNNNNNNNNNNNNNNNNNNNNNNNNNNNACCCAAAUUUCUAACAAGUCUUACCGUUAGUAGGCCUCAUUCACGAAGCCGAUCUAUAAGGGGGGUAUAAGGUUACUGCCUAUAAAAUGACAGUUUAAUGGGUGUCCACUCUCACCCACCACUUCCUUGACUGGUGGAGGGUCGUUAGCCGAACAGGUAGGACAAGGACUAUAAUUCUCCCUUCAUUAAAAGUAUUAAUGAUCAAUAUAAAUUAACUAAAUGUUUUUAUAAUUCCCAAUAUUAUUUACUUUAGGAAAAUGUGAAUAAGGUGCUAAUCCAUGAAAUUACACUUUACACUUUGCUUAAGUCGGUUAGUGGAGCAUGUGUGGUUAACCGGCACACUAGCUUGAUUUAACAAGGUAGGCAAAAGGGUAACUUAAUAUUUAUCAUAGCAUCGGUGGAGCGCAUGUGGUUAACGGGCACAUCGAUUGAGGGGUAAAUAUUAAGGGUACCAAGUAAUUUGCAUGGUUACUUCACACCUUGUUUUGUGAUCCUCGGCAUCCCAGUCACAAAACCUGAAGGGAACACUCGAGAUUGAAACAUGUCAUUGAACAGUUAAAUAAAUCUCAAAAGAUCUAGGAGUUUCAAAUCCAAGUAAAACCUAAUUAAAUCAUUUCGUUUUCAUGGUGGAAAUUGGUGAAUCGUCAUUCACCUACCUUCAAAUGUUCUAUAGCUUUGACUACGACAUCCCUCUUCGAAGUUUUAAAAUAUUGUGUUGGGUCCUAGCCUUAAUAUUUCAUAUUAGGUGUUAUAUUAAGGACUUUAAAUCAAAUAUCUUUAAUAUCUCCCAAAAAGAUGUCUGGUUCAGACAUCUAUGGCUUCCCAAGUCUCUUGAAACUUCACCUCUUCCACUUCCUCCAAUUAUUUUCCAUAACCCACAAGUUCAAGGUCACUCAGGCCCUAAUGGCAAGCAAGGUCUAUGUGUGCUCACAUCUUGGAGUUGAAGUCACAUAUUGACAAGUCGGGAGAGUUGGGUGUCAAAGUCUUUAGAAAGUUAGAUGUUCAAUCACUUUCUAAGUCACAUAGUGAGUUCCUUUGGGAUUACUAUGAAACAGACUAUGACAUGACCCUUAAUGAUCUUAUCUAUUUGCUUGGUGCUGCUAAAGCAUAAAUGAUUUGAGGAUUAGUAAAGCAAAAUUGAUUAGGAGAUCAACUUCCCAAUGGACAUUGACAAUGGAAACAUUGGAUAUCUAGAAAAGCCUUCUCUUCCCAAGGAAAGGGAUUGACCAUAGUCAAAUUGGUUGACCAAAUGGUAAAGAGAACGACAAGUCUGAGAUAGUCCAGUGCACCAUUCCCAAAGAGUCCAUAUGUUUUUCCAAAGGAAGGGGCAUUGAUUGCGAAGCUGCCAAAUUUACCUGAAAUAUCAUAAGGCUGGUAAAGUCAAUAAGUUUGACUCUACUUCAGGUAAAGUAUACUGUCUAACUCGGUUAAGUUUCUAUUAUGAGAUUUUUAUUACAUGAUGUGACUGGGUCACAUGUUGAUCUUUUAAGAAUCAAAGGAAAAGUGAAGGAAACUUAAAGAAAGAGUAUGUUGAAUCUGACUGCGAAGAUGGAUUUCUAUCGCUUGAUUGAAGAUCGGAUUCUUGAGCCACUCUUAGGAGUUAUGAUAGAUUGCUAGGAAACAUGUAAUAGCAUAGUUUUCAUUUAAAGUUGCAUUGUAAGGAAAAGUUUUUCCGCAUUUUAUAAAUAAAUAAAAGUUUGUUUUACUUUAUUUUAAAUCUCCUUGCAAUGGCAUUUAUGAAAACUUGAUGUUUGUAUGUUUUUAGCAAUAUUGAAAAUAUGAAUUUGACUCUUUCAUUUGUGGUAGUGUCUAAAUUUACCAAAUAAGGAAAGCUUAUCAUCAUCCAAGUUUUCAGUUGGAUAGAAACUUGGAAUCAUACAAGUUGUACAAUAUGAUGAAUGAGAACUUUCAGCUUUCGAAAAAUUAAGACUAUUUCCUUGUUUACAUGUAUACGUGAGUCAAGUGAAGGGCUAAGGGAUCGAGUACACAUUCUUGUGCACUUAUCAAGUCCACCACAAAAGAUCUAUUAGACUAUUCGUCGUGAUUUACUAAAGUUUAGUAAAUAUGGUUACACUUACAAGUGUAAGUGUAAUUCUGAUACAUUGGAACAAUUUCAAUGUAUGGCAUACCGAAUGAGAAGAAUCAAAUUAGGCAGAAGGAUAAAAGUUUCUCAAAUCUGAAAAGAUGGGAGAGAACGUUAGUAUCAUGUUUUGUGUUCAUCUUAAUGAUUAAGAAACCAUGUCGCAAUUGGUCCUCUAAUGACAUCUUAGUGCAUUCAUAUGGCUAAGAAGAGGAAUCAAGAAUUGCUGAAAUGGUUAAAUCAAGAAGAUAAGUCAUACUUCAUUCCAAAAAAAAGUCUUAGAGUCAUACUCCAAGACUGUAAGUUGAGUGACAUAUCUUAAAGAAAGGUUUAAAACACUUGUCAAAUGUAAGAGUAAAAGUGUCAUGCUCUUGUACAUUUGAAAUUGGUAGGUUGUGAUGUUUUGGAUAAAACAAAUACCAACUUACGCCAAUUGUGUGAAGUGUUUUUCUUGAUAAAGAAUCUGCACUAUAUCUUGAAUAUUUGGCAAGAUAGUCUUAUAUGUCAAGAGGACAGUAGGAGUCUUAAAGAUCUUGAAAAGUAUUUCAAGAUCUAAUAAAGAAUAAAAACUUGUAGUUUAAUACUAGCACACGACGUAAGGUUUAUAACCUGUCGUGUUGGCAUAUUUCUAUUUCCGAGCCCACUCCAGGUAAAGUUGGCUUUGCAUAUGAGUUCUGAGAGUUCUCAAUUAGUUGCAUAACAACUUGGAAGCAAUGGCAGGCCCUUGGGCUGCCAGGUGGCAAGAAAUUUAGAUUGAGUUCAGUCCAUAUGAGUUUGGAUUUGUCAUUAUCCUUCUCUUGUGAGGAUGGUUUUGACAAAUCCACAUGGAUAAGAACACAUACACCAUAAAAUCUAAGGGUCAUAAGGUUUCUCUCCGAUUCAUGAAAAUAAUUGUGAGGAAACACUUCCACCAAGUAGAUUUUGAAGCAAAUAGCAAAGAUCUAAACAAUUGAGACUAUGAUUACGACAUCCCUUUUCAUAGUUCUAAAAUUGUCUAGACACAUGUGAGCUAUCUAAGAUAAGGUGUAUGAUUUUGAUAAAGUGUUAUCAAGGCAAUCUCGUCUCAUAAAUCUGAACUUUGGUAAGAAAGUCAGUAAAGUAUUGACUUCUAGAAAUCCAGCUGAUUUUUUAGUACAUGUCAAAGCUAGUGGGAACAUAAGUGUUAUGAUAAUAAUCAUCAUGUUAGUGGGAGCAUGAUAAUUAUUAUUAGUACUGCAAGAUAGCAAUGUUAAUUAUAGAAAACAAAAGUUUCAAUUCAUGGAGUUGCAGGGGUUGAAAAGUUGUUUUGCUAUAAUUAAGGUGUAACAUCCGGAUUUCUAGGUACAUUAUUUAUUCAUUUAUUUUGGAGAUUUUGGAAGGACUCGACGAGUUGACGCUUAGACUCGCCGAGUAGGAUCGCGAUUUCUAUCUGGUUUAAUGACCGGACUCGGCGAGUCGACUAGUGGACUCGGCGAGUCGACUAGUGGACUCGGCGAGUCCGCGCUAUUUAAUGAAACCCUAAUCCCCGGGGUUUGAGACUUAUUUAAAGAGGCUUAUAGCCACCAAGUGCGGCUACCAGACCUCUGAGUGAAACCCUAAGCGAUCUAGAGCGUUUGUGAGGAAGGAGAGACCAUUUUUGAUCCUUGUGUGGGUGUUUUUGCAAGAAGAAGGUGACCAAGGCAAGAAGGAGUUGAAGAGGGUGCUAUUCUGUGGAUCUCAGAGCCUAAGAACUUCAUAUUGAAGUAUAUAUUCGAUCAUUCUUCAGUUUUGGGUGUUAAUCCUUGAGAGUUAGGGUUUCUAGCCCAUUUAGAGUGUGAAUGAUGGUGCAAUUGGUCCCUUCUUGUGUUGAGGCUUCGGAUCUGGAUCCAAAGAGGUCCAGAGACCUUAUCUCCCUGAUCUUUAUGGGGUGACAUUGAGUAAUAUGAGCUUAGGGUGACAUAUUGAGGCCAUUUCUUCAAAUAGAGCCAUUGGGUAUUUGCAUGGGCAUCAAGAUCCAGACUUUACGUGUUUAUAUUGCUUAAGGAGGCCAAAUCUACGGAUUAGAGGAACGGAUCUGACCCUACUUUAACCCCACUUCCAACCAUUCCCUUAUCCUACCUACACUCACACCCACCCCAAACAUUCCCCUACAAGCACACCCAUAUUUACCUCAAUUAUAUAUCCACCCACCCACCCAUCCAUACCUACACCUCCCACCUAAACCUUCAGACCCACCCACUCUCAUACCACAAACACUCAUACAUAUUCAUACCCACACCCAUACUAAUAUAAUAAAAAAAAUACUUUGGUUAUCUUACAACCCAACUAAAAAACAUAUUUCAUUAUAUGUCAACAAAACACAUAAUUGAUCCUAAUUCCUUUAUAUACCAACUCAUCUGACAAAUUUCAUUCCUUCUUAAAAUAUUAUGCAAACCAAACGCCCCUUUAAAAUUAAAUUAUAUGUUGAUAUUAUUUUUUAAUUAUGUAACCGUCCAGACUUUUAAUAACAAAAUAUGAUUUCAUAUAUAUUACGUAUUUGCAUAUAUCGAGUCAUUUAAUGCACGUCUUUUAUACUUAUCUGAACCAAUGGUUGGAGAUUCAAUCCACACCGUUCAUAUUUAGCUGAUGCGACCGCUAAAUUUCAUAAUCCGUGUCUUUCCUAAUCGACCAAUCAAAGCAACCCAAAAUUGCCUAUAUAAACAUAUCCAACAUAACCUCACUUCACACAACUAAACAUUUUACUUUCCUUUUAAUAAGCCCUCUAUUUCAUCAAAUAUUUAUCUUGUUCUAUAUAUUUCUCUCUCUAAAAAUGGUAAUGAAAACGACCAAUGCGAAGAAAGCAUCGAUUGAAAAGAACAUUAGAAAUGAGAAUAACCCCCCAAAGGAUUUAACCGGAGCAGAUCCAGAGAAAAAAAAGAGACGGAAUAAGAAACCCGUGGAGACGUACAAUACAUACAUCUUCAAGGUCUUGAAGGAGGUCCAUGGUGACAUUGGGAUUUCCAAUAAGGCGAUGGAGAUCAUGAACUCGUUUGUUAAUGAUAUGUUUCAAAAAAUUGCACAAGAAGCUUCCAAGUUAGCAAAAUACAACAAUAAGAGCACCUUAUCGGCGAGAGAAAUUGAGGCUGCUGUCAAGCUUGUGCUACAUGGAGCAUUGGCUAAGCAUGCUGUGCAGGAAGGCACCAAGGCUGUGGCAAACUUUACUAGGUCUUAGAUAGGCCUUAUGUGCUUGUUUUAAUAACAUAUAAAAGGAAAAUAAAUUAAGGUAUGUUAUAAAAAAGUUGAUGUACAACUUAAUUAUGUUACAAUCCAUUUGACAAAAUGAAAUGGAUAAUUAGAUUUUAUAUUCGAUGUUAUGACUUAAAUCUUACCAAAAUGUUUCUCACAAAUCCAUAUAUAAUAAAACACAAAUUUAUUGCUAAAUUACAUUAGAGAAACAAAUAUUAUGGACUAGUAUUGAAAAAAAAAGUUUGUUUUUUUUAAGUUGCACACGACUUUUAACUUAUUGAAAUCAUUCUUAACAAAUGAAGGUUUUUUUUGCCACAUGUUCUCUUCUCUUUCAUUUGGACACAUUGCAUUUUCUAGAAUUUUUUAAUUUUCUAUUUUCCACUUGUCAUUUUAUUGUAAUUUUCAUUUUAUUAAAUUAAAAUUUCACAUUUAUUAUAUAAGGUAAUAUAUAUGUAAGGUAUUUACUAUAAAUGAUUUAUAUAUGUAAUGUAUUCAAUGUAUUAAAGUCUCAUUAAUUUUAAUAAUUUAAAUUUUUUCUCAUUUUUCUUAUAAAUUCAAACUUCUCAAAUUGUUAAAAUUUCAUUUUUUUUAAAUAAACUCAUGUAAUACAUGGGUCUCACACCUAAUAUAUAUAUAUAUAUAUAUAUAUAUAUAUAUAUAUAUAUACACACACACACACACAUUNAUAUAUAUAUAUAUAUAUAUAUAUAUAUAUAUAUAUAUAAACAAGUCUUUUAAUUUGAAGCUUGUCCGAUAAGAUUUUUAAAACUUUUAAUCUAUGAUAAAUGUGUGAAAACUGGUCUUAAAGUUUAAACAAAUCAAAAUAAUUGUAAAUACUUGUUUUUUAUAUUUUAGGUUAGUUAUGUAAAUACUAUUUCUAUUUUAUAUAAUUCAAAAUCAAAAUAAUUGUUUUAUAAAAUCACCAACAUCAAGCCGCCACAUUCAUUGCCGAGGUUGGUUUUAAGGAGUCGAUGCAAGGGUCUUGAUGAGAUCAAGUACGUAGAAGGAAGACAUUGUGAGAAAUAUAUCUUGAAUUCAUUAAGAUUGCAUUUAUGACCAAAUUUAAAGGAUGAUUGGCUUAUUUAUUUAUUUUUGUUAAGACGACUUGAUGGAAUAUCGUGAAUCUUGCGUUUAUCUCACAAAUUAGCAACUAAGGCCCCGUUUGAUAGUUGUUGACCGAGAAAGUGCUGACUGAGAAAUGUGUCUCAGUAAGAAAUUCUAACUAAGUAAGAAAUCAUAUUGUUUGAUUUGAAAUCUGACUGAAUGUGCUGACUAGUGCAAAAUGACCAUUUUACCCCGAUGCUCUACACGUUUCUAUGCAAUAUGAAGAUGAUGAUGAUGAUAAUAAUAAUAAUAAUAACAACAACAACAACAAAAACAACAAUAAUAAUAACAACAAUUACAAUAAUAAUAAUAAUAAUAAUAAUAAUAGACAUUAAUAAUAAUAAUAAUAACAAUAAUAAUAAUAAUAAUAAUAGACAUUAAUAAUAAUAAUAAUAAUAAUAAUAAUAAUAUAUAAAAAACUUUCAGCAUAAUAAACAUUAAAUAUAUUAUUUUAGAAAUAAAACACAAAAAGUCAUUUAGCUUGUUGGUAAACACCAUAUUUUCUACAAGGGAUACCUAAGUUCUAAUCAUGUAACCUUCAUUAGCUUUGAAUUUUUAUCCAAGCCAAUGGUACUAUUGGAAACCCUCACUUUCUUUCUGGGUCAGCCAUCUCCCAACUUCUUUCUCGGUUAGACCUUGCUUUCCGAGUCAGACGUUAAGAUUUUGUCUAUCAAACACCUUUCGUCUGACCGAGUCAGCCAAAAAUGUCUGACCUGACUCGGUCAGAUGCAUAUCAAACAGGGCCUAAGUUGGACGGACAAUACGAGACGAGUUUGAUGGAACAUACAAGCCUCAGAUAGAGUAAAUAGGAAGUUCAAUUAGCAAUUUAAAUGGUUUUAUACUUCACGUUUCAACAUUCACACUGGUAAUUUAAUUUAAAUUUUCGAACUUUUUUUACACCCAUAUGAGGUUCUAUUUAAAUAGUAACAAAAUUUAUGAAUUUUGAUAUAUAUAUUUACUUUAUUUUAUCGAUAAAAAUUAUAAUAUAUAUAUANNNNNNNNNNNNNNNNNNNUAUAUAUAUAAAAGUUCAAUUAAGAAAAUAUAAAAAAUGAAGAAUGAGGAAUCAUUGUCAACCACUCAUUUAUUUUUGCCGUAAAAAUCUUCAUCGUACCGGCGGAAAUGGGGAUGAAUACACAUAUAUUCUCCAAAAAAAACAUGUUUUCUUCAACUAUGUUAAUCAUUACCUUAAUAUAUACAAAAGCAUAGUUUUUUUUUUCGUUUUUUUAAUUUUUAAGUAGCUAUUUUUAUCGGAAAAAUGAUUUUAAAUAUAUCAAAAUUCAUAAUAUUUUAUUCUCUACAAAUAGACAUCAAUAUUGAUAUAGUUUUAAGAUAAAUUAACAUUUUUUUUAUAGUUUCAGCUAUCGUUAUUCAUAAUUGAAUAUAAAUGCAUCAGAUUUUUACUACAGUACAUUCGUUAUUCACUUAUGAAUAAAUUAAUAUUUUUUAUUUUUUUUACAGUUUAACUAUCAUUUAUACUACUUAUUCAUAUAUGAAUAACAAAUUAACUGUAACAAAAAUCUGAUAAAUGUUUUAUUCAUAUAUAAAUAUAAAAUAUGACGACAACUAAUACACGUUUUAUUCAUAUAUAAAUAUAAUAUAUGGCGAAAGAUGAUGUAAAAAAUAUAUUUUAAAUAAUAAACUUUAUUACGUGUUAUAUUCAUGUAUGAACGAUACUCAAACUAUAAAAAAAAAUUGAAGCAUACGUUUUAUUCAUAACUGAAUAACGAAUGUAUUGUAAUAAAAGUCUGAUAGAUCUUUAAUCACUUAUAAAUAACGAGAACUGCAACUCUAAAAAAAAAUUAAUUUAUCUUAAAAUUAUAUCAAUAUGAAUGUCUAUUUAUAAAGAAUAAAAAAUUAUGAAUUUUGAUAUAUUUAAUAUAAUUUUUCAAUAAAAAUAACUUUCUAAAAAUAAAAAAACAAAAACAAAAAAAAAAAUGUUUUUGGGUAUAUUAUGGUAAUGAUUAGCAUAGUUUAAGGAAACAUGUUUGGUUGAAAAACACAUGUGUAUCCGUUAUCUAUUUCCGUCGGUACGCCUAAGUGUUUUGCGGCAAAAUAAAUAUGUAUUUGAAAAUGAUUCCCUCAUUCUCAACCUUUUUUUUUCUCAAGUAAACCCUACUCUAUCUAUCUAUCUAUCUCUCUCUCUCUCUCUCUCUCUCUCUCNNNNNNNNNNNNNNNNNNNNNNNNNNNNNNNNNNNNNNNNNNNNNNNNNNNNNNNNNNNNNNNNNNNNNNNNNNNNNNNNNNNNNNNNNNNNNNNNNNNNNNNNNNNNNNNNNNNNNNNNNNNNNNNNNNNNNNNNNNNNNNNNNNNNNNNNNNNNNNNNNNNNNNNNNNNNNNNNNNNNNNNNNNNNNNNNNNNNNNNNNNNNNNNNNNNNNNNNNNNNNNNNNNNNNNNNNNNNNNNNNNNNNNNNNNNNNNNNNNNNNNNNNNNNNNNNNNNNNNNNNNNNNNNNNNNNNNNNNNNNNNNNNNNNNNNNNNNNNNNNNNNNNNNNNNNNNNNNNNNNNNNNNNNNNNNNNNNNNNNNNUGUGUGCUAAAAUACACAAAUAUGAAUUAGUAAAUUAAAUAAUUAUUUCAUUAAAUAAAUAUCGAUAUUAAAUGAUUUCAAUAAUUAUAUGUAUAUUAAAUGAUAUCCAUAAUUAUAAUUCUAUUUUUAUUUAAAUUAAUUAAAUCUGUCAUUAAUGUCAGCAAUAACAUUCUUUUAUAAUUAAUUCGCAUCUAGGUUUUUAUAUAUGAGUUCGUAUUUUGUUUCAGGACUCACUCACUUAAAAUACAAUAAAGUUAUAUAGAAUAUGAAGAACGAGAGUGUAUUCUACUAGAAUACACUUCAUUCUGUUGGAAUACACUCUUAUUCUUCUAUAUAUGAAAUAAUUCUGAAAGAAUAUUAUUGUUGACAUUAAUGACGAAUUAAAUUAGUUUCCAUAAAAAUGAGUUAUAAAUAUGGAUAAUAUUUAAUAUACAUAUAAUUAAUACUAAAUUCAUAUUGGUGCAUUUUAGAACACGACAGAUGUAAGAAACAUUUGAACCUACCUCUCUCUCUUUCUCUUUAUAUAUAUAUAUAUGUAUAUAUAUAUAUAUGUAUAUAUAUAUAUANNNNNNNNNNNNNNNNNNNNNNNNNNNNNNNNNNNNNNNNNNNNNNNNNNNNNNNNNNNNNNNNNNNNNNNNNNNNNNNNNNNNNNNNNNNNNNNNNNNNNNNNNNNNNNNNNNNNNNNNNNNNNNNNNNNNNNNNNNNNNNNNNNNNNNNNNNNNNNNNNNNNNNNNNNNNNNNNNNNNNNNNNNNNNNNNNNNNNNNNNNNNNNNNNNNNNNNNNNNNNNNNNNNNNNNNNNNNNNNNNNNNNNNNNNNNNNNNNNNNNNNNNNNNNNNNNNNNNNNNNNNNNNNNNNNNNNNNNNNNNNNNNNNNNNNNNNNNNNNNNNNNNNNNNNNNNNNNNNNNNNNNNNNNNNNNNNNNNNNNNNNNNNNNNNNNNNNNNNNNNNNNNNNNNNNNNNNNNNNNNNNNNNNNNNNNNNNNNNNNNNNNNNNNNNNNNNNNNNNNNNNNNNNNNNNNNNNNNNNNNNNNNNNNNNNNNNNNNNNNNNNNNNNNNNNNNNNNNNNNNNNNNNNNNNNNNNNNNNNNNNNNNNNNNNNNNNNNNNNNNNNNNNNNNNNNNNNNNNNNNNNNNNNNNNNNNNNNNNNNNNNNNNNNNNNNNNNNNNNNNNNNNNNNNNNNNNNNNNNNNNNNNNNNNNNNNNNNNNNNNNNNNNNNNNNNNNNNNNNNNNNNNNNNNNNNNNNNNNNNNNNNNNNNNNNNNNNNNNNNNNNNNNNNNNNNNNNNNNNNNNNNNNNNNNNNNNNNNNNNNNNNNNNNNNNNNNNNNNNNNNNNNNNNNNNNNNNNNNNNNNNNNNNNNNNNNNNNNNNNNNNNNNNNNNNNNNNNNNNNNNNNNNNNNNNNNNNNNNNNNNNNNACGUUAGUUAGUCGGUGGACUGGGGUUAAGGGAUUAAUCGGCUAGGCGGAGAUUAAUCGGUGACCAUUGAUUGCUAAUUUGUUAGAUUUUAACAAAUUAAAUAUGACUAAUAUUAUAUAAAAGUUCGUAAAUACCACUAAUAUUAUAACAAAAUAGUUUAAUAUGAUAAAUAUAACACUAAUCAUACAUCAAAUAGUUUCUGUUGAGAUAUAACUUCUUCAAAGUGUUAAAAUUUCAUUAGGUUCUACUGUUUCAGUCAUUGUGUAUGCAGAGAUUAAUCGUUUUGCGCCCUCUAAUCGGUCGAGUAGCACCAAGGGAUUAAUCAGAGAUUAAUCCGGACCUAAUCGGGAUUUUUACAACANNNNNNNNNNNNNNNNNNNNNNNNNNNNNNNNNNNNNNNNNNNNNNNNNNNNNNNNNNNNNNNNNNNNNNNNNNNNNNNNNNNNNNNNNNNNNNNNNNNNNNNNNNNNNNNNNNNNNNNNNNNNNNNNNNNNNNNNNNNNNNNNNNNNNNNNNNNNNNNNNNNNNNNNNNNNNNNNNNNNNNNNNNNNNNNNNNNNNNNNNNNNNNNNNNNNNNNNNNNNNNNNNNNNNNNNNNNNNNNNNNNNNNNNNNNNNNNNNNNNNNNNNNNNNNNNNNNNNNNNNNNNNNNNNNNNNNNNNNNNNNNNNNNNNNNNNNNNNNNNNNNNNNNNNNNNNNNNNNNNNNNNNNNNNNNNNNNNNNNNNNNNNNNNNNNNNNNNNNNNNNNNNNNNNNNNNNNNNNNNNNNNNNNNNNNNNNNNNNNNNNNNNNNNNNNNNNNNNNNNNNNNNNNNNNNNNNNNNNNNNNNNNNNNNNNNNNNNNNNNNNNNNNNNNNNNNNNNNNNNNNNNNNNNNNNNNNNNNNNNNNNNNNNNNNNNNNNNNNNNNNNNNNNNNNNNNNNNNNNNNNNNNNNNNNNNNNNNNNNNNNNNNNNNNNNNNNNNNNNNNNNNNNNNNNNNNNNNNNNNNNNNNNNNNNNNNNNNNNNNNNNNNNNNNNNNNNNNNNNNNNNNNNNNNNNNNNAGACCGCAAUGCGUACUCACUGCUUACCCCUUCACCCUAACUUUUUAUGUGUCAUCUGAACUUUUCACUCUCUUACUUUUCAUUCAUCAAAAAUAGGAAAUGAUCACCUUUCAACAAUCUUUAAUUUUUUAUUUUUUUAAAAUAAAAUUAAUUUAGUUUUCUAAAAAGCAAAGUUAAUUAAAAAGUGAUUAAUAAACACAAAAAUUAAUUAAAUAUAAAUAUAUAGUUACUUAAAAAUAAAAAUACAUAAUAAAACCUAGAAAAACGUAAUUAAAAAUUACAAAAUAAAAAUAAUAAACCAUUAUUAAAAAAAUGCGUCACUUCGAAUCGUCGUCUGUGUUAUCUGAAUCCUCGCCCAAGUCCUAGACGAACAUAUCAGAAUCUUCAUCUGAUUCAUCAAACAAAUCAGCGUACCAAUAAUCGGCAUUCGGCUGUAUGUGAGCCCUGAAAAUGCGCUCCACCAAAUUUGUAGAAAGGGAGUAAUGAAUGUCGCGAUCAUGUAUUUCUCUUCUAUUUGCCCUAUACUCUUGCAUACCAAUAACUACUCCAUCGACGUUUUGGAAAACUUUGUUUUCGUCGUAGCGGCAAAUCACUCUUCCUUCAUCUUCUAAAAUCAUACUAUGUAAUAUGAUGCACACGUACAUUAUGUGUUGUAACCUUUUCACUUCAUAUAAUCAUGCCCCUGACUUAUAGUACUUGCAUACGCCCCUUUAGUACACCAACUGUUCGCUUCACAUCAUUCCUAUACUCUUGUGUCUGCUUAAACUUUUUUUUUCCGUCGUUCGAACAUAUGAAAGACUUCACAAUAACAAACAAGGUAUGAUAUAUCUCAUCAAUAAGAUAGUACCCACGCUUAUAUCGACACAAUGCCCAAGAACAGGGCAUGCAAAUCGAUACAAUCUAACAUUUAUGGGAACCCAUGCUUAUUUGCAUUCAUCAUGUACAAUUGGUCGACAUGGUUGAUUGUUGGUUUACACAUAUAUUGUAUCAUGUAAACCGAAGAGUUUCCUGUGUGGUACGCUCAUACAUCCUAAAAUACUCGUUUUAUUUACAUGCUCCCAUGUCAUAUGCUAACUGAUGAAUUUUGGUUGUGUAUUUAUUUUAAUUGGAGAAAAACCUUUUCUACCGGUCGCAUCCCACAUCAAUUGGAAAUAUGGAAAAUCGGCCUUCCAAAUCGGCAACAACACAUAAAAAUAAUUCUUUCCUCAUACAGAACCGCCUUCAUAACUAUUCAGCGUGCGUGACAUCAUCUACAAAAUUGUCAGCUAUAAGACGAUUGUGUCAGACUUCACAAUUUCUAUUCAACAAGGUCUUCUCAUUAGAAAAACGUGAACGUUAACUUUUAUCUUUCCGUUUAUGGAAAUACGUCACUGUUUUUGCCAUGACGAAACUAAAAAUGUUACAUCUUCUUGCACCAUUGAAUUGGACGAACUAGAAGAUGAUGGCGACAUUGUGGUUGAAUGAGUUUUGAGAGAAAAUAUAGAGUUUUGUGUGAAAAAUGUUGGAUAUUUUUGGUAUUUAUAGAAUUAAAAGUUUAUAUAUAUAUAUAUAUAUAUAUAUAUAUAUAUAUAUAUACACGCACACACAUUAUAUAUACAUAUACAUUCACAUACUCAUUUAUACACAUUUACAUACAUGUGUAUGUAUGUAUAUAAAAAAUCACAAAUAUUAAUAAGGAUUACAAUGUUAAAUUAUGAAACGAAUAAUGGAAUCUGAAGGGGCACACGAUUUAUGAACGUGGAUAAUAAUUAUAAGUUGGUGAAUAUAUAGAUAUGCAUUUAUAUUAGAGGUGUGAAAGGCCCGUGAGGCUUGAUCGGGGUCCGAUUUUUGACCUUUUUUUUUUUUUUCUUUUUUAUAUUUAACCCUCCAAACAUUUAAUUUUUUUUCUUCGGAAUUUGCAAACUUCCGCACAUAAUUUAAAUUUUUCAUAUCAUAUCGCAAUAUUUUGACGAUAAAUAAAAUAAAAUCUCAUCCAUCUAUUUCUUUAUGUCAUACGCAAAUAUUUGUCCUCACAUUCCUCACUAAUUCUUGAGUCCUCAUCCGAUCAUAUACAUAUACAUNNNNNNNNNNNNNNNNNNNNNNNNNNNNNNNNNNNNNNNNNNNNNNNNNNNNNNNNNNNNNNNNNNNNNNNNNNNNNNNNNNNNNNNNNAUAUAAACAAUAAGAUAUAUAAGUAUUAGGUACUCAAACUCACCAUACUACAUUGCUCUUGAAUUAUAUAUGCAUUGUAAUCGUCCAAAGUUCUUAACAUUCAAUUCGUAACUUGAUUUGCUUCCAAAUUUUUAAGAAAUUUAACCACUAUCUUCCUCUUACAUAAUUUUCAUUUGCAACUAUAAUAUAUUUAGCUUAGUAGGUGUUCGGCAGAAAGAUAUGGUGUACAAAGAAGAUAAUGGUAGAGGUAAGCAUGGGUCGUUAUAAGUCGGUUUUUAUGUAAAACCGACUUAUCGAUUUUCAAAAAGUUAGAACCCAAUCCAAUAUCUAAACUGUUGGGUUCAGUUUGUUGGUUUUCCAUAUCAGUUUUUAUGUAAAACCGACUUAUCGUUGAGCGUACGCUGCAUGAGGCCCGAUUUAGAUUGUGAGUAUGUCGAGCGUACGUGCCGAGUACGUUGAGCGUACUUGGUCUGUGUUGGCCAAGUUUGAACGUUGGCUUUUUGACAAAAUUUGGUCUUGGGGGCUUUUUGAGUAUUUUGGAUUAUCAGUAUGUAAUUGGGUCACCGUUUAUUGUUUAAGCGAGCGGUAGAGUCGGUGUGAGUAGCGGAGAUCUGUGCAGUCAUCCUUUUGAUUGUGAGGUGAGUUCUCUCACUAUGUCGACGAGUACAAGGCACCAAAGUCGACCCAUUUAUUGAAUUUAUAUAUCAUAAGAUGUAGGAUUGCUAUGAUAGUUAUAUGUGUGAUUUGUCUGUGUAUAUAUCGACAUGUAGAUGGUUAGGUUGAGGCCACGUGCCAACAAACCUAAUAUGGCUGGGUUGAGAUUGGAGGUUAAGAAACCCGAUAUGGUAAGGUUGAGGCCACGUGCCAACAAACCUGGAUUAUUGGGUUGACGCCAUGUGCCAACAAACCGUGGAUGGUGGAGUUGAGGUUUUACUGCUCGGUGUUGUAAACCAACAAACCCAAUAUGGUUGGGUUAGGUAAAGGACCAACAAACCUUGUAUGCAUGCUUGUAUUGUAUAUGUAUUUGUGUGUGGUGUGGGAAUUUUGGGAAGCUCGUGAAAAUUUGGCUUACAGUUUGGAUUUCAAUGUUUCAGGUACUUCCGAUAAGCGGAGGAAAACGAAGGCGUAACUAUACACAUCAUCCCACGGUUUAUGUUGAUCGAUACUCUGACUUAUUAUGAUUUGUAAAUAAUGUUUUGAUACUUUGAUUCAAAAUUGUGGGUCUAAAAUUAUUUUUUCACUUAUCUCUGUCUUUACUAUCGACGUAUUCUCUCCUUCGUCUUCUCCCUCCGACGAAGCUGAUGAACCCUAACUAGGGGUGAAAGCGUCAUCUGACAACAAAAUUUAUUCCCACUCCCCCUUAAACUCGAGAACACAUUUAUCUUUUCCACAUUCUCCUUCCAUAUACUUCACUCCUUUCCUUCCCCUUAUUUCUCUUCCCACUCCUCAAUUUUUAUUCAAGAGAACAAUUAGUAAUUUGUUGAAAGUUAAAAAAUUACGGAGGCUUAAAUUAAUAUGAUGUAAAUAUUUUUUUGAUAUAUAUCUUAAAACAUAUUCAUUUGGAUGACGAGCCUAGUGAAAAAAAUAUAACAUGACAAUUUUUUUUUAAAUAUUCUAUUAUAAUGUUUAUAUUCAAAUAAUGAAUGUAAAUUUAUUCGAAAAGCGUAAACCAACAAAUAUAAAAAAAACUUGAUGGAGUAGAUGCUUCGAACCCAUAAUCACCGCAUAUGUUUAAAAGAUUUGAAUUUCAAUCCAAUUUAAGUUCUAGAAAGAUUUUACCGCCAGAAAUUGAAACCUCCUUAAAAAUUUCGAGAUCCGCUACAUCCACCGUUCAAUCGCACUCUAAAAACCAACGGCCACUAAACACGAUCCGCGUCAGUCUAAUCCAACCAAUAAGAUCAGUUUUACACAGCCUAUAUAAACACAUCCCCAACGCAUCAACAAACACAUCCAAGCUUUCGUAUUCCUCUUAUACAAACACAUCCUCUCGAUUUCCAUUUUCACUUCAACUCUAACAUUAGCAAUGGCACCAAAGGCAGCUGCCGGAAAGAAACCAGUGGCGGAAAAGACUCCAGCUGAGAAGGUACCAGCAGAGAAGAAGCCUAAGGCAGAGAAGAAACUCCCAAAAGACGCAUCGGCAGCAGAUAAGAAGAAGAAGAGACACAAGAAAUCAGUCGAGACCUACAAGAUCUACAUCUUUAAGGUUUUGAAGCAGGUUCACCCUGACAUUGGUAUCUCUAGUAAGGCAAUGGGCAUCAUGAACUCAUUCAUCAACGACAUUUUCGAGAAGCUCGCUCAGGAGGCAUCUAAGCUUGCAAGGUACAACAAGAAGCACACUCUUUCUUCGAGGGAGAUUCAAACUGCAGUCAGACUUGUACUUCCUGGGGAGUUGGCUAAGCAUGCUGUGUCUGAAGGUACCAAGGCUGUGACAAAGUUCACUAGCGGUUAGAUUGUCUUGAUCUGUUGGUAGCUAUUGCAACAUGGUUUUUGUUUGUUUUUGUGAUCUAUGAUGUAAGUACUUUGUAGUGGAAAAGUUCUUGAAUUGAAAUGAAACUAUCUUGUUUCGGCAAUGGAAGGCUUUGUUUAAUCGGCCAUAUUAUAUUUACUUUUGAUUGGUUUGUUUGUCUGAAAUGAAAUUAGGAUGAUAUUGUUCGUUGAUAUCUAUUUUGUUAGUGUUUUGUAUCAAUUAGUUUUCACUUCCAACAGUGUUUGUGUUUAUGCCUGAGACGAUCCAGUUGAAAGCUUCAACAAAUUUGUAUCGUUUUUCUAGUUUUCAUUCACAGCAACACUUGGGAGAUGAAACUUCGAUUAUUUUAAAUAUGUUGUCGACCAGUUUUUCUCUGAAGAAUCCGGUGAUACGAUCGUUUGUAGAUGUCUAAAUGUUAAUUUUUGUAAAAAAACGGAAAUCGAAAAACUUUUGUUAUAAACUCUUUAACAGAAACAUAUGAUGACGGAUAUGGUGAAAAAAAAUAUAAACAUUAUGUUUAAAGAGUUUUGAAAAAACUAUUACAACAGAAAAAUAUUAUAAUUUAUGAAAUCACCAUUAUACCCAUUAUGCUAAAAAAAAAUACCAAAAAACUGACAUUAUUUCUGUAAGGGAAAAAAAGUCAAAUAAUUUCUUUAUAAUUUUUGAAAAAACAAAAACAAAUGAUAAAAAAAUAGAAACAAAUACGUUAUCUCUCUUGGUAUCUUUUUCUACGAAUAGAGAGUGAAAAUGAAUUAUAAUAAAUGAAUAUCUAUUUUGUCGCUUUUCAAUCUUCAUUAAUUUUGAUACUUGUUAUUUUAUAAUAUUUUCGAAAUUAAAUAAUAUAUACAUGUCAAUUCGUAGGUUUUUUUAAUUUUAAAAUUAAAAAGUCACAUAAUAGUUAUAUAUGCAAAAUAUUAAAUGUAAUAAACACGAUAUCAGACCCGUCCCAGAAGGUAGGCGAUAGGGACGACAGUUCAGGGCCCAUUUUUCAAAAGGCCCAAAUUUUUUAUGAAAAUUAUUAUAUUUAAAAGAUAAUACAAGUAAAUUUUUCCAGUUAUUGAGUUAUUAUAAAAAACUUGAUGCCAUUUAUGUAUUUUAAGGACCUAUUUUUUUCAAUCGCCCUGCGCCCAAAAUAUAUUUGGAACGGCCCUGCACGAUAUUAAUUGUAAUUAAAACAUUUUUUCUUUCUUUGUUUCAAAAUUUUAUUUAAAAAAAAUAGUUAAUGUUUAAUUUUAAUAUUUAACUUUUUUAUCAACCUGUAUAAUACACGGGUUUACAUCUAGUAGGAUGAUAUAAAAAACUCAAAUCCACGUUAACAUGCAAGUUAUAUAAAAUAUAAUGGACAAAACAUCAAAUUUAGUCCUUGUGGUUUGUAAAAACUUUGGAUAGGGUCUAAAAAGUUUUCGACUUGCAUGGAAGGUCGAAAAUCAAAACUUUUCUGUGAAUUUGGUCCAAAUAAAUAUGAAAAGACUAUUUUGCCCUUAUUAUUUCUUUUUUACAUUUUCUGUGUUUAUUUUGAUUGUUUUAAAAUAAAAGAAAAAAAAGCGGGCAUGACUAUUUGACCACACAAUACCCACCCCACAUCUCCCCCCCCUCACUCUCUCAUCAAAAAGACUUCCAUGAUCAAUUCGUUUCCAUAGAUAUCACCUUCCUUUCCCGUCAAGAUGUCAUACAACAGUCGUUGACCCUUCUCGCCGUUAAGUUUCUUACCUGACACUGCCUCCAUUCCCCCUUCUUCUUCUCGAGCCGAUAGGUUUAAGUUUUGGAGCUUGAAGCCUGCCAUCUAGACCAAAACCUCGAUAAGUUCGACAACGGUGAAUCCGAUAGCAAAUUCGACAGCUUCAAACAUGUUAACUUGUAACAGCCUACUAAUCUCUUUCCCUCAUCUAUCGAAAUCUUCUAAGGUUCCAUUUUAGAUUUGAUUUUGUGUUUUCUGAAAAUUUCUAGGUUAGCUAAAAAUUUUGAUUUUCAAUUUCUACAAUUGGUGUUUAUUAUUAUGUGGGUGGGUGUAGAUUUUGUGGUGAAGAGAUUUUCUGGGAUCCAUUCAUUAUCUCAAAGACUUUGUGAGUUUCAAUUUCUGCAACUUUUGUUCAAUUUCAGCAAUUUGUGUUUAUUAAUGAGGGAUUGGGAGUUUUUUUUUAAUGCAUAUUACUGGUGAAGAACAAAUGAUUGAAUUUUAUAAACAUUAGAAUCACCCACUUCAUGAUGCAUAUUCUAAAAACCCAUGAGCUUUUACGCAUUUUUAUCAGGUGGAAUCCCUGACUGUGAUGUGUAGAUGUAAGCGUGAUUGAAUCGAUUGGUGUUAAUGUGCAACCGUCAAAUUCUGGUUAAUUCAAAGUCAAAUAAAGUCAACAAGUCAAACCGAUCAACCCAACUAACCCUUGUGUACUAUGGCUUACGUUAUGUAAUUGCUAAACAACUCGCUAUUCUAAUAAGAGAUCAUAAAUCGAAAAGUAUGUACGUCUAGAUCUCCUUAACCUAAAACAGUGGUAAGUGACGAGCCAAACCGAUAAAACAAUGAUACAUACUCAUCGGGAGUGUGUAGGAUCUUUAAACAAGGCUUAACAGGGUUUACGGACCUUGCAUUGCGAAGCCGGACACUCAAAAAAAGGUUACCAAUGAAACCCCUCUCAAUCGUUUUCACUCUAUCUCUUUUUGUCGAGAAUCUCUCCCGAAUCUCUCUUGGUAUGUAAAAUCUCUCCAAGAAUGUCAAAUCUCUCUAAGUAUGAGAAAUCUCUCCCAAAUAUCUCCUCGUAGGAUAAAUCUCUCCAAGAAUGUCAAACCUCUCUAAGUAUGAGAAAUCUCUCCCAAAUAUCUCCUUGUAUGUAAAAUCUCUUCAAGAAUGUCGAAUCUCUCUAAGUAUGAGAAAUCUCUCCCAAAUAUCUCCUUGUAGGAGAAAUCUCUCCAAGAAUGUCAAAUCUCUCCCAAAUCUCUCUAAGUAUGAGAAAUCUCUCCCAAAUAUCUCCUUGUAGGAGAAAUCUCUCCAAGUAUGACAAAUCUCUCCCAAAUCUCUCUCAAAAUCUCUCUCAACUUUCUAUAGUCACUCGGGGCAUCCCGACCCUCGAAUUUGGCGAAAACAGCCAAAAAACAGAAGUCUACGCGAAAAACGGACUUAAGGAGCCGAAACCCCUCUUAGGACCCGAAAGUCCUCUUAGGACCCGAAACCUCUCUUAGGGGCCGAAGGUCCUCCUGGAACCGAACCUCGCAUAUCACCCGAACCCGAACCUUCGGUCCAUUUCGGAUCCUGAUGCUUCGGACCGAGCCCUCGCCUUCGCUUCUCGCUUCUGGUUCGCCCCAUCUCGCCUCCGGCUCGGCAUCAUUAGGGACCGAACCUCGGCCUAGGACCGAGAGGUCUAGCUGGAAGUCAUUUUUCUCCCGGUUUUCGACUAAUUUUGCGUUUUAGCUUCGUUUUUAAUUGUUUUAACACGGGAUUUUCGCUCAAACUUUAUUUUAACAUAUAAGACCCCUUUAAUUAAUGAUUUAUCACGUUUCUAAGGAUAAAACCUUAUCCAAAAGAGUGGGUGAAGUACAAAGGUGUAGUGUUGACUUUCCUUUAUUUUAUGACACAAGCAACCUCCCAUACCCACUCCAUGUCACUAUUCCCCAUCAGCCCUUACAUAGUCACUUCAUUGUACUUUUCCCACCUUUUUCCAACCACACAAUUGGUCAAAGGCUAGAAAAGUCUCCGCUCUCUUCACUUCUCUCAUUUUCUCUCUUUUCACCAAAAAGAUCAAACUCUUUUCUCUCUCACUUCCUCUCUCUAGAAUUCAAGAUUUAAGGGUUGAUCUUGGGUUUUUCCUCCACAUUUGGUAAGCAAAAUCCACUCUCCUUAUGAUUAUUUCACUUCUUUCUACUCAAAUCAUGGAUAUCUUACACAGACUCCAUCAUAAUUGUGUUAGAUCUUCGAAUCUUCAAGUGAUUCUUCAAGUGUUCUUGGGUUGAACACUUCUCUUCUUCAACACUUAUCUUCUAAAAUCACUCAAGGUAAGUUCAUACCCCUACAUUUUCAUGUUUUCUCAAGUUUUCAGGGGGGAAUACAAGUUAAAACACCAAGAACAUAACUAAACUUUUCUAACAGCCCUCAUCAGAAAAGUUUAACUCCAUUCACGGACUGUUUUGGACAACUUAAUAAUUUUAGUUUUCAAAACUAUUUUAGGUGCAAGUAGUUCCACUUCUUAGCUUUAAAAUGACUACUUGCACAUCUCCACACGAUUUGUCUACAAUUUAUGGUGAUUUUUACAAAACAGCCUGUCUUUUCAAACACAAAUUCGGACCAGUCUGUGAAUAUGAGCAUUUUAAUACAAGUUAAAGGCUUCCAAAAAUCAUGAUAAAAAUUAUGAGUAAACUAGACACAAUUUAGGAACUCUCAGAAUUUACGGAUCUAGUUUUUGACUCCGUAUGAUUUUUUUAUGAAUUUUCUAAAACAGAAUAGAAAUGGCAAUACUAGAAAAAUGUUUUCAAUUUCAUAUACACCUUGUAACUUGUUGAGCAAGGUGUGUACCUUCAUGUGUUGAUGUGUUAUUACCAUAUAUGUCAUCUUGUCUUAUUAUAUAGACAUACAUCAGAAAACAAAUGGAUUCUUACCACCAUAAGUAUGGUAAAUAUAUAUAUGAUAAUAUAAGGCUAUAUCCAUUAAAAUACAAACAUUGGUAAACUAUGACAAGUAAGGCUUAUGCUCACUACCCACACAAAUAAUUAUGAUAAACUAUAAUAAGUAUAGUUAAGCCAUUAUACCCCCACAAACGAACAUGCUAGUUAUAAUCAGUAUAGUUAUGGCAUAUAUAUAUUACAAACAAAGUGAUAAACUAUAAUAGGUAUAGUUUAUGUUUCAUCUACACUACGAACUUAAUUACAAGAAAGGAUUUCACCAUCACCACCACCUUUGAUAAGCAAUAAUAUGCAUAGUUCAUGUUCACUACCACUAUCACUAUUUGAUGAACUAUGAUAUGUAUAGGUUAUAUUCACCAUCACCACCACUUUUGAUAAGCUAUAAUAUGCAUAGUUCAUGUUCACUACCACUAUCACUAUUUGAUGAACUAUGAUAUGUAUAGGUUAUAUUCACCAUCACAACCACUUUUGGUAAACUAUAAUAUGCAUAGUACAUGUUCACUAGUCACUAUCACUAUCCGAUGAACUAUGAUAUGUAUAGUUUAUGUUCACGGUCACUAUUACUAUUUCGUACACUACACUAGGAUUGGUUCCGGUUUUUUGGAUUUACGUCCACAUUCAAUAUCGCAUUGUUAGUUUUCAACUAUAAUUUCUAAGUGUAUAUGCUAGAGUUAUAUAGAACCUAGUCGUGAUUGGCUUAGAAUUGGUGGUUCCGCCUCAUCUCCUGUUCCUCGUUGGGUUGUGGACCUAGGGCAGACCCAUUACAUUCGACGUUUUAAUUACAUAUACCUUGGUGUAACUUUUUCAAUUAUAUUUAUGAUGGUUGUAUUUACUUUGAGCACUAUUAUACACGUUGUUGUGAUACUGUACAUGAAGUCCUCCACCCCUGGACGUUUCCGCCAUCCUUGGUUUGGGGGUGUGACAGUUAAAUUGAGUUGGGUUUCUGCGGGAUUAAAUUGAUGAAUGCAAAACCGAUGGAUUGAAGCUUUUAAGGUAAGUUUUUGUUGGUUUUUUGACAGCUCGAUUCAUUUGAAGGAAAAGUAAAACCGAUGUCCCCAGAAUAUUUGGAGAUUGAUUUUGAAUAUGUAGUGGUGGGUGUUUUUGAUCCAGUUGUAGGUUAGAGGUGCCAAUUGAGUUGGGUUUCUGCGGGAUUAAAUUGAUGAAUGCAAAACCGAUGGAUUGAAGCUUUUAAGGUAAGUUUUUGUUGGUUUUUUGACAGCUCGAUUCAUUUGAAGGAAAAGUAAAACCGAUGUCCCCAGAAUAUUUGGAGAUUGAUUUUGAAUAUGUAGUGGUGGGUGUUUUUGAUCCAGUUGUAGGUUAGAGGUGCCAGUCUCCUUUAGGUCUUUUUUGUUUGGGUUUUCGACGAAGAAAAGGGGAGGGAGGAAUAGGGGGCUGCAACGAAGCUUACACUCAAUAUUCAAGUGGAUUUGUGUUUUGUUGCAGAUUUUAAAGAAGAAGAAGAAGAAGAAGAAGAAGAAAAAGAAAAGGAGGAGAGAGAGAGAGAGAGACGAUAUGGUUGGGUGUAUAUUUUUUUUUAAUUUCUUUUUAUUUUGUAGUUAUAAAAACAUUAUAAAUGGUAAAAAUAAUGUAAAAAGGAAAUUAGAAGGGUAAAACCGUCAUUUCAAGUCUUCCAAGGACCAAAACCACGGGAAUCUUCUAAUUUUGGGACCAAAUUCACGAAAAAGUUUUGAUUUUGGACAUUCCAUGCAAGUCGAAAACUUUUUGGACUACAUCCAAAGUUUUUUACAAACCACAAGGACCAAAUUUGCAGUUUUGUCAAUAUAAUGGGGAAAUUAACAAAAAAAAAAAUCCAAAAACGUCAGUAUUAUGUUAUUGAAAUAUGGGCCUGUAAUUUGUAUCUUCAACUUUGAGAGAUUUUGUUUUACAUGGGUGAAUCAAAUUAAAAAGGGUCGAAUAUAUAUCUUUUUACUUAUACCUUUCAAUAUAAAUACAUACAUGAAUGAUGAUUGUAAUUAAAAGAAACUCUUAUUUGUCCAAUAUAUAUAUAUAUAUAUAUAUAUAUAGGGGGGAGGGGUGUGAGGAANNNNNNNNNNNNNNNNNNNNNNNNNNNNNNNNNNNNNNNNNNNNNNNNNNNNNNNNNNNNNNNNNNNNNNNNNNNNNNNNNNNNNNUGUACGAAAGUAUAAACUCAACAACUUCCCAACAUCAACAUUUCAUUUAAACAUGAAACAGUUGGUUUACAUCAACAAUUACAGGAGAAAAACCUCACUACAAUCACACUCAACACUCUAAUAACCAUUUAUGAACAGAUCGACUCAAGAACAAGUGAAAAAUAUAGAAACCCUAGUAGAAUACCCUAAACGGAGAGAAAAGCAUUGCGGGUGGAAAGAACAACAAAAUAUCUAUAUGACACAAAUGAACUGAACUCCAACAUUAAAUACUUCAGGGCAACCGGUAUCAACUGAACCCGACGUAUACGGGUUAAACAACCCGCGCUCAUUUACCUGCAUUUUAGAACAUAACAGAAAACACCCUUCUACAAAUAACAAAUGUCACAAGACGCCCAAAUAACUAAACAUCUUCAAAUGAUAAGUUUGCUAUCAAUAAUACCUUUUAACACCCCCUCUCAAACUUAUCAUUUAAAAAACUUAUUUUCCAGAAAACAAGUUUAACAGUCCAAGUAUCUUUGACAAAUACUCAUGUUGAAACGAAGUUAAUGACUUAGUUAAAAUGUCUGCAUUUUGAUUAGAGGAAUCAAUUUUAACUAACUUUAAAACACCAUUUUCAAUUUUUUCUCUCACAAAAUGAACAUCUAUUUCAAAAUGUUUGGUUUUUUCAUGAAAUACUCGAUUUAAAGCUAAUUUAAUAGCAGACUCAUUAUCACAAAACAACUUAACUGGAGUUAAAUUUUUAAAACCAAUAUCACUUAAAACUUUUAAAAUCCACAACACUUCACAUGUUACAGAACCCAAAGCACGAUAUUCGGAUUCUGUUGAGGAUCUGGAUACUAUGCUUUGUUUCUUACUCUUCCAAGAAAUAAGAGAACUACCUAAAUAUACCAAAUAUCCAGAAACAAACCUUCUAGUUGAUAAGCAUUUCGCCCAAUCAGCAUCCACAUAACCAAUAAUAUCAAAAUUGUUAGAUUUAGAAAACACAACACCUUUUCCAGGACACUCUUUCAAAUAACUUAACAAUCUGAAAGCAACAUUUAGAUGUUAUUUCCUGGGCUUAUGCAUAAACUGACUCAACACUUGAACUGCAUAACUAAUAUCAGGUCUAGUAACAGUGAGAUAAAUUAGUUUCCCUAUGUGUUUUUGAAACUCAGUUAUAUUACUUAUAAGAUCUGAAUUAUCGUCACAAUCUCUAUUAAACACAAAAUUAACUUCCAAAGGAGUUUUAACAGGUUUACAACCAAGCAUACCAAACUCACUUAAUAAUUCCAAACAAUAUUUCCUUUGAUUUAGACAAACACCACUAUAUGUAGAUAAUACCACAAUUCCCAACAAAUAUUUCAGUAAACCUAAAUCUUUUAUCCUAAACUGUGACUUAAGAAACACUUUAACAUUCUCAAUUUCUAUACUACUAUUACCAAUUAGAAUUAUGUCAUCAACAUAAACUAGUAAAAUGACAAUAGUAUUAUUUUUUGACCAAAAAAACAAGGAAUAAUCAUUUAGACUUUGUACAAAUCCAAAAACUGAAAGUGAUGAACAAAUUUUUUCAUUCCACUUUCGUGGAGCUUGUUUUAACCCAUACAAAGACUUAACAAGUUUACACACUCUACUAUCAUUUUUAGAAUGAUAACCUUUAGGCAAAUUCAUAUAAACAUCUUCAACUAAAUCACCAUAUAAAAAGCAUUAUUAACAUCUAAUUGAUAGAGAGGCCAAGAGUUAUUAACAGUAACACAUAUAAUAAUUCUAACAGUAACAAUCUUAGCAACAGGAGAAAAAGUUUCUUCGUAAUCUAUUCCUUCUCUUUGAUUAUAUCCUUUAGCAACUAGUCUAGCUUUAUAUCUUUCAAUCUCACAAUUUGAUUUAUACUUAAUUUUAUAAACCCAACGACAGCCUAUAACUUUUCUAUCUCUAGGCAACUCAACAAUAUCCCAAGUAUGAUUUGUAUAUAAAGCUUCCAUUUCCUCAUUCAUAGAUUUAAUCCAGUUUGGAUCAGUAGAAGCUUCUGAAUAAGUACUAGGUUCGAAUGUCUUAUUAAGAUUAGACACAAAGCAUUUACUAUCACUAGUUAACAAAGAAUAAUUCACAGAUUUUUCUAAACCAUACUUGUGAGAACUUUCCACAACAAAGUCAUUAAAUCUUGUUGGUAAACGAACAUUUCUACCAGAUCGAGUAACACCUAACAAGUGAUCAUCAGAAGGAUUAUUUUGUUCUAAGAUAUUAUCCUCAGCCAAAGUAGAUGAACUAGGAACAUCCACAACAUUUUGUUGCACAUGUGCCCUGUCACUCUGGUUGAUGACCUCAUUAUUAGGGGUCUCAACUAGGUGUUGAACUCCUCUAGUACCUUCAGACUAAAGGGUUGUUCCUAAGUUAUCUAAACUACUAUUUUCUUGAAGAGAACUAGAUAAUUGAGGCUCAUCAUUGGAAAAUGGGUCACUUGGAUUAUCAAAAACAUUAGUUUUAUCACUAAUUAAAGGUUUAAGCUUCUACGGAAAUAUAAAUUCAUAAAAUUUGACAUCCCUGGAAACAAAAACAAAAUUUGAAUCAAACCUCAAUACUUUAUAACCUUUUUGUUCCAAAGAAUAACCAAGUAAAACACAUUUUUCAGCACGUUCAUAAAAUGUAUCAAGAUUAUUCAAUUUUGUUGCAAAACAAAGACAUCCAAAGACACAAGUCUAUCAAAUCUAGGAAUAGAUUUAUAAACAAUUUCAUAAGGAGAGACUCCAUUUAAUACCUAAGUGGGAGUUCUAUUUAUCAAAAAAACUGCUGUUAAAAUAGAAUCACCCCAAAAAGUCAAAGGCAACCCUAAUUGAAACAUUAAAGACCUAGCUACAUUUAAAAUAUGCAUAUGUUUUCGUUCAACCGCCCCAUUUUGUUGAGGUGUAUGGACACAAGAAGUUUGAUGAAUUACACCUCUACUUUCAAAAAAACUUUUCAUGUUAUGAUUUAAAAACUUUGUUCCAUUAUCUGACCUAACCCUUUUAAUUUUAACUUCAAACUGAUUUAGUAAAAUAUUAAAAAAUGCUACAACACAAGAAAACACUUCACUUUUAGACUUAAGCAGAUUAAUGUAAGUUGCCCUAGUGAAAUCAUCCACUAUAGUAAGAAAGAACUUAAAACCUUCUGAAGUGACCACUCUAUAGGGACCCCAUAAAUCUAGAUGAAUAAGUUCACCUAAACAAGAAGUUACAUGCUGAUUAGUUGGAAAAGAACUCCUAGUUUGUUUAGCUUUAUGGAAAACAUCACAUGGAGGUAAGGAAUCAUUCCCAAAUUUAAGAUGAGUUUUUAAAGAGUUCAGAGCUUGAUUAGAAGGAUGACCAAGUCUAUUAUGCCAUGUUAAUUUUGAAACAUAACACACAACAAAAUUAGAGCUAAAGGAAUUACCAGAAGGUACACUAUCAACAUAAUAGAGACCUCCAGAUUCACUACCAUUCCCCACCAUCUCUUUUGAGUGUAAAUCCUGAAUUUUACAACUAUGUUCAUUAAAAACAACCUCACACUUAUUAUCUUUACACACCUUGUGUACUGACAUUAAAUUUACAUUAAACUCAGGAACAACAAAUACAUCAAAAAGUGUUAAGGUAUUUGAAAUAUUUAAGUUUCCUAUUUUUUCUAUUUUAGCACAAGUUCCAUUAGGAUGACUGACUAUAAGAUUAAGGUUAGAUACAUCCAUUGUAUCAUGCAAAAGAUAUUCUGAUGCUAUCAUAUGUUAACUAGCACCAGAAUCAACAAUCCAUUAUAAGAAGAAUUACAAACAUUAAACAAACAAGUACCUUCCAUAUUUGAACUGAUAGAUGCUUCCUCAUUAGACUUUCUUUCACCUAUUAGGCUAAGAAACUUGGCAUAUUGAUCCUUAGUAAGUUGAUGAAAUUCAGGCUCUCCAGGAUCAGAUGAUCCAGAAGUAACAACAGAUGAAUUUGUAUUAAAUUUUUUAAUUUGACUACUAUUUCAACUAACAUCACUCCUAGGUUUAUAGUCCUUUGGGUACCCAAUUAGUUUAUAACAUUUUUCAAUUGUAUGUCCUUUUAAUCCACAAUUCUUACACUGAACAGCUGAACCUUUGUUUCUAUUAUUAGAAUUACCAGAAAAUUUAUUAUUCAACUUACUAUUAAAAGCACUAGGUUGAUUUUUAAGACUAGAUUGAGAGUCAUUAGAAAGGGACCCAUUCCUUUGAAGAGACUCUUCACGAGAUAUAAUUGAAAAAGCAAUUUUAACAUUAGGAAGUGGAUCCAUAAGCAAUAUGUGACUCUUAACUUGGUUAUAAGAUUCAUCCAAACCACUGAGAAAUUGCAUGAGUUUCAUUAGUUUAAAGUGAUCAUUUAGUUUAACAGCAGCCUCACAUGUACAUUCAAUAAGACUGGUUAGACCAUCAAACUCCUUCCACAAAGCAUCUAGUUUAUUGAAGUAAUAAGAACUAGACAAACCAUCAGCUUUAUUAUUGGUUUCAAAUAAAUUUUCCCAAAUUUCUUAAGCAUUAUCUGAAUAAGCAUGACUUGCAUAUAUUGAAUCACUAAUAGAUGAUAACAGCCAAGAACACACAACAACAUUUGCCCUUUCCCAUUUUGACUCUUUAUUUGUUUCAACUUUAUCUUUUUGAAAAGUACCAUCAACAAAACCUAGUUUGUUUCUAGCCUUAAGGGCUCUACACAUAGAACUUCUCCAAAUACGAAAAUUUUCAUUUCCAGAUAAUUUCACAGUAACAAUAGUUGUAGUAGCAUUAUCAGAAGGAUGGACAUAGAGAGGACCAUCAAGAUUGAUUGAAUCAUCCUUUCCACUUCCUCCUGGAGGAUCAUUUGAACUAGCCAUAUAACAGGAAAGAACAACAAUUCACAAAUAAAGCUAAAAAGAUAACAACUAAUAAAAUAAGAUCAAGAAAACCACAAAAUAACAGCUAAUCAAACAAGAAAACAAAAAAACAGACUCAUGUAUUGACUUAAAGUCCAGAUGGUCACCACGUUUGUUGGGGCCCAAGACAAUCAAUACAGAGCCAAAAAACAGACAAGAAACAAACAAGAAUAAUUGGUGUACUCAAGACAACCAGGACCACCCAAUCACAAGAUAUGAAAAAGAGAUAAAAGGGAACAAGAAACCCCUCACAGUGCUAUUAGGAUGAAGCAGUCGAAGGAUCGACUCUAUCUGUCCGUUCUCUACUAAGGGUUUAUCGGUGAUGAACUCCGAUCCCUUGAGUGUUAUUUCAGACAGACAUAUUAAUCGAUAAAAGUUUGGAUGAUUUCAGUUCAACAGUUGUUCAAGAAACAAGGUAUCAAUACACCGAUCAGAUGUCGUGACCCUGCAAGAAAUCACAAAGAACACUCACAGUACCAAUCAUAAAAAAACAAAAAAUAAGAUCCGAUAAAAACCUAAGUCGAAGAACACUAAAACAAAUCGAUCUUGGUGAGAAAUCUAAAGGUUAUAAAACCUUAUAGAUCUCCGUCGACAGAUAAGUAGAUAACGGAAAUAAACAAGGUUAGAAACAACCUUUUCUGAUGUCUUCUGAAGAUGAAAAAACCUCCGAUGACUACCAAUGAAGAAGAGGACCUCCGAUGUACACCGACGAAGAAAACGACGAAGUCUCAAGCUCUGAUACCAUGUAGGAAAGUAUAAACUCAACAACUUCCCAACAUCAACAUUUCAUUUAAACAUGAAAUAGUUGGUUUACAUCAACAAUUACAGGACAAAAACCUCACUACAUUCACACUCAACACUCUAAUAACCAUUUAUGAACAGAUCGACUCAAGAACAAGUGAAAAAUAUAGAAACCCUAAUAGAAAACCCUAAACGUAGAGAAAAGCACUGCGAGUGGAAAGAACAACAAAAUAUCUAUAUGACACAAAUGAACUGAACUCCAAUAUUAAAUACUUCGGGGCAACUGGUAUCAACCGAACCCGACGGAUACGGGUUAAACAACCCGCACUCAUUUACCUAUAUUUUAGAACAUAACAGAAAACACCCUUUUUACAAAUAACAAAUGUCACAAGACGCCCAAAUAACUAAACAUCUUCAAAUGAUAAGUUUGCUAUCAAUAAUACCUUUUAACAUGAAGCCCAUUUUUUUUCAAUGUACCUUAAUUGUGUAUAUGGGUACCAAAUCCGUUCUUUAAUAAUAAGUGUUUAUAAUCUAAUAAUCAUAAUCAUUCAAAACCUAAUUCCCAUGCAGGUAUUCUACUGAAUAUAUUGAUAGAGAUUAUUAAAAUAAUAAAAAACAUAUGAAUUAUUUAAUAAAAUGAAUAGAAAGAAACCUGUAAACAAACAUCACUCUGUUUAUAUUUACCGAAAUAAACAUUUAAAGACUUACCAAACAUCAAUUUGUGUCCUAAAGUUUCAGUAGCACAAUACCUAUAAAGAAAAUAGAAAAAUAUAAUUAAUGAAAACAAAGGAAAUAUAUAAUUAAUACAUUAAGUGGUAAUAAUACCCUGAAAGUAAUGAGAUUUGAUUCACAUGGAGCCCAAUGUUUAAAAACUACAAGUGCAAUACCACCACUAAUUAUUCAUGGCGUAGCAAAAAGAGAACAGGGUCAGGAGCAGCAAGCAAAGACCGGUUAAACUUGUGAGCUACAGCAAGUCCACAUAAAAAUAAAUUAAGGAAAAGAAAAGAAGAGGUUGAAUUAUAGAGAAAGGGUUUUUAGAAAAUGAUUUUUGUGUUUCUAAUAACAAAUGUAUUUUUCGCCAAAAUCCUUCUGCCUUCUCCAAUUAAUGAGUACUUUGUAAUAUAAAUCGUGUCCAUUGAGGUUUCCAAAAGGAAUUAAUCAUGAAAGAUUAGUAUGUUUUGGUCUAAAAAUAACAUUAAAAAUUUUAAGGAAGGAGGGUACUUUGGUCUUGUUCAAAUGCUUUACUCAGUUAAAAAAAAAAAAAACAAAUUUAACAUAAUUAAAUGUAAAUAAAAAGCAAAACUUGACAUGCGUAGAUGAUUAAUGCAAAAAAUGUUAUUUCACUCAAAAGAUGCAUCUUUUGCAUCUAUUUCAUUCACUUCUACAUCAAGAUUUUGCUUCCACCGAAAAACCCUUCAUCGUCUUUCAAGAUUCAACCCUUGAUUUCUUGUUUGGUGGAAUUUGAAACCAAGCAUCGUAAUCGACGCUAACAUUUUCAACAUUAGGAAACCGGGAAAAAUCCUAAAUUCGUACAUCACAGAAGCCAAAAUCGGUAGAUGUUGGCGGUGGAGGGACUGAAGGAGCGAUGUUGGUGCGACGCUCACUUUUGCUAACCCUAAAAAAGGCGAUGAUUCUUAGAUAAAGGAGAACAUUAUGGAGGAAAAUGGAGUGGAAGAUAGAGAAGAUGAAGUGAUAAGAAAGCGGUGGAGAACCAGACGGACGUCGUAGCUCAUGUGCGGUGGUUUCUUGAUAAUAGAGAAUAACGAUCGAAGAUGGAGCAGUGAAGGGGUGGUGGUGGAAUGAACUGGAAGAAUUCCACGGUGAGUGAAGUAUGUAACACACGAAAUCUAGAAGGCUAAUUAUGAAAAAUAAAACAUCAUUUUGAAAGGUCUACUUGUCGAUUUUAAGGUAUACACACUCGACGAGUAGGAAUUAUGAGUCACACACAUUUUCGAAGAUCAACUCGACGAGUUGGUCGUUGAUAUGUGCAUAUUUAAUCAUUUAUUUUGUAUAAUGUCUUAAUAUUUUUUGGAUAUUUUAUCUCGAUUCAUGAACAAAAGGUACUUAAUUAUGUUAAAUUAUAUUUACAGCCUUAAAGACAUGCUCAAGUGAAAAAGGAAGAAGAACUAGCAAUUGGAAGCUUGGGGAUUAAUGUUUAAUGAAAUAAAGCUUAAAAGAGGAAGAACUUGACGAGUUGUCCAUCAACUCGACAAGAAGGUCAGAAUAUUCACGAACCAACACUCCUUUAUUGGCGAUCAGAAGGGUUCUUGAUGCUCUGAUUUUCGAGAAUUCGGCUUAGACAUCAAUGUAACGUCCGUAGAUCAGGACUAGUCAAUUUAGAGACGAUAAACGUCAAAACUGAAUUUUUGAAGGAAGAUUAUUUAAAAGGAGUAAUCUUAACUAAGUUUUAGUAUAUGUUACAAGGAUUUCGUACAUAUAAAGAAUGCCGAAAUCCGAGUUAUAACGAAGAAGUUAUGACCUGUCGAAGUUUCGCGACAGAACCGGUACGACACAACGUGACGUAAAUCGUGAAUUUACGUUAGAGCAAUAUUUAGCCUUAGUGAUCUAAAAGAAAGUCGUAGAGCUCGUUAAACCGUGAUCAUGCAUAAAAAGAACGCCCAAAAUUGACUUCGUAUGAGGAAGUUAUGAUUUUUCUAAGUUUCAGCUUAGUAGUAUGCAGCCCGAAACUCGAAUUCGAGAUCGAGUGAUUUCUAGCCGAAGUAAUCUAAAUGAGAAUCGAAGAUCUCAUCAUUAGUAGUGCAACGAUAAAAAUCAGACGAAAACGGACGUCGGAUGAAGAAGUUAUGAAUUUGUAACGGAGUUUUCCUAUCCCGGCCUACUAAAAAUAAAUGUCAAAAUUAGCCGACGGAGUCUAAACGAAAGAUGUAGAGUGUAGUCUCACCUACGCGUGGAUGUAAAUAAACGUCGAAAACGGAGUUCAUAUGAGGAAGAUAUGGAUUUUUGAAGUUUAUUAAAUAAUUAAAAUAUAUAUUUAAUCUUUAAUUCGGAUGUAUAUCCGAAGGAUUCAUUGCUCUUAUCCGAAGUACGUCUAGCAUACCCCGGUGCAUGAACCCCUCGGACUUGAGUGCCUCGCAUACGUAAGUGAUGACGUUAUUUGGCACUACGCCCCGCGUAGCUAAGCAUUACGCCCAACGUAAUGCGAGGGUUUAGCCCUAUAAAUACCUUGCAAGGGCAGCCGACAUUCUUGCUCAUUUUCUCUUCUCUCUCCCGUUUUACCUCGUUUUUUGUGCAAGAAAUAUCCCAAAGCCCCGAAAUUAAUACCGAGCCUCGAAGCAAGUCCCGAAGCCACGAAGAUCCCGAGAAGUGAAAUUCCCGAGCCGAAGCUCUGCCCACCGAGAGCCGGUUUUUUGUGAAGAUCUUCCAGAUCUACCGAAGAAUACUACUUCUACAAGUCGUAGUGUUGUACGAUCAUCUUCUGAUCAAGUGAGUGUGUGAUCACUUUCUUCUUACACAUAAAUAUUAAGUAUUUGCUAUAAAAUACGUGUUAUAUGUGUAUAUAUUGUUGUUUAUUUAAGAUGAUUGUGGAAUGGACGAAUUAUAUAGGUUUUAAUGAGUUAAACUGUAUAUGUAUUUUGUAUCUACAAAUAUGUUGGAGAGAACAAGGGUAAAUGAGAUUGUUGGUAUGGGAUAAAUGGAUAAAGUGGUUAGUUUUAGAUCCGAGAGUAUGGAUCAGAUCGAGAGGUUAGUUUUAGAUCCGAAAGUAUGGAUCAAAUCAAGAGGUUAGUUUUAGAUCCGAGAGUAUGGAUUGGGUCAAGAGGUUAGUUUUAGAUCCGGGAAUAUGGAUUAGGUAAUGAGGCAAAUUUAAGAUCCGGGAGUACGGAUUAUGUAUUUUUGAACUACGUGUUCAUUCGAUAAGGUAUCAUGUGUAUAUUCCCUUUUUAGGAACAUGAUUUUAAUACGAGUAUUGAUUAAAGUAUGAAAUAUACAUAUGUAUGUGAAGUAUAUGUUAUUGUCCGAAAUACGGGUUAGAUAUAUUUGAUGAUAUACAACGUGCGAAUCAGAUAUGGUUCAAUAUGUGUUAAGAUGUGUAUAUAUGAUAUUAUUACUUAAAACCUUGUGUUAAGUAUAACUAGUUGGCAUUGCCUAAACGGAGAUAGUAUCAAAAAAAUAGAUUAUAAACAUUGUAGGUUUGCCUAGUGAUGGGUUAAGACUUAAAUGGGAUGUUUAGUUCAAUUAAGUUUGGACAUUGGGUAGUCUCUUAUUAAGAGUACGUGCGUUGCGAGAUUGAUGAUCGGUGGAGUACGUCCUACGUACAGAAGUACAUAUUAUGUACGAAGUCCUUUUCAAAGCUCUGUGUCUUGGGCGCUGCUUGUGCCAAGGUACUAUUAUGUUCUUGGGCACGAGUGUUUCGCAUACCAGAGUACUAUAAUAUGCCAGAAGUACUAUCAUGUACAAAGUCUUUUUGACAAUUUUGUGUGUCGGUUACGGGAGCGUACAGGAGUACUCUAGUAGUGUUUCCCCAUACUUUUAUUUUGAGAGAGCUUUGGAGUCAUCGUUUCUUUUAUGAAGUGAUCGACCGAGCUUCAUAUGUCAGUGUUUUCUUUCACGAAGUAAUUAAGGGAACUUCGUAGACUGCCUAAUAAAGUGUGUCGGUAAUAGAACACUGCUAGGUAUGUUUGGUGUUAUAUUGAUGGAUAGGGUGCGUAUGGGGAUGAAAUACCUCAUGUAUUUAGGCCACUGCUAGGCAAAGUUCGAUGUUGUAUAGGUAGAGUAUUGGAGUAUAAUACCUCAUGAUAGUCGGACCACGCCUAGGCAUUGUUAUCUAGAUAACUACCCAUGACUUAAUUGUCUUGUGGUUCUUUCUUUUACGAACGAAGGUCCGUGGCGAAACUUAUUCCAUUCCCCUCAUUUGAUGUCUUUAUUGAUCCUCGUUUGCUGUUAGGGAAUUUCCGAAGCAGCUUCGUCAGUUUGUGGUUCAUAUCGAUUCCUUAGGCUAUAUCUCAUAAGAUCAUUGUAUAGGGUCAGUAUGUGGGGAUCAACGGGAUGCGAUAUAUUGUUUCAGAAAUAUGAUGUAUAUUUGUUUAUAAUAUUAGUGGUUUUGCAGGAUCGAGAUAUACUUUAUUAUCACAUUGUUUGAACUAAGAGCUUUCGUACUCUGUGUUCCUUAGGUGAUUGGGUUCACCAGGGAUAUUCGAACUAAGUGUUCAUUAGAUAUUUAAACUUAGUGUUCAUCAAGGAUAUUUGAACUAAGUGUUCAUUAAGUGUUUUUGAACUAGGUGUUCAUUGGGUAAUAUUGGAACUAAGUGUUCAUUGGGUGUUCUUGAACUAGGUGUUCAUUAAUUAUUGUGAACUGCGUGUUCACCAGAGGUAAUCUAAGAACCUUGGUAGCACUAGACUUUGUGCCAGUUCGUUAGGGAAUCCUUAGGAAUGAAUAGGAGAAGCGUAAUCGGUUCUUAGGAUAAAUCUUUAAGAAAUAAAUGGAGAUAAUGAGGGUGGGUAAUUGGAUUGAUUGUUUGAUAACUGAAUAUAAUAAUUACAUUAUUGUGGGUUGAAAACCCUAUAUGCUCACAAGGCCCCCAAGGCUGACCCUCUCGGUGUUCUUUGUAUUACAAGUUAUGGUACAAGAGCAUAAGUUGGCUGACAUAGCGAGAUAUUAUGGAUUAUAUGCCAGUAGUUAUGAAAAACUGUUGUAAGGUCUAUUUUUGUUCUGUUUAUGCUUUUGAUCUGUAUUGAACAUGACAUCCCGAGAUUUUGUUAUAAAAUGAAAAAUACAUUUCUUUAAAUAAAUGUUUUGAUAAAUUCUUAUCAUAUUUUGUUUUGGGAACGAAUUCCGCAACCGUUUUCUUUAAAAGGAUUACUCUGAUUUUAAAAACAAGCAUAAACAAUCGGUCUUUUCUGGCCGUGAAAUUGGGGAUGUCACAUUCAAGUUAAGAGAGAUCAAAGGUAAUAAACACUAUUCUUUUUCCUAAUAUUUUACAUAAACUAUGUUUACAUCAUUAUAUUUCGUUUUUAGGUUGUUAAUUGUUGUAUAUAUGAGCUUAAAGCUUAUAACUUAUGUUUAGAGUAGAUGAAUUUAUGAAUAUGGUGUGAUUUUAUGGCUUGAAUUAAUUUGAUUUGGUCUUGUUAAGCUUGUUAAAGACCCUUAUGUGUUGAUAACAAUUGUUUUUAUGUUAACAAUCAAGUUGUUGAGUUGCAUGAGCAUCUUCUUAAUUGCUUGAAUCAUAUAAUUUUGUGAACACAAUAUUGUAUGCCUAGUAUUAGUGAAUAUGAACCUAGGAUUAACUAGAAAAUAAGUAUAUUAAUGUGUAAGCAUGUAUGAUGAACAACCAUACAUGAGUUAAUUGAAUUGAAAAUUUUAGUUAGUUAAUAUUACAAGUCUUACUUGAUCCGAAUAAAAUAGUAGGAAUCAUGUUAGUUUAACCAAUUGACCACCAUUUGAAUUAACUUGUUUGCUAAGGAUUAGUAAUAGUGAACAUGAAUCUAGUCACAUUAUGAAUCGGUAGCCAAUGAUAUGUUAGUCCAUUGCACUUUCCAUGAAAUCAACCAUAGGAAUAAAUGAGUCGAAUCUGAACAAAAGUCUCUUUUAUCAUCGAAUCAAGUUACCUUCUAGUUGCUUUAGUCGUUAAUUGUUUUGUUAAAGUGUUAUUUGCUUAUUUAAGUCUUUACUCUUGCCAAGCUAGAGAAAACCAUCUUUUAUUACUUGUUUUUAAUUAGGUAAUUCUAGUAGUUAAUCUUAAUUGUAACUGUUCCCUGUGUUCGAUACCCUACUUGCUUGAACUAUAUUGUUAAUCGAUAGGUACACUGCUUUUCAUAUGUUUUUUUUUUGUGUUUGAAGUAGUAGGAUUAACACUGGUGCAUUUUACACACAUUAAGUUUUUGGCGCCGUUGUCGGGGAACGAUUUUAAUAGUUAUUUUAAUUGCUAGUGUUAUCGAUCAUUUGUGUAAGAUUUAACUUGCAUAAAGUUACUAAUUUCGUCAUCAAGUUACUUAGUUUAAGUUACUAGUUUUUUUGUUUUAAAAUUUUCGUUUUUAUUUUUCUGCGUUGGCGUUGAACUUGUCGAGUCCAGACGAAGCUACUCGACGAGUUGACAAAUUUUUCAGUUUCAUUUUGUUCGUUUUACGCGUGUUUUAUGUUUUUCUUUCAGGUAUUUUAUGACCCGUGGAUCAAAUACACCUUUGAUCCCACCACUUGAAGACCCAAAAUAAGAUUUUAAGAAGAACAAGGAUAAAACCGUAGGAGAAUCUGCAACCCCAAAGAAGUCACAUUUUAAGAAUCUCAAAUCGGUUUUUGGCAAGAAAAAGGGGAAGCAAGUGGGAGAAUCCAACACAACAUUGAAGGACGAAGACCCUAAGAAGGAGGAUACCAAGUACGAAACGGAAUUUGAAGAAGAAAGCGAGCAAGAAAUGCAACCCGUGAUUCCAACAACUGCUAACUUUGAAUUGAAAGGUCACAUACUUGCCUAACUCAAGGACAUCCCAUUCUAUGGGAAAGAUCACGAAGACGCAUACAAACAUAUCGACAAGGUCAACGACAUAACCGACCACUUCAAUAUCCCUAAUGUGCCUUACAAGAUUGUUUUGCUUCGUAUGCUACCGAUCACAUUUAAUGGCGUCGCGAAAGAUUAGCUUAAAUCACUCUUUCUAGGAUCCAUCACCACAUGGGUUAAAAUGUGUAAAUAAUUUAUUGAUCAAUUUUGUCCUUUCUCAAAAAUAGCAAAGUUGAAGAAAGUCAUUGCAAAUUUAGAACAACGAAUCACUCUAUGAGGCGUGAGAAAUAUAUAAAGGCUUGUUGAGGAACUGCCCCACAAUGAUUUAAACAUUCAACAAGAAGUCUUUAUUUUUUUUUUUUUAAUUUACCCCAUCAUGGAGGAUAAGAAAAAAAUAGUUAUAGAUUUUAAUUUUUGGUCAUAUGCUAUGGUUGUUUUAUUUUUCCCUAUUUUUAUGUGUGUAUAUUUGUAAGUUAUAUCUUAGGUUUAUUUUUUGAAAAAAUGUUAAUGUAGUGUGCCCAUUUAUGUAUGGUCGUUAAUUACGGCCUUUUAUGUAAUUUUUGAUAGCAAUAUAUUUGUUAAUUAGUUUAUAACUCGUGGGAACCACGGUUACAAAAUUAAUUAAACUUUCAUAGUAUAAAAAUUCAAAAUUAUUAAUCAAUUAUUUUAAAUAAAUUAUUAAUUAAGAGUUUUUUAUUAUAUAAAAUUAUAAUCAUUGAAUUAAAUAAAUAUAUGAAAUUACAUCACUUUAUAAUUUGUAUUAAUUUUAUUGUAGUUUUUAUUUUAAUAUUAUUAAUUUAAAGUAAUUAGAGUGGAAAAUUUAAAAUUUGAAAUUUGAAAUGAAAAAUUAAUAGAUUGACAAGUGACAUGCAUUAAUUAGGAAACUUAAUAGGAUGAUACAUGGCAAAACAAGAAUAAAAUAUGCAUUAAUUAAGAGACCUAAUAAGAUGACACAUGUUAAAAGGAGAAUAAAAUUAUUAUUUUGUUAGAAUAGGUAUUAUUUUGUUAGAAUAGGAUUAUAGUAUCAUUGUUUCAUUUAUUCUCUAAAACUAAGGGCCAGUAAUCACGAUCCGCGUUAGUCUGAUCUAACCAAUCAGAUCAGCUUUACACAGCCUAUAUAAACACAUCCCAAUACACCAACAAACGCAUCCUACCUUUCGAAUUCAUCAACUACAAACACAUUUUCUCUAUUUCCAUCUUCCCUCCAACCGUAUCAAUGGCACCCAAGGCAGCUGCCGGAAAGAAACCAGUAGCGGAAAAGGCCCCGGCUGAGAAGGCACCGGCGGAGAAGAAGCCCAAGGCGGAGAAGAAACUCCCAAAAGACGCAUCGGCUGCCGGAGCAGAUAAGAAGAAGAAGAGACACAAGAAAUCAGUCGAGACCUACAAGAUCUACAUCUUUAAGGUUUUGAAGCAGGUUCACCCUGACAUUGGUAUCUCUAGUAAGGCAAUGGGCAUCAUGAACUCAUUCAUCAACGACAUUUUCGAGAAGCUCGCUCAGGAGGCAUCUAAGCUUGCAAGGUACAACAAGAAGAACACUCUGUCUUCGAGGGAGAUUCAAACUGCAGUCAGACUUGUACUUCCCGGGGAGUUGGCUAAGCAUGCUGUGUCUGAAGGUACCAAGGCUGUGACAAAGUUCACUAGCGGUUAGAUUGUCUUGAUUUGUUAGUAUAUUUAGUAAUCUGGUUUUCGUUGGUUUUUGGGAUCCCUGAUGUAAUUACCUUCUAGCUGAAAAGUUCUGAAAUUGAAAUGAAACUAUCUUGUUUUGGUAAUUGAACGUUCUUAUUAACCAUCUUAUGUUUCUUUUUGAUUGCAUCAAAUGAAAUUGUGCUUGAUGGUCUUCGUUUUUAUCUAUUUGUAUUGUUUUGUAUCGAUUGCAUUCGACUCACACCAGGUGUUGUGAGGACACAUUUGUUGGAUUGAUUUUAGUUGCUGUGUCUAUGGCUUGUUUGCGCAACUGAGGUCCGAGGUCCCAACUCCCAAAACAGCCGAGCAAUGUUUUUCUUGCAUAUAAAAGAGAUCAUUGCUUCAGAGUUUUUUGUUGGUGUUGUACAUUGCAUUAUAUCCGUGUUAGUAUUGCUCUCUCUCAGUUAUUAUACUAUAUAGUUAGCCCAGUACGUUUAAUGAUGAGCAAUGGUUCAUGUGAAAAGUGAAAACCUAACUCUGAUAUGGAAUGCCUUUGAUGCCCUCUAAACAUAGAUCUGAAUUCAUGCUCUUCACCGGUGUCCCCUGCGCCAUUAUCAAUCUCCCUCCUAUUUCUUUCAUCACCUUGAUCUUUUCUUCGUUCUCUUGCCAUGGCUGGAAAUAUUACUAUUAAUAUGAAACAGUACGUGAUAGCGGACAUAAAAGCCCUACAAUUCCCAACAAAUCGGAAUGUUUGAACACAUGAUUUUUAUAAAGGGUGGUUACAUCCCAAUUUUCCAUAUAGACAUCUAUUUGAUUUUUAAGUUUUUUUUUAUUGGUUUAAUUUGGGGUAAAUGACACAACAAACACUCUUUUUAUAAAAGAAAUUCGAUUUUAACACCGUUUUUUUUUUUUGUCAAUUUUGACAUUGUAUUUCCAAUUUGUUACAAUUCUGACCACUUGACCGGUUAACCAGGUUGCAUGAUGACGUGUCAGUUUUUGAUGACGUGAUAUGCUGACGUGUCAAAAUUGAAUUUUUUUUUCUCACAAAAAACACUAAGUUUCCAUUUUUUUCGAUUUUGACACUAAGUUUAAUUUUUUCUUUCAACUUUGACACUAUGUUUUUUGUUCUAAAUCGAACAUUAUUUUUUCUAAUUUUGUUCAACGUUGACAAUUUUUCUAUUUGAAACCGUAUAAAUAUUUUUUUAAUAUAUUUAAACCGUAUAAAUAUGUUUUUUUUUUCAUUUAAAAACCAUAGUUUUGUAUAAAUACAUUUUUUUAACACUCAAACCAUAUUUUUAUGUAUAAAUAUGUAUUAGUUAUAUAAAAAUUGUAUUUUAUAUUAAAUAUGCAACUCUAAAAUGUGUUUGGAGGUUUGGAGGUUUGGAGGCGUGUAGUCGAUCAAAACUCGGAUAUCAAGUUUGCAACCCAUCAAAUUUUUACAUCUUAUUAGAAGCUGAUGAUUAGUUUAAUUCUCAUUAAAUAACUAAUGCUUUGAAUGUAAGAAAAAAAAACACCUUGUAUUUAAAUAAAAAUGUGGUUUUAAAACGAAAAAAAUAUGUUUAUACGGUUUAAAAUGUAAUAAAAAAAAAUAUAUUAAUACGGUUUCAAAUGUAAAAUAGACAAAAUUGAACAAAAUUUGAUAAAUGAUGUUCGAUUGGAACAAAAAAAAAACAUAGUGUCGAAAUUGAAAUAGAAAAUUAAACUUAGUGUCAAAAUUGAAAAAAAGUGAAAACUUAGUGUUUUUUGUGGAAAAAAAAUCAAUUUUGACACGUCAACAUAUCAUGUCAGCAUGCCACGUCAUCAAAACCGACACGUCAUCGUGCCACGUCAGCAUGUAACUUGGUUAACCGGUCAAGUGGUUAUAAUUGUAACAAAUUGGACAACACAAUGUCAAAAUUGACACAAAAAAAAAAACACGGUGUCAAAAUCGAAUUUCUGUGUAAAAAGAGUGUUUUUUGUACCAUUUACCCUUUAAUUUGCAUUGUUUUUUGAAAAAGUAAAUUUUAAUAGUUUAUUAUAGGUUUACUUUUAAUAAAAGUGUUUAUAGGUGUCUAAGAUGUGUCAAUUUAGCAACUCCCUUUUCAUAAUUAGUAAUGUUAUAUGAACCUUUAUGGCAUACAUCAUACCAACCUAUUGGGUCGAAGCUUUAUAUAUGACCAAUCACCUCCUCAACAUUACCCAAUCCACAUCUAUUGGGAACGAGAUACCAUUCGCCAAACUAUUCAAGAAAACUCCCUCAUUCUCACAUGGGAGUCUUCGAGUGCUUAUGUUACACACUUAUCAAUCCCCAACAUAAACUUACUACACAAUCCACUCCUUGUAUCUGAUGGGUUUCAAGCAAAACAUCAAUCCUAUGGUGUACAUGCAAACCCUAAUAGCUUUUGGAUCUAGUUUGUCUAAUAAACAUGCAAUUGAAUAUCCAAAGCUAUAAACCCUAGAUCCAGCAUACAAUUAAUCAUAUAAACAUAAAAUAGGGUUUAGAUCUGACCUUUGAUUGUUAUAUAGCAAUAACAAUCUAAUCAUUGGCUUCAGAAAGCUUAGUGCCUCAAGUGCUGCACCUCUAAUGGAGUUACAAACACCACUAAGCAACUUGGAUGAAGAGAGAGGAGAGAGGAGGCACCAAAAACGGCUGGAAACCCUAAUCUUAGUGUUGUCCAUGUUUUUGGUGCAUAGAAGACUUUUAUAUACAUGUAGGCUAUUAGGGUUUACAACUAGGAAACCUAAUCUGGCUGCUUAAGCCCUAAGCAGCCCAUGAACUCCUUUAACAUAUCUCUUGGACGAAUUCCUUAUGGGCUUCCCAUAGAAUUCGUCCAACCUAUAUUAUUUAGGUAAUCCAUAGCCCAAUUGCAAUUGUAUUAUAAUUACAAAUCCAGUCCCCUAAGUUUAAUUAAUCUCUUUUAGCCACAAAAUUAAUUCUUAAUUAAUUCUUGACUAAUAUUAAUUAAACAAUAUGAUUUCUCUUUUAAUAUAUUAUUCUCAUAAUAUAUAUUAAUAAAUCAUAAUUAAACCUUUCUCUCCUUAAUUCAUCAUACAUGUUGCUAUGGUGAAGGCAACCCAAAAAGACCAUGCUCAUAAUCGGGUCAAGUACAUACCAAAAUAGUUAUGGACUUAGACACUAAUCCAAUAGUAUCUUCAUCGGGUACCCAUCUAACCAUCAUGGAUACCGAUGUCUUGACCUCUCAUCUGGUAAAAUUAUCAUAUCUGGUCAUGUCGUUUUGACGAAUCCCCAUUCAUUUUCGAUCCUUGACUCCUAACCAAUCCCCACCAUACACCUUCCUUGAUUUGAAGGACUCACAUCCCCAGUGCGUCGUCAAUUUUUUGAGACACCGAAACAACCGCUCCACCUAAGAGAAUCCAACCCAACCCACCCCACUACCGAACAUCCACCUCUCCUCCCUACCACCUCGGCUAUAACCCUACCACCCCAUCCUCCUUCUACUCAUCCUAUGGUCACAAGCUAGAACAUAGUAUCAUUAAAUCCACCGCUUGCCUAAUCCUUUAUAGCACAAAUGAGUCACACACCCUCAAAUCCCACUUGCAUGCCCUUUGUUACCUUAACUGCUUGCCUUAUCCGUUAUAGCACAACCGAGUCACACACCCUCAAAUCCCACUUGCUUGCCCUUUGUUACGUUAACUAGAACAUUGCUAUAAAUGUAUGAUUUGCUGCUCUUAUGUCUAACAUAACUUACGCCUUGUUCCCCGUUAUUUUUUUGUAUAUUCAUUAAAGGAAAGGGAAGAAAAAUUUUGACCGAAAGAAAGGGAGGGGAAGGAAAAAUAUUAAUUAUACCGUGUUCCCAGGUUCGAAGGAACUGAAAAGAAAUGAGAGGAAAAUUUUAAGUUUUUGUGUUCCCAAGUUAGGAGGAAAAAGAAAAUAAAACUUGAAAUUUUCUUUCCCCUCACUUUCUUCCCAAAUCCGCCCAAUUUGGAAGGAAAAUAUGACUCCAAAAUUCUUCCCUUCCCUUCACUUUCCUCCCAUUUGCCUCGUUAAGUAGAACUCGGGAACAAGGCGUUAGGUAGUUGUUCUGAGGCCUCUAAGGGGAAAUAUUGUUCAUUCUAUGUGGUCAUUUAAAAAGAUAUACAACUUCAUUGAUACUAUUGAGUAUUGACCGGUAUAAAAAACAUUUGGUCGUUAAAGAGAAAAGUCAACGACCAAACAUCGAUUGUGCUUGAUUGUCAAACCAUUGGCGAUUUGAUAUCUUCUCAACAUAAUUGUCUCUUGUUACUGAUCGAUUCAUCAGUUGUGCAUCAAUAAGACUUUCUUGCAUAGUCACUUAAACAAGACUCUUUACAUGCAUCGACCUCUGAAUUUCGUGACCUCAAUCAUCAAAAUUAUGUAUGUUAUCCCUAGAAAUUCCUAUACAACAUGAAAGAGGCACCACAUGUGUGGUGUAAUCGAUAUGAUGAGUUUAUUACUUGGGUCAGUUUCCAACAACAAAACUAACUCCUCACUUUUCAUGUUCUAAUGGGGGAUGGUAACACCUAUAUUAUUUUCUACGUGGAUGAUAUUAUCUUGAAUGCUUCUUCCUCUGACUUAAUUAUUCGAAAUACCAUUUCUCAGUUCCUGACCAAGUUUGCUAGGACCGAUUUUGACGUCCUCUCAUAGUUUUUGGGUGUUUCAGUGGUCUGUGAUAAGACUGAUGUUUUUCUUUCUCAACACAUAUAUGCGUUCAAACUUCUAGUGUGGGCACACAUGUAAGCCUACAACCCCUGUAGCACUCUCACAAAAUUCUCAGUCGAAGCUCGAUCUCAUGGGUCCCACAUUGUGGAUCCCAUUUAUAUCGUAGUUUUCAGGCGACCUCUAGUAUUUGAGUUUUACUUGCCCCGAUAUCUCCUAUACUACACAAUAAAUAUACCUCUUCAUGCAUGACCCUGGAUGUAACAUCCGGUUUCGGGAAAUUUCUUAUUUAUGAAUGACAAACUUUAAUUUAGUCAAGGGUAGAUCUCGGGAUUCAAAGGAUAAAGUUUGGCGAGAAACGGUUGGAUCAUUGUCUUCUAAAAACCAUAAUUGGUAGGAGAUAAAGUAAACGAAAAUUUAUAGGAGUUGUGUAUGGUUUUCUCGGUUAUGGAUAAGGCUGUGUGUAACGACCGAAAAAUACAACCAAUUUUAACUUUUUCAAAAACAGCUUGAUUCCAUUAAAUCUUUACAAAAAGGUUUUCAAUAUAAACAUUUAACGUAUUCCCAGAAUCACAUUACUACAAAAUCACGAGGAACGGUACGAUCAUGCCUUCGCCUUGCCACAGUCUCCUGAAGAACCUGAAAAACAUAAAACCACAACUGUAAGCCUGAAAGCUUAGUGAGAUAUCCCCCAAAUACCAACCACAUAUACCAUACACGCAUAACAUGCCACAACAUAUCUGAUCACAGAACAGCCAUGCACUUCGGGUCUACUGUGUGACUGGUCCGCCGCACCGGCCUACAGUCCACCUGGUCCACCCUCUGAGUCUAUCCACAUACAUCGAGUCUGCAGUGUGAUUGGUCCGCCCGCACCCGGGCCUUCAAUCCACCUGGUCCACUCUCUGAGUCUACAGUAUGACUGGUCCGCCCGCACCGGGCCUUCAGUCGGCCUGGUCCACUCUCCGAGCCUCGGCACGUCUGGUCCGCCCUCUUGGGGCCUACAGCCUAUCCGGACCGCUCGCUGGGCCUUCGGAACAACCGGUCCGCCCUGGGUAUCUUGGCCUACAGCACAAAGCAGGACCCGCCUCAACCCAACUCCAGUCCAAACAACCAUGUGCACAUAUACAUACAAUCAUAUAGCAAUUCACAGUCAACAAGCAAAUCAAACAGAUCACAUAACAUAUCAUCAUCCUAACCAGGAUACCGACCUAACAGGUCACUAGCAUAGCAUCUCCCUAUCUCUCAGGAUACCAAACUCAAUCAGGUCUCUAACAUAUAUCAUCCUAACUCACAGGAUGCAAACAUAUCAAAGCAGCAACAUAACAACAACUACCCGGAUCUCAAUCCGAUAAGGGUCGUCCUUGGUGCCUUAGACCCUGUUGAUAUAGUGAGGAUAACUCACCUCGAAACUGUCGGUUGAAAGGAUAAGAUCCCGCUGCUCCAAGCUCCGACACGAACUCCUCCACUGAACACCAACACACUCAACUCAAUAAAUACCCUUUAUUACCAAAAUACCCCUGAAAGGCAACUAGUCAACCUUUGGACAAGGUCAAAGUCAACCCCUGACUGACUCUACUCGCCGAGUCAACCCGAUGACUCGCCGAGUCUCCAUACUCAGAACUUCCCUCAAUCUGCGACCUAACUCACCGACUUACUCCGAGACUCGUCGAGUCCAACAACUCUGAGUCCACUCGCACACAACUCACCGAGUCAUCCCUUGACUCACCGAUUCUCGACUCGACCAUAAAAUAUUGGGACUCUUCGACAAGACUCGCCGAGUCCAAGAACAGACUCGCCGAGUCUAAGGCUAUCUUCAACCUAGUCGCCGAGUUCCAGGCCAUCUUCAUCCAAGUCGCCGAGUUCCAGCUCAUCUUCAAGCAACUCGUCGAGUCCACCCAUGUGACUCGCCGAGUACCAACGGUUUGAAUCCAUUCAGAAGCACUCCAGGCCAUGCAAUUCAUCCACAACAUAGAUCUAGCCUCCUACAACCCAUCCAUCACGUAAAGUGGCAAACUUUACGUGAAUCCAAAGAGAUCUAGGCCUUUAACACUAUAUAGCUAGGGUUGGGACAUGAUAGCUUCAUUACACACUUGAACACAAGGACUUUCAGGCAUUCCAACCCUUCUCCAAUUCAGAUCUGAGGUAGCAACCUCAGAUCUAACCUCUAAACUCCAAAACCCCAAAAGAUAGGCUCCCACAAACCCCAUAAUGAAGAAUCCAAGAAUAACAGCCCAAGGACGAGAUAUUACCUCAAAAGAACACCCAAACUGCAAUGGAACUCGAAUCCAAGCAAAAACCCUUGCUCCAAACCUCUUCUUCUUCAAGAUCUCUUCAACAACCACCUCUCUAAGCUCCAAAUCACCCAACAAUGGGGUUUCUCCACGAAUUUAGGGUUUUUGGGACUCAAGGGGGUGAUAAGGAGGCUGGGGAGGAAACAUAAUGUUCCUUAUAUAUGGCUCAACUUCCGGAUUUAGGGUUUUCUCCAUUCAGUGCCUACUCGCCGAGUCGGCCACUUGACACGCGACCAAGUCGCGACUCUACUCGCCGAGUCCACCCAUGGACUCGCCGAGUCGCUCUAUCCCAUAUUACUCUUUUAGCCCUNAGAUGUUACACUGUGAUAGUCGCCAUGAUCAAUGAAUGUGAAAAUCGACCUAUGUGGUUGUGUUUUUUUCUUUUUUUUUUUUUUUUUUUUUUUUUUUUUUUUUUUUUUUUUUUAUUUCCNUACCUAAGACACACUCCUCACCAUCAUUGCUUAGCAUUCUAAGUUUAAGUCUAGAAAUAAAUCCAUAUUCCUAGUUCGCUUAAACUAAUGCUCUGAUACCAACUGUGACAUCCCCAUUUUCACGGCCAGAAAAGACCGAUUUUGUUUAUGCUUUGUAAAAAUCAGAGUACUUCUUUUCAUAAAAAUGUUGCGGAAUUUGUUCCUAGAAAAACAUGUUAAAUACGUUAUCAAAACAUUUUCGAAGAAACGUAUUUUAUUCAUUUUAAAACGUUUGGGAUGUCAUCGUUAAUACAAAAAUAUAAGCUUAAACAGAACUCACAUUUAUUUAUACUAGUGAUCUACAUCUCUUUAAUCUCUCAGUGUAAUGUGACUUCAUAACAACACCUGUGAUAUAAAUAAACUGAGUAGGUCAGGUUGGGAAACCUGGUGAGUACAUUGGGUUUUCAACCCACAAUAAUAUAAUUAUUAUGUUCAAUCAUCAAACAAUUAACCCAAUUACCCAUCCUUAUUAUCUUCUUUAUUCCUAAGUACCCUCCAUAAGGAUUUAUCCUAAGGGUCGUCUCCUACAUCAUAUUUUACCUCUCUUCUCCUUUUAUGUUUGUUCCUAAGGACUUUCCCUAAGGAUCAUCGCCUAAAUCGCCUAGACAGAAUUGAUUCUGGGAUUACUCCCUCAAUAUGUGCCCACCAAGGGUUUGGGUAUCAUCGCAUGAAUACGUAGUUACAACAUCGCCUGAACUCGUAAUUCAUAGUAAGGGGGUUAGAGUAUCAUCACAUGAAUACAUAGUUACAACAUCCCCUGAACUCGUAAUUCAUCACCUACAGGUUAUGAGCCUGCUGGUGUUUCCACGGGGUUGUCUAUAAUAGUCCGUGGUCGCCAUCUAUACUCUGGUAGAUGACUACAUCUCCAAAUUGUCGGACAAGGUUGUAGUAUCCUACAUCACCGAUUCAUAAUCACCUAUCUAUCAUCACCUUCCUAUCAUCACCUAUCUCUCAUUAUUUUAUUUCAUCACUCACCAACUAUUUCAUCUACCCAUGUUUUAUCCCAACAUAUUUGUAGAUAUAAAAUAAAUAUACAGUUUAAAUCAUUUAAAACAUGUAUAAAUCAUUCAUCCAGCAUAGACAAGAAGUAUUCAGAUAAUAUGCACACAUAACACGUAAUUUAUGUAAAAUAAUUCAUAUCUAUGUGUAAGAUGAAAGUAACUAUGCACUCACUUGAAAGGGGGUGACUCAGCACUCGGACAACGUUUCGAUACUCUCAAAACAAUUUCCUUUGAUAAAACCUAAUAUCAAUACCACUAGGGUUUAGUCUAACGAUAACUAUGACAAAUUAAUACUCUGACUACUAUUAUUAUUAUAUAAGUGUUAAAUAACACUCAAUAUAACUCAUAAUAAUAGCCUAAAUAAUUAUUUUAAGGACCUAAUAACAUUACUAUAAUUAUUUGGAAGCUAUAUUAAAAAUUGCGUAAGCGUAGCUCACUUACAGCGAAUUUUAAAGAAAACCGGGCUUUGCUCGGAGCAGCGUUUCANCAGCGUUCCCGAGCCGAAAGGCUCUUUUCUCGGGACUCCGGGAGCCUCGGGGCUUCCUUCGGGUGCUAGGGGGUUUACCUAGGCUUUAGGGGGCUUAAGGGGGGCUAGAGAGAGAAAGUGGAUGAGGAAAGGUGUGAGAAUGAACGGAACUCGACACAUCUAUUUAUAGUGUGAAAUCCUGAUGGACUCGCCGAGUAGGAGGACCUACUCGACGAGUUGGUUCCAUGUGUCAUCAUCUGAUGGCUUUCCUUGGAGAGAAAGCAAUGGCUGUGAUCGCGCCACGUCACCCAAUAUCGCGUAUCGGCUUCCUGACUUAGAAAAAUCAUAACUCUCGCAUACGAGCUCCGUUUUUGACGUUCUUUAUAUCCACGCGUAGGUAAAAGCAAAAUCUACAACUUUCCUUUAGACUCCGUCGGCUAAUUACCGACCGAUCUUAAAUUUAACAGUAGGAGGAGUUUAGACUGUUAAAUGACCGCGAAGAAUUCGUAACUCCUUCAUACGAACUCCGUUUUCGUCUAUCUUUUUACCGUUGAGUUCCUAUUAAUGAGAUAUUCAACUCUCAUUUAGGUCGCGUAAGCCAAAAACCGCUCGAACUAAAAUUCGAGUUUCGGGGCGUGCACUACUAAGCCGAAUCUUAGAAAAAUCAUAACAUUCUCAUACGAAGUCAUAUUUGGGCGUUCUUUUUAUGGAUGUUCUCGGUUUAACGUAUACUACAACUUUGGUUUAGAUCACUAAGGCUAAAAAGUCAUCUAUCUUAAAUUCACUAUUUACGUCUCCCGGUGUCGUGCCGGUUUUGCCGUAAAACUUCGAUGGGCCAUAAGUUCUUUGUUAUAGGUCGGAUUUCGGCGUUCUUUAUAUGUACGGAAACCUUGUUACAUAUUCUACAGAUUGGUUAAGAUUAUUUAUUCUAAACAAUAUUUUGUCGAAAAGUCGUUUUUGACCCCUAUUGCCUCUAAAUUGACUAGCCCGGAUCUGCGGGCGUUACAUACAGUCUACUCCUUGUACUAAUAUUAUCUUGUCUGAUAAAGACAAUCUCAAAGUAGGUUGCCAUUUUGACAUAUUAUUGAAGUUGGAAAAUCUAUAAAAUAGCAACAUACUUUGAGAUUGUACUUUCAUUUUUUUCUCUGACUUGUAAAACUUUAAAAUAUCAACCAUUUUUACUACCACAACAUCUAAUUUUAUUUUUUUUCAUUAAAAUUUUGUAUUUUAUUUUUUUUCAUUAAAACUAUAAAUUGUAUUUUGUAUUUGGAAUCCAUAUAGAUUAUAGAUUAGCAACUAACAAAGGGUAUGUAUUGACUAUUGAGUUAUUUUUUAGAGUACCUCCAUUGUACAUAAGUACCCCUUCAUUAGGUUUUCAAAUGUAUGCAUCAGGGUUUUUUCAUUCGAACACCUAAAAAUAAGGAACUUAUUAUUACUUUUCCAAUGUUAACCCUAUAGUCAAACAACUUUGUUUAUGUAAAUCUAUAAAUUUUGUUGUUAAAAUUCACAAAAAUGGAUAUAUAUAUAUAUAUAUAUAUAUAUAUAUAUAUAUAUAUAUANUCAUGCUAUAUUUGAAAAAAGUUGAAAGUAAAUUGAAAUUUUUUUUAUUUACCUCAAUCAUGGAAAAAAAACACAGAAGAUAUCAGUAUAUUUUCAUUUUUUUUUGUCUCUAUACUAUCAUUGUUUUCGUUUUGUUAUUUUCAGUUACAUAUUUUCCUCAUUUUUUCAUCUAAUUAUGUAAAUUUAUCUAAUUUAAUUUACUAAAGACCUUUAAUGUAUAUAUUUUUUAAAAUCUAAACACAAACACCAUCACAACAAUAUACAUUCAUUUUUAUUUUUGUCAUAUAUAACAUCAUUGUCAUAUGUUAAUUAAUAACAACAUAUUUUCAAGUUUGAUGCAAAGUCAAAAAAAAGUUUAAGAAAAUGGCAACUUUACGUGAAAGUAAAUUGCUACUUUUUCAUUUACCCCAUCACGGAAGAAAUGCGGAAAAUAGCAAGACUUUUUUUUUUUUUUUUUUGUUGUAAUGUGCUAUCAUUGUUUUCUUUUUCCUCUAUUAGGUUCAUUUUUUUGAAUAAUGUGCUAUCAUUGUUUUCUUUUUCCUCUAUUAGGUUCAUUUUUUUGAAUAAUGUGCUAUCAUUGUUUUCUUUUUCCUCUAUUAGGUUCAUUUUUUUGAAUAAUGCAACUAUUGACAUUUUAGGUAAAAUCUUCAAAAAAAUCUUAAACUUUUGAAAAAAGUUUCAAUUUAGUCUUAAUUUUUUUUGAAUAGAAAAAUCCAAGAAUUUUGAGGUGUUGAGCAAGUCAUCUAUACCACAUGGUCAAAAAAGAUUAAAGUGUAAGGUUUAAACGGUUUAUUGGAUUUUUCUAUUUAAACAAAAGAUUAUGACUAAAUUAAAACUUUUCCUAAUAGUUUGAGACUUUUCUGAAUAUUUUUCAAAAUUUUAACUGAGAUGAGGAUUAUUAAGGACAUUUUAUGUAAAAAAAAUAACUGGGCCAUACCUUUGACAUUUGCAAUCAAUUUUUAUUUUUGUUUUUCAAAUAAUUUGAUAACGGCGUUCUCUCUAAAAUAGCAACAUAUUUUCAAGAGUUUUUCAACUUUUUGUUAACUAUACCAUUUUAGGGACCUUUUUUUUGAAAUAGUUUUGAUAGCAAUCAACGGCCAGUAAUCACGAUCCGCGUUAGUCUAAUCUAACCAAUCAGAUCAGUUUUACACAGCCUAUAUAAACACAUCCCAAUACGCCAACGAUCACAUCCUACUUUUCGAAUUCAUCUACUACAAACACAUCUUCUCUAUUUCCAUUUUCCCUCCAACUGUAUCAAUGGCACCCAAGGCAGCUGCCGGAAAGAAACCAGUAGCGGAAAAGGCUCCGGCUGAGAAGGCACCAGCGGAGAAGAAGCCCAAGGCGGAGAAGAAACUCCCAAAAGACGCAUCGGCUGCCGGAGCAGAUAAGAAGAAGAAGAGACACAAGAAAUCAGUCGAGACCUACAAGAUCUACAUCUUUAAGGUUUUGAAGCAGGUUCACCCUGACAUUGGUAUCUCUAGUAAGGCAAUGGGCAUCAUGAACUCAUUCAUCAACGACAUUUUUGAGAAGCUCGCUCAGGAGGCAUCUAAGCUUGCAAGGUACAACAAGAAGAACACUCUGUCUUCGAGGGAGAUUCAAACUGCAGUCAGACUUGUACUUCCCGGGGAGUUGGCUAAGCAUGCUGUGUCUGAAGGUACCAAGGCUGUGACAAAGUUCACUAGCGGUUAGAUUGUCUUGAUCUGUUAGUAUAUGUAGUAAUCUGGUUUUCGUUGGUUUUUGGGAUUCCUGAUGUAAUUAC
rnacentral:lncRNA from 1 species